rnacentral:lncRNA from 1 species
AAGAAGAAGACGACGCGGACGAAGGAAUAUUAAGAUCAAACCAAAACCCAAACCCAAACCCAAACCCAAACCCUAACCCUAACCCUAGCCCUAUAUAUAUGCAUAUCGGGACUAAACUUUUCGUUUAUAUACGCAAAUCCUACUCUAAUUCGUAUCGUACUCUAAUUCAAUGAGAUAUUUUUUUUCUAAACCCAAAUAUUACGAUCCAAAACGGAAAAAAAUUCAUACUUGAUAUCUACUGUAGAAUAUCUUACAUACACGUCUCAAACUGGAAGUAGCAAGGAUUUAAUUCACAUUUAAUUCAAAUUUAAAAUUUUAAUUUGAUCCAGUUCAAUCGAAAUUUGUUAAUCGUUAAUUCGAAUUUGAUAUUCAAAAUUAAUUUCAACUCAAAUUUUAUAGAACAAUAUAAUUAUUGUCCGCAAGGACUAUUUAGAUUUGAAUUAAAAUAUAGCAAUUAUUUUCUACUAAAAUAUAACAUAUGAGUUUACUUUUUAAAAUUUUAAUUUUUCUUUUUUGUUGAUUGUAAAGUUUUGAAUAAAUAUGACCUGAAAAUUUCUGUUAAUUUGAUAUAACUAUUAAAUAAUUGUUAUGUGCAUUUUUACGUACAUACACUCAACUAAUCUAUACGAUAUAUAAAAACAAGUAUUUAAAAUUUCGAUCCGUCGACAAACUCAUUUUAAAAUUAGAAAUUUAAAAAUAACAGUAUGAAUCAUUGGAAAUGAAUACAUAACGAUAAGAAUAAAAACCCUCGGGAAUGAAUAUGUAAGAAUAAGAUUAGGAACUCUUGAAAUGAAUACGUAAUGAAUAGAUAUGUAACUAACAAACUUUAAUUUAAUUUUUUCUCUAACAAAUAACUCGUGGCAAUUCAAAAAAUUAUUUUUCUAUAAAUUUAAAUUUAACAACUACAUAAACUAAUUAAAUUUAAAUUUAUAGGAUAACCUUUUCUUUUGUUUAUUAAAUAUUUAUAUAUUAUUCUAAAUCCAUAAAAUAAAUAUUUUCUUUCCAUUGAAAAUAUCUUUUCUUUUUAAGCAAGUAUUAUAAAAUACUGGCGGGAGAGCAUAAAAUUCAUAAAAUAAAUAUUUUCUUGCCGCGCUUUCAAAAUAUUUAUAUAUUGUUCUAAAUCCAUAAAAUAAAUAUUUCCAUCCUAUUGGAAGUACCUUUUCUUUUUAAACAAGUAUUAAAAAAUACACACGGCAGUAUUAAAUCCAUAAAAUAAAUAUUUCCUUCCGGCACUUUCACAUUAAUUUUCGCUCAUAUUGUUUAUUAAUGUAUAUCGUUUCGCUCAUAUUGUUUAUUAAUGUAUAUCGUUUCGCUCAUAUUGUUUAUUAAUGUAUAUCGUUUCUCUCCUCUGUUCUGUCAUAAAUAAAUAUGGAUAAUCAAGAUCUAUGCAUUUGCACUUACACUCAACUAGUGUUUGUGUGUAUAUAUAACUUCUAUAUUAGUAAAAGUACCAUAUUAUUAGUGCUUGUAAGUUUCAGCCCUUGGAUUAGGCAAUGUGUGAUUAGGAUGAUAAUAGUCCUCUAGAGUUGAGGGAGUGGUUGGUUGAAAAGCAUGAUCCAACGAGUACAAAUAUUCAAAGGGGUUGAUCUAACGGUGAAAAAAUGACAAACACCAAUUGCUUAAUUAGUGCUUUUAGAAGCACAAUAGCUCGACUAUCUUAAUCUCUCUCUCCUUCUCUCUAUGUAUUCAUAUAUAUGUAUUAAUACACAAAUACUAGUAACACCAUACAUAAGAUGGACGUUGUACUUGUUAGUAUUUUGAUUAAAACAAGUGAUUUAAAACUUCUUUAAAAGCCCAUAUGUAUUAAAACUUAAAUUUGAUCUUUGGACUUUGUGGGCAGCCCACUGUCAAUGGGCCUUGCCUGGGAGCCCAAGCUUUGGUCUCUUUUCAUGUGGUGUUUAGUCCCACAUUGGAAAGAGACCCUCACUUGCUUUGGUUUAUAUACUUCUUUAUUCUCAUUGUUAUUACUUGGGAAGUGAUGAGAGUGGAGCUCUCGUCUAAAUACACGCACGCGCGCACGGCACGAGCACGAGCCGAGCCGGGCCGGGCGGCGGCGCGCGUGAACCCGGUUCAUUUUAUUUUUGUUACACUUUUCUUUUAUUAUUUUAUUUUUGGCCUUACCUGGAUUAGGUCCAGAUUUGGUCCAGUCGAAGGGUCGCACCUCGGGACUCAACCAGCCCCAACGGUCUACCUCGGGAAGGUGGUCUUCCCGUUGGAACCCUUCUUUUGCUCUCCUAUUUACUAGGGUGAGUGGCUGGGUUAGGACAGUAGUGACAUACAGAAACCCUAGCCUGAGCUUCUCCCCUUUUCUCUCUUCUCCUUCUUCUUCACUGUUUUGCUGGAUCUCUGAAAAGCUGUGACGGUUCGUUCUUGCGCCACCCUGAAGCCGUGCCGACGGGGUGGACGAAGGUCGUUGUAUCGCUAGGAGUGAUUGCCGGCGCCUCGUACGUGGAGGGGCAAUCUUGCUUCUAGGACAGUGCAAUCGCACGCCUCGACUCACAGGCUCCAUCUAAUCCUUUAUUCUCUAUAGUUUUUAUUUAUUUCGUUCUUAAUCAACGUUUCUAAAAACAGUGGCUAAGUUGUUUUCAAACAAAAUUGUUUAUACAAAUAUUUGACUAAAGAUUUCGAAAGAGAACUAAUUUUUCCAACAUUCUAGAAGCAAGAUUUUAUUUUCUCUUUCUGUCUUCUUUAGUUUACUGCGUAGAAUACUAUUUUGGCUGUAGGAUAAUAUAUAUGUGCAUGAAACUGAUAUUGCUAUAAUUCGGAAUAUAUAAACCUAAAUAUAUGCAUGCUGUUUUUUUUUAGGUUUACUUGAAAUACUGCUGAUAAUUAAGAUUGUAAUACUGCUAACAUAUAUAUAUAUAUAUAUUUAUCUGCAUGAUCAUACUGUUACUAAACAUUGUUUAGAAAAAUUUACUGUUAUAUCUGUAAAACUUGGAACAGUCUUGUGAUAUUAUUUUAGGAUUACUUGAAAACAGAUUUGUCAUUAUGGAGGACUCGUAUUCGGCGAAGCCGUUCACUUUCGAUGGUCGUAAUUUUAAGAGGUGGCAGAACCAAAUGAGGUUCUGGCUCACCACACUUGGGCUUGUGUCUGCUAUCUCGGAUCCUGUCGAGAAUAGCAAUGCACCUUCAGGUGCAAUCCAGCCUACGGGCAACCGACCGUUUACUAGGAGCCAAGCCCAAGCCGGAUCCGCUCUUCCCCCCUCUGAAAAUGCAACUGCACCUCCACCUGUAACUGUACCCCUUGUAGAUCCUAACGUGAUAAACUAUCAUUGCCUGAACCGGAUUCUUAGUACCCUAUCUGAUAAACUGUAUGACAUAUUCUGUAGUGCCCAAUCAGCUAGGGAACUUUGGACAUCCUUAGAAAAUAAGUAUGGUCAGGUUGAUCCUACUCAGAAGAGAUACCAAGCUUCAGAUUUGAUUAAAUUCAAAUUAGUGGAUAGUAAACCUAUGUCUGACCAGCUCCAUGAUUUUGAGUAUAUUGUUGAGCAGCUUAGAUCUAGUGGUAUAAAUCUUGAUGAGAGUUUUUUAGUAGCCACUCUUAUAGAUAAGUUGCCACCCUCCUGGUCUAACCAUGCAAAUGAUCUUAACCAUAACCAAAGAGAGCUUUCCCUGAAUUAUGUCCUAAGAUCCAUUAGGAUAGAAGAGUCGAACCGAGCCAAGGAUAAGAAACCUACUGAACCCACUACCCAAGCCAACCUAGUAGAGAAUCCUAAAAAUAAGGGUAGAAACUUUCAGCCUCAUAGGAACUUUAAGAAGAAGCCUUUCCAUCAUAGAAAGUUCAACCCAAACUUUAAGAAGCCUAAACCUGAUGGGAGUGGGAGCAACUCUGGUUGCUUUGUGUGCGGGAAGACCAACCACUUUGCGAAGGAUUGCUAUUUUCGCAAGACUCGGCCUUCUGCACCCAAGAAGAAGAAGAACGGUCCACCUGAGCGCCAGAUGAAUAUGUUGACUGCUGGACCUGACUCUUCUGUCCCUGCUAUCAGGUUAGGAUCUAGUUUAGCUGAAGUUAACCUUACCUUUAGUUCUUCUGAUUGGUGGAUAGAUACCGGAGCAAAUAUUCAUGCAUGUUCUGAUCGCUCUUGGUUUGCCACUUAUCAGGACUCAUGUGGAGGAUCGGUGAACAUGGGGAAUGCAGCCUCUUCUCGCGUGCUUGGGACCGGUCGAGUGGAUUUGAGACUGACUUCUGGGAAGACCCUAACCUUGCACGGAGUCCACCAUGUUCCCGAUAUUAGGAAGAAUUUGAUUAGUGGUUCUCUUUUAGUUCAGCAGGGUUUUAAGUUAGUUUUUGAAUGUAAUAGGGUAGUUAUUACUAAGGGUGUGGAUUUUGUAGGAAAGGGAUUUUUGAGUGAUGGUUUGUUUAAGUUAUCUGUAUCUCCUCCCCCUAUUAAUGAAAGUGCACUUGUUUUGAAUGUUGUUUCAACUGAUGUUUGGCAUGGAAGAUUGGGACAUGUGAAUUAUAAUACUGUUAAGAGAUUAAUGCAUCUAGAUUUGAUUCCUAAAUCUGAUUUGUCUAAUCGUAAAUGUGAAAUUUGUGUGCAGGCUAAGGAGCCUAGAAAACCUUUUAAAUCAGUAGAUAGAGAUUGUGAUAUGUUAGAACUUGUGCAUAGUGAUGUUUGUGAUGGAACUAGACCUACUAGAGGUGGAAAUAAAUAUUUUGUGACUUUCAUAGAUGAUCAUUCGAAGUAUUGUUAUGUUUAUUUGAUCAAGACAAAAGAUGAGGUUUUGAGCAGAUUUAAAAUUUAUAAAGCUGAAGUUGAAAAUCAAUUAGAUAAGAAAAUCAAGAUUUUGAGAUCUGAUCGAGGAGGUGAAUAUACUUCAAAUGAGAUGACUAUUUUCUGUCAAGAAUUUGGAAUUGUACAUCAAGUGACUGCACCUUAUACACCUCAAUCUAAUGGAGUUGCUGAACGCAAAAAUAGAACUUUGAUGGAUAUGGUAAAUUCGAUGAUUAUUAGUUCAGGUGCACCCGAGAACUUGUGGGGGGAAGCUUUGAUUUCUGCAUGUGUGAUUUUAAAUAGGAUUCCCCACAAGAAUUCUAAUAUUUCUCCUUAUGAGCUUUGGAAAGGUAGGAAGCCUAAUUUGAAUUAUUUUAAAGUGUGGGGGUGCCUAGCUAAAGUUAAGAUACCUGAGAACAAGAAAAGGAAGAUUGGUCCUAAGACUGUAGAUACAGUUUUUAUAGGCUAUGCUUUAGAUAGUAACACCAACAGAUUUCUAGUGGUGAAUUCUGAGAUUAGUGAGAUUUCUAAUAAUACCAUUAUUGAAGCUAGAGAUGCAGUGUAUUUUGAGGAUAUCUUUCCUUUUAGGACUAGAGUAGAUAGACCUACUCCAGUUGAGCAUGUAGGUAGCUCUAGUGGUCCUAGAGUUAGUGAGCCUACAGUAGAGGUUGAACCUAGGAGAAGUAAGCGUCCUAGAGUAGAGAAAACUUUUGGAGAUGAUUUUUGUGUCCUACUAGUUGAAGAUACUCCUUCUACCUUUGACCAAGCUAUGAAGUCUGUAGAUGCAUCUUUUUGGAAAGAGGCUAUUAAUCUUGAGAUGCAAUCUAUUCUACAGAAUCAUACUUGGGAAUUAACAGAUUUACCUAUAGGAUGUAAGCCUGUAGGCUGUAGAUGGAUCUUUAAGAAGAAGUUGAGACCUGAUGGUUCUGUAGAAAAGUAUAAGGCUAGACUAGUGGCUCAAGGUUUUGCACAGAAGCCAGGUGUAGAUUAUUUUGAUGUGUAUGCACCUGUUGCUAGAAUUACCUCUAUCAGGAUAUUGUUGGCCUUAGCUUCUGUCCACAGUUUGAUUGUGCAUCAGAUGGAUGUUAAGACAGCUUUUCUGAAUGGUGAUUUAGAUGAGGAGAUCUAUAUGAAGCAACCUGAAGGAUUUGUAGUUUCUGGACAUGAAAAUAAAGUGUGCAAAUUGACGAGAUCUUUAUAUGGACUUAAACAAGCUCCUAAGCAGUGGCACUUGAAAUUUGAUUCUUUAGUUGUAUCAAAUGGAUUUCAUGUAAACAUGUCUGAUGAAUGUGUAUAUUCAAAGGAAUAUGAUGGACAGAUUGUGAUCCUGUGUUUAUAUGUUGAUGAUAUUUUGAUUUUUGGUACCAAUAUAAAUGUGAUACAUGAUGUGAAGAAAUUACUGAAUGAGAAUUUUGAUAUGAAAGAUCUUGGGCAAGCAGAUGUAAUUCUCAAUAUGAAGAUCAUUAGAGAAUCAAAAGAAAUUGUUAUGAGCCAAUCACACUAUAGUGAACAGUUAUUGAAGAAGUUUGGAUAUUUUGAUGUUAAACCUGUAGUGACACCUUAUGAUUCUAGUGUACAUCUUAAGAAGAAUAGAGGUGAUCCAAUUGGUCAGAAUAGAUAUGCACAGAUUAUAGGAUCUUUGGGAUAUCUAGUAGACUAUACUAGACCUGAUUUGGCUUAUGCUGUAAACAGAUUGAGAAGAUAUACCCAUAAUCCGAAUAGAGAUCAUUGGAAUGCUUUAGAAAGAGUUUUGAGGUAUCUAAAGGGAACUAUAUCUUAUGGAUUACAUUACAGUGGCUUUCCUGCAGUACUAGAAGGAUAUAGUGAUGCAAAUUGGAUUAGUGAUACAGCUGAUGUAAAGUCUACUACUGGAUUUGUUUUUCUUUUAGGAGGAGCAGCUGUAUCUUGGAAGUCAACCAAACAAUCUUUGAUUGCUAGAAGUACUAUGGAAUCUGAACUUAUAGCAUUAGAUACCACUGUAAAAGAGGCUAAGUGGAUAAGAGAAUUUCUUUAUGAUUUGCCACUGAUGGAGCGACCUUUAGCACUAGUGUGUAUUCAUUGUGAUUGUAGAUCUGCAAUUGAUAAAUGUGCUCAAGAGAAUGUGGAGACUAAGAUGAGUAGAUUUAUGAAAGUGAGACAUAAGUUCAUUCGACAGAGUAUGAAGGAGAAUGUAAUUGCUUUGGAAUUUGUGAGAUCUGCAAAGAAUCUGGCUGAUCAGCUCACCAAGGGAUUGUCUAGGACUGUGAUCCUAGAAUCGUCGAGGGGGAUGGGGCUUAGCCCACAAUGAAAGUUACCGGCGACGGCAACCCAACCUGUUGCAGGUUCAAUGGGUAGAAACAAGUCGAACAGGUAGCUGUGAGGAGCACUAUUUUUGUAUCCUCAUCCCUAUGGCGACAGUGCUCAUUUCUGCAAGUGGAUAGGAAGGGCUUUAGCCCUGAAUGGUUCCGAGACCCAUGAGGCAGGGUGUGACCUUACAGACACCCUUCUGAGGACCUACUAAGUGUGUGGAGUUGUGAGGCCGCAACUAUGGGAAGAGGGCGGUUCCCUAAAACACACAUGAAACGAUACUAGCGCAUGGCCGUAAUAGCGCUCACCCGCUUAGAACCUAAAUAGCUGUACCAUGUGUGCGGUUUGUGGAAAUCCGAUUCACCGGCCUUGGUUCAAGGCGAAGUCCACCAUUGUGUCCUCGGAUGUACAUAGACAAGCACUAAGUGAAGGUUCAAACCCGAAAGGUACCUUCGCCGAAUACGUGGUAUAAGAGAUCCAGCAUCUUUUUGAGUUAUUUUUGAAUUUCAGUUUUUAUUCUUCUGAAGUUUUAAAUCAUGUGGGGGAAUGUUAGUAUUUUGAUUAAAACAAGUGAUUUAAAACUUCUUUAAAAGCCCAUAUGUAUUAAAACUUAAAUUUGAUCUUUGGACUUUGUGGGCAGCCCACUGUCAAUGGGCCUUGCCUGGGAGCCCAAGCUUUGGUCUCUUUUCAUGUGGUGUUUAGUCCCACAUUGGAAAGAGACCCUCACUUGCUUUGGUUUAUAUACUUCUUUAUUCUCAUUGUUAUUACUUGGGAAGUGAUGAGAGUGGAGCUCUCGUCUAAAUACACGCACACGAGCACGAGCCGAGCCGGGCCGGGCGGCGGCGCGCGUGAACCCGGUUCACUUUAUUUUUGUUACACUUUUCAUUUUAUUAUUUUAUUUUUGACCUUACCUGGAUUAGGUCCAGAUUUGGUCCAGUCGAAGGGUCGCACCUCGGGACUCAACGUCUACCUCGGGAAGGUGGUCUUCCCGUUGGAACUCUUCUUUUGCUCUUCUAUUUACUAGGGUGAGUGGCUGGGUUGGGAUAGUAGUGAAAUACAGAAACCCUAGCCUGAGCUUCUCCCCUUUUCUCUCUUCUACUUCUUCUUCACUGUUUUGCUGGAUCUCUGAAAAGCUGUGACGGUUCGUUCUUGCGCCACCCUGAAGCCGUGCCGACGGGGUGGACGAAGGUCGUUGUAUCGCUAGGAGUGAUUGCCGGCGCCUCGUACGUGGAGGGGCAAUCUUGCUUCUAGGACAGUGCAAUCGCACGCCUCGACUCACAGGCUCCAUCUAAUCCUUUAUUCUCUAUAGUUUUUAUUUAUUUCGUUCUUAAUCAACGUUUCUAAAAACAGUGGAUAAGUUGUUUUCAAACAAAACUGUUUAUACAAAUAUUUGACUAAAGAUUUCAAAAGAGAACUAAUUUUUCCAACAGUACUUGCAUAUAACCCUUAAGUUUUCUCCAUGGGGCCUUAUUGCCGCGAGCGGUGCCGGCGGCGCAAUUGAUGCAUGGUAGUGGUGAGGGAGCAUGGCGGUGACGUCUGGGCAAUGUCGGAGAAGGAGCAGCGAGAGAAGGCGAUGUAGGGGAGGUGGAAAAGAGAAAGGAGGAUGAGAGAGGAAGCGGGAGAAGAAAGAGAUGGAGAAGACAAAAAAGAGAAAAUAAAGGUACUUUUAUCAGAGUCUUAGAAAUUUCAUCUGAAUCUAUAAUAUUCAAAAAGACAGUCCAAUUUUGUAAAAUGGCAAAGUUCAUAAAUUUUUAUUGAAAAGGCCAUAAUUCUGUUAUAUAAAUUGAAAUUUAGAAUUUAGAUAGAUAUUUCAUUAUUAAAUUGACCCUUUUUUUUUACUUCAAGUAAAAAUGUUGUGGAGACCACUUCUACUAUUGACUAUUUUAAUUUAUCUAUUUAAAUUUAAUUUUUCUUAUAAUAUUUUGAAAAUAUUAUUUUUCUUAAUUAAAUCAAAUGAUGUUAUUUAAUUGUAAUACAAUGCUUAUUAAUUUUAUAAGUGGCUUUAUCAGUAUUGUUGGGAAUAUGCCCCCGGAUCAGAUUUUGAGAAUCUGGCGCUCACUCCGAUACUGAUUACUAUUGAUUCGGUAUCAAUUGUUGGCAUUCCGUAGCAGGAACGUCAAAUUGAACAUUUACCAUCAACCCAUCUCCUUAGUUAAAGGCGAUACAAUCAAAAAAAGAGAGAAAAAAAUCAAACAGAAAAUACGUAGGUAAAAUAAGAGAAGAUUGCACUUGACUUGGAAUCUCUUCCACUUGAGCCCUUUUCCGCAUAAGGUAGCUUUAACUCGAGCUUUUUUUUUUAAUCUCUUUCACUUUUCUCUCUUCUUUUAUAAACCUAAAAUACCACUUUUUCUCUCUCAUAUACACCCGUCCGCUAAGUGCAUGCUACCUGAGCCCAAAGCUUUCUUGCAUAUGGCAGACCAAAAAGGGAUCAAAAAGACGUACGACUUCACAUGCUCUUCUACAAUUUGCAUAUAUAUUAUGCUAUAUAUAAAUAUCUCCUAAAACUGUCACACCCCGAUAUCGUCAAUUUAGACAGUUCGGGCAUAUAACAGACCCACCAAACAGAUAGAGUCUUCUCUAUCCGUCUAGCAAAAUCUGCGCAUUGACAUCCAAAUAGAAAAGAUCAAUACUAUACAUUUUGCACGAGAGCAUAGAGAACAAGAGAAUUUAAACUAUCUAUUAUAAAUGUACUUGUGCGACGCCGUACAAAUACAGGGGAGAUUCUGUCCAUAUGAACAGUGGAUUCCAUAUAUAUGUACUUGGCGGAUCUGUCAUACCCUGGGUCGAGGUUUCUUUUUUAAAAAAAAUUUGUGCAUCCCCUGGCUCGAUGUUUUUUUUUUAAAAAAAAUUUGUGCAUCCCCUGGGUCGAGGUUUAAACUAUCUAUUAUAAAUGUACUUAGAGAAUUUAAACUAUCUAUUAUAAAUGUACUUGGCAGAUCUGUCAUCCCCUGGGUCAAGGUUCUUUUUUUAAAAAAAAAUUGUGCACUUCCACUCUCUUUUUACUUAAAAGGGACCCCGGGGUGUGGCACAAACUCCACACUUUUCCCCGGAAUCGAUUUUCUAAAGCCGAUCACUGAAAUUCGCCAUAUAUUUCAAAAAUUACACCGGGAUGCCGCCGGAUCUCGAAACUCACCGACUCGUGCCACGAGUCACCCGCUACCUCAAAACAUAUCAUUUUGGAUGUCUUGGCAACAAACACAAGGUCACGCAUCAAUACGAUUAUCGUCGGAUAAUCGUUUCGAUCCGGGUUCCCUAAAGUGUCGUCGGUGGCAGGCAGGUGCAGCCGACGGGCGGAGGUCGCCGCUUACGUUAGCCGGUGAUGGCCAAAGAGGGUCGGGUUCGGCGGUAACAGACCGCCAGAGGCCGAAGGAGAUAGAGGCGGCCGAGGGAGAAGGGAUCGGGUCACCCUCUUCACUCAGGCUCAAGGAAAGGUGGAGAAAGAGGCGGAAAAAGAGAGGGAGAGGCAGGAUGGAGCUUUUCCGAUAGCCGGAUCAGGUGUGCGCUGGCGGCCGGGGUGCGCGCGGCGAGGGUAGGGAAAGGAGGUGAGGCGGCUGGGGCCUCAGUUAAGGGUGGCAAGGGGUAGGGUUUUGCAUCCAUAAAACCCUAAAGGUCACUAUGUAUAUGUGUUGGAACUUUGCAAAUAAGUCCACUGAAAUCCAUAAUUUUCAGCUGAGUCCCUCACAGCGCGAGUAAAACGCAUGAAUGUACCCUUAUGUUCGAUUUCACGCGAAUCGGUACAUCAAAUAUAAGGCUUUUUGCGAAAUUUUCUUUUCGCCACUUUUGACUCCUCCUAGAUCCUAGUGCUAUAACAGGGGAUCCGUCCGUUGGAUUUGCGAACGGACUACGCCAGCACUUCCGGCACUACCGAAACAUCAAAAUUACAAUUUUGUUUCGCCUGAUUUGGUCGCAAAUUCGCGUCGAAACUCAUCCUCUAUCCGAUUCUCCAAAACCACACACACACACACACACACACAUUUAUAUAUAGAAUUGAGCUCCUAUGCUUUUAAAAGUACCAAGUUAGUGGUGCUUGUAGAUUUUUGGCCUUUGAAUUAAGAGAUGUGCGGUUAGGAUGAUGUGGCCCCCCUAGGGUUGAGUAGAUAGUUGGUUGAAUAGUAUAAUCUAACUGAUGGAAAUGAUAAAAUGAUUAGAUCUAACAGUAAAAAUUUAUAAGCACCAAGUGCUUUGUGCUUUUACAAGUACCAUAGCCGGACUCUAUAUACAUAUUAUAUAUUGAACCAGGCUGGAAUACUAUCAAUAGCACGAAGCUAUUAGUGCUAUUGAUUUUUUAGCCCUUGGAUUGAGAAAUCGGUGGUUAGGAUGAUGUGGGCCCCCUAGGGUUGAGUGAGUAGUUGGUUGAAUAGUAUAAUCUAACGGGUAAAAAUAAUCAAAGGGUUAAAUCUAACGGUGGAAAAAUCGAUAGCACCAAAUCCUUGGUGCCAUCGAUAGUACCCCAGCCGGACUCUUAUAUAUAUAUAUAUAUAUAUAGUCCGGCAACUAUACUCUUAUGAGUAUAGUUCCCUUUGUACUCAUAAGUUUUUGACCGUUAAAUUUAUUUCUUUGAUCAUUUCCAUCUGUUAGAUCAUAUUAUUCAACCAACCACCUACUCAACCCUAGGAGACCACUAUUAAUCUAACCAAGGACCGCUAUCAUCCUAAUCGCAGAUCUCUUCAUCCAAUGAUAGAAAACUUAUGAGUACAAAGAAGCUAUACUUAUAAGAGUAUAAUAGCCCUAGCAUAUAUAUAUAUAUAUAUAUAUAUAACUAGCCUGGAAUACUAUCAAUAGUACCAAGCUGUUUGUGUUAUUAGAUUUUCGGCCAUAAGAUAAAAAAUGUACGGUUAGGAUGAUGUGGGCCCCCUAGAGUUGAGUGAGUUGUUGGUUGAAUAGCAUAAUAUAACGAGUGGAAAUAAUCAAAGAGUUAAAACUCUUAUGAGUAUAGAACACUUUGUACUCAUAAGUUUUUUGUCGUUUGAUCAACCCCUUUGACUAUUUUCACACAUUAGAUCAUACUAUUCAACUAACCACCCACUCAACCCUAGGGAACCACUAUUAUUCUAAUCGGGAACCACUAUCAUCAUAACCGUACAUCUCUUUAUCCAACAGCCAAAAACUUAUGAGUAGAAAGGACUAUAUACUCAUAAGAGUAUAAUAGCCCUAGCCUAUAUAUAUAUAUAUAUAUAUAUCAAAUAAAACUCAAAUUUAAUUUCAAAUUUUGAAGUUUCUCAAUUAAAAGUCUCAGAUAUUACAAAAUAAUAAUAUAUAACACCCAAAACAUAUAACAACAUUAAAUUAUGGGUAAUAAUUUUAUUUUUCAACAUUUUUUAAGAUAAUAAAUGUGAAAAAUAAGCUAUUCAUGUACCAAUGGCGGAUAAUGGUCGCUAUAUUAAAAUAUUGGCUUAUAAAUUCUUUGUAUUUUCUUAAGAUAUUUGGUUAACUUAAAACUCAUGAAUGUUUGCCAAUAAUUAAUUAUUAAUAGAUUUUUUAAUAGACUUUAUUAUAAUUUCAUCUUUCAUUAAAAAGAGAUGGAAUAAUUAAUUAGUAAUAGAUGAUAGAGCUAUCAAAUUUAACUAAAUUUUAGACGCCUUAAAUUUAUAAAUAAAAACUGUAUUUCACUCCAUCAACACUUUUUUUAACUCAGGUGAUUACGUCCGAUCAAGUAUAAUAUAUUUAAGGUCCUAAUUAAAAUUAAACUACCGGUAUUAUUAUUAUAAUAUAAAAUUUUUGUCUUAAUAGAGGGGAAUAGAGGCGGAGUUGCAGAGAGAUUUAGAGAGGGAUAGAGAGAGAGAAAAGAUAGGAAUCGGUGGAAAACGGAAGGGUACAGGAGACAAAGGAUUACCAAUAAUUUUUUUUAAUAUUUUUUUCUAAUCAGAAUAAAUAUAAUUAGAUUAAAAAUUAUAUUAUUGAAAACGCUACAUUAACAUUGUUAAAUAUAAAAAUAUUUAAACACCAUUCUCUAACAGCUUAAGCUUUUAGAGUAUAACGGUUGUUUAAAUAUUUUUAUAUUUAACAGACAUGACAUUUACUCAUACAAGUAUAUAAAAAAAAAUUCUAUCCAGUAUAAAAAAAAGUUUAAAAAAAUAUACAAAAAAGUACAUCAGCUUUAUAUUUAAACGGUUAGAGAACGAUGUUUAAAUAUUUUUAUAUUUAAUAGACAUGACAUUCACUCAAACAAGUAUAGAAAAAAAAAAUUUCUAUACCAGCAUAAAAAGUAUACAAAAAAGUUUAAAAAAGUAUACGAAAAAGUACAAAAAAUGUAAAGAAAAAAGUAUACAAAACCAUCUAUACAGAUAAAAAUAUAUGAAAUCAUCUACGCGAAAAAAAUGUAUACUAAACGAUCAAUAAAAGCAAAAACUGUAUCCACUAAAAGUAAGUAUUCUAUAAAUGUGCCGUCGAUGUGUAUAUCUGUAAGUUCCCGGGCAGUAUGAUAUCGAAGCCGCAAGAGUAGAAAAAAUCUAACUCUAUACAGCAAGAGGACGGAUACCCCUCAGCGGCAGGUAACAAGCAAUCCAUGUACGAAAAAACGAAAAAAUUUAUUACCUCUCAUCAGGCCAUGGUCCCAUGGGCACGAGGGUGGAGGCUUCCACGCUCAUUGGGGAGGAGGAUGCACCGCCUAGAUGAGGGAGUGAUGCAAAAGAGAAAGAAACGGAGGAUGCGUCAGCUAGAUAAAGGGAUGAUGAGGAAGAGGAGGAUGCGUCGGCAUGAGGGGGCGAUGAGGAGGAUGCGUCGGCUAGAUGAAGGCGCGAGGAAGCAGAGGAUGUGUGGGCAUGAGGGAGCGAUGCAGAAGAGGAGGGAGCGGAGGAGGAUGUCACGGUGAGAAACAUAUUUAAACGAUUAUUAUAUUUUAUUAUUAAAAUAAUUUUUUUUGAAGUACUAUAUUAAAAGUUAUAGAGUUACAAUUUCUUUUUUCUUGUAAUUAUGGUGAAGAUUCUAUAACCUUUCUUUCUUUUUUUUGCUUUUAAAUUUGCAGCUGACGGAAUUGCAAUGUACAAACGUAUGUUCAAUUUUAAUCUUAUAACCUAUGUAAUUUCAUCCAAUAAUCAAGAACGUACCACCGUAGUGGUGGUGGGGUUGCGGAAUGUCGUGGGGGUGGCAGGAUCAGUCUUCUUGAGCAAAAAACACUUAACAAUAGAAACUAUGUAGUAAAAUUUAAUAGCCAGAAAAAAAAGGUUAAAGUUCAAUAUAUACAGACGCUGCAAUAUGCUCAGGUAACUGAGGUGGAGGAUCCCAGCUCUUCCCUGUGAAGAGAAUUAAAUUAAAUAAUAUUCAGAAAAAAAAUAUAUUUUUUUUACUUACAGUUACAGUUGCUAUAAGAAAGGAAAAAUAUUUAGAUUUUUCUGUAAAAAUAUAGCUUGAAAAAGUGAUUGUGUUCAUAGCAAAACAAAAAUCAGCACAAAAAUUACAAAUGGACUGGAUACCGAAAUCAAAAAUUUGAUAAUGAUUAGGGUCUAAUGUUGCAAUUAGCUCCCACUACUAAUAUUUUGAUUACGAGAAAUAUGGCUUGUUUGAUCUACAUUCUGAAAAAGUGAUCUUUGUACAAUGAUUUUGGUUAGCAUUUGGCUAAAUAUAAAUAAGAAACGAAUUUUCUCCAUUGAUUUUAUAAAGCUGUUUCGUAAAAAUUUUUUGUUGAUGGCAAAAUAUGAAAACCAUUGUAAAAAAGAAUCCCUUUUUAUUUAAACUUAACGAAACAUUCUAUAGCUUUUAACAAAAUUUAAUUUUCUAAACCAAAAUUAUUCGAAAAAAUCACUUUUUCAGAAUCUAAGCCAACCGGAUACAUUGUUUUUUAAUUUUUGAAGCCCAAAAUUACAGCUAACUAAAGUCUACUACUCAAAAUCUAAUUCUACUUUUGAACAAAAAUUUUAGAUUUUUUAUUUUGAUUUUAGAUUCAAAUUUUCAAAUUUAAUUUUAAUUUUAAUUUUACAUUUUAGAUUUGUUUGCAUUUCUUGUGCUCAUAAAUUUUCGAUCGUUGCAUAAAAAAAUGUGCGGUUAGGAUGAUGGUAGUCCCCUAGGGCUGAGUAGGUGGUUGAUUGAAUAGUAGAUCUAAUAGGUGAAAAUGAUCAAAGAUUUAGAUCUAACGGUUGAAAGUUUAUAAAUAUAAAAAAAUUUAUAUUUAUAAAAGUAUAAUAGCCGGACUCAAUAUAUAUAUAUAUAUAGAGUUCGGCUAUGUUGCUUGUAAAAGCACCAAGCACUUGGUGCUUGUGAAUUUUUUACCGUUAGAUCUACGCCUUUGAUCAUUUUCACACGUUAGAUUAUACUAUUCAACCAACCACCCACUCAANGGAGUUACAAUUACACUAUUAUAUAUAUAUAUAUAUAUAUAUAUAUAUAUAUAUAUAUAUAUAUAUAUAUAUAUAUAUAUAUAUAUAUAUAGUCCGGCUACUAUUUUAUUAAAAGGAUAAAAGGUUUUGUCCUAUAAAAUCAUUUUGGUUGAUCGGGCUUUUAAAUUGAUAAUCAAUAUUAUUAAAAUUGAUCUACACUAUUAAAAAUAUUUAGAAACCGAAUUUUAUAAUUUUUAAACCGGUCCAGUAAAUGGCCCAUACGUGACUGGCUUACCUCACCCUCUACGUCAUCACCAGUUUACCUUUCCCACCCAAUUUUUUUGUUUUAAAUCCACCACCACCAACGGCCACAAUUCCCCGCCGUCCGAUCUCCUAGCACCGCUUCCGCCGUUGCUCCUCCACCGCCCCGUACGCCCGAAGUCCUCAACAGCCACAGCAGCUACUCUUCGGGCUUCACCAUCACCUCCGCCUCAACCGCCUCUCCCGAUCCCCCUCCCCCUCCCCCAAACGCAACCCAAACCCCUCCACCGCGACGAGAAGGGAUCGGCAGAAGAGCGAGAAGCGGACGCAAUCGGAGAAGAGGGAGCGGGAGAGGAGAAAGGAGGAGAAGGAAGAGGUGGGGCCGAGCAAUCCGGCAUUGCAUCGUCAACGAAUGAUCUUUCAGAGUCUAAAUCAGAAUCCCCCUAAGCAAAAGUCGACCUCCGCUCAAGAAAGCUCAGGAGGGAAGGUCGACCUCCACCGAUGACGGCUCUAGCACUCAAAACUCAACCUCUCUGCAUAACAUCAGGAAUUCUCCGGCCUAAGAUAGUAUGCCGGCGAAGAUGCUCGGUCGAGAACCCAACCUAAGUUCCAGAAUGACGUAAUAUACUACGACUAGAAUUAAAAUUACUACAAGCUACAAAGCUACAAACUACGGUACUGCAAUUACCCUAAGAAUGUUUAGUGUGACGGACGUGUUCAUGGAUUAAUUGAUGAAUGAUGAUCAUGAUUCUCCGGCCUAGGCCUUCUUGUAUAGCCACAAAAGUUUGAAUCGGCUACGAAAUUACGAAUUAUCAACUUAUAAUUUUUUUUUUUUUUUAAGAUAAAUAACAAGUUAUCUUAACCAGAAAUGUUUGGGCGCAUCCCACAAUGCUAGAAAGAAGCAAGUCAACAUACACCAUAACAUUCACACACUCAAAUCUGCGGAGUGGAAAAGCUUCUGCUUCCUCGAGAAGCAGAAAAUUAUUGGUGGCUUUUAUGAGUCUCUUAUCAGUUUCUUUCCACGACAUACAAAUGUUUGAGCAUACAACCUUUAAUAAUUUUAGCCAUAUAUAUUAAGAAGUUAAAUGCCCAUUUGGUGGUGAAUCUACACCUACUUGAUUCAGAUUAAGCAGGGAACAUUAUAACUAGAGAGAUGAGAAGUAUAUAGUUUGUAGUUGUAGUUGUUCCUUCCUACAAUGAAAAAGAAGAGAGAAUAUUUCAGUAACUCAACCACCCAUCAUUCUUUAGAACAAUUUACGGGCAAUGUCGAAGAGAUAAUGAAGCAACAUACUGGAUUUGAGCACUAAAAUAAAGAAAAAAGGUAGCGAUUAUAAACUGAAAUUAACUGGGAAUAUUAAUUUUGUUCAUUUGUUAAUUCUAUCUCUAACAAAUGUGAGAGUAAAUUUUCAUAAUUUUUCAACAAUUUCUACUGCCUCAAAGAUCGGAUUAAAGCAAAUGCAGUUCGAACUUAAUCAACAAAAUAACAAACCAAUAUGAAGGUUCAUUAACGGCAACAAAACAGGAAAAAAAAAAAAUGAAAUGAUAACAAGUAACAGUUAAAGCUUCAAACAAAGGUAAUAAUUCUAGCCCCAGCAACAAAAUAAUAAUAUGAUGCACUCCUUUGAUUCUUGUGAUUAUUCUCAUUUAAGCCCUUAAAUAAUUCAACUAGGACAUGUAUUGGAUAAUUUCUUAUGACUAAUCACUACUUUUACAUUACAAUGCAAUUAUGGAUUUUCUUUCCUUUUCCAAAAUUCAACAACCAUAUCUAAAAACCAACUGAUGGAAAAAAUAGAUUUUCCAUGAGUGGUUGUACCCAAAUUUAAUUAGACUUGUCCAAACAAAAACAGGACAUGACAUACAUUCUUCAUGUUUAGGCAGGAGAGAGAGAGAGAGAGAGAGAGAGAGAGAGAGGAUACGAGUCAUGGCGACAACCUCUCAAUUUGCCAUACUUGGCUUCCAUUUACUUCUCUUAGUACGUACUGUAGCCUGUGCAGAAAAAGAAAAAAAAAGGUGUUUCCGAUAAGUAAUUAUGUUCACAAUUUGCAGAAGUCGAAUAAUUCGAAUGGUUAGAAUGAAUAGAUAGUCCCUGUAGAAUCCCGAUAUUGCAACGAGGUUAAAAAGGUAAUACUGUCAGAUUUCUUUUCUAAUGGCUUCGAUGGAAUGAAAAUAUAUGAAAAAAGCUCAGAGACCAAAGCUUUGAGCGAGAAGUUCACAGAGUAAGUCACAAUAUUGGGAUAGCAUAUGCCACAAUAUCGGGACAGAACAGGGAGAGUAUGUACAUUUCGGUUAUUGGAAAAAUAUAGACCUACCGAUCAUGGAGACGAGAAGGUUGUCCUUGCCAGAACUCGAAACAUCUUGGAGUUAAUCUGUAACCUCCCCAGUAAUCUGGUUUGGGGAUUACCUUUCUGUCCAAUCACCCCAUAAGUGUUACAAAAAGAAGAACAAGAAGAAGAAAAGGAAAAAAAGAAAAAAGAAAAGACAAAUAUAGGAUAGAAUUUUGAUAAUAACAUCUGAGGGUCUAUUUUGGGCCUAAUCUACAUCUUUCCACAUCAUCUAGAGAUUAUGUCACUCGUCUACUUAAGAAGAGUGAACAAAUGUUUUUAAACACCAAUGAAGAAGAAUAGUUUCUCCUCGGAGAAUAUUAUUAGAAGCAAAAGACUCUGCGAUGGGAAACAGCCAGUAAAAGAUAACAUGCAUAGGAAACUAAAUUGCUUCCCAUCUGCAUAACCAUGUAUGAUAUAUAAGAGUUAUGCUAUCAUUAUUUCACUGUUUGUUACCCAUUUAUCUUGGACAAUUAUAACCUCUAGCAUGUCGUUACAUCUUAAACUAUGAAGACCAUCUAAAUACUUGUUCAAGUAAUAUGAGUGUAGUCGAAGCCCAGAGUCAACCCGUAAGUCAUGAUUUGUCUAAUAUUAACCAACACAAGUUACUACAAAAUAAAAAUUCCACAUAAUCAAAUGACGAGAGUUAAACCGUAACAAUCAACAAGGAAUUAUGUAAUAGUUACAAAGAAAGCAUUCAAAGAAGUUAUAACUGACCCAUCAGAAUAUCUUUCUUCCAAUUCCUUGUAUGCUUGGUGAAUCGCAUGCCUUCCAGCUAAAACAGCACUCUGUAAACUUGUAUAUAAUUUUUACAAUCCAGAUUUGAAAACUGAAAGUAUUUUAUUAUCAUUUAAUGUAUGUGACCUGCUUGCUGACUGCUGCACCAAGUUGACUUCCUCGAGGGCGACUGUGGAAAUAUCUCUCAGAUUCUUCGUCAGAGACUUUCUCAACAGAGCCUUCAAUUCUUACCUGGAUAUUAUGUUGUAUUUUAUUUACCUUUUCUGAUGAAUAAACUCCUAAUGUACCUUCAUAGCAAUGCAAUACGCAAGUACCUCUCAAUAUAAUAAGCACUGUAUAUCAACACAGUAGCAAAGACACCCACUAUGCCAUGUUUGAGAUGAUGACACUGAACAUUUAUAUGAGCAAUCAAGUAGACAUGCAGUCAGUAGUCAACAUACCUAGCAGUUACCCCAUUUUGCUCUCUUUACAUGAACUGAAGAGUAUACUUGCAUAAGCUGUCUAGCCUUUUGAUUAUUGUAUAAUAUGAUUCUAAAUGUUAUUCAUAAUUUAAAAUUAGAACUGACACCAAUCCAUCCUCAAGCAAUAGGCAACACAACCAAGGAUCAUAGAGAAUAAAAUUUGAUCUACAAUGCUUACCAUUUAGCUUUGUACAACAUAUAUUUUGAUUACUUUGCUUGCCUACUUGAAUCUUUUGAAAUUUAUUCACACAAGUCUUUGCACUUGAGGAAGAAAUUCAGUUGGGGUAAGAGAACCAGAAUGGAAACAAAGUUGAAAGGAUUGAGUUAAUUACAAGCAAAAAAGUUAGUUUAAUUUGAACUAGCAAAUUUACAUAUUCUCAAUAUUAUGUGCCGCCGCCAUCUCGAAAAAUAACAAGUUUGGUACAAACAAGAUUUUAAAAAAUGCACAUAUUGUAAAAUUGAAAAAAAAGCACCUGACGGUUGAGAUGAUUCCAAUAGAAAAGAAGGGACGCAUGAGGAUUUUCAGACAGCUCACGGGCCUUUCUGCUUUCAUAAUUGGUAUACCUAAAAGAACCAAAUCCGGAAUUUAAAAAAAAAGCCAUUACUUGCCUAUUUGGCUAGCUUCCAUAAAAUUUCUCUACUCUGAGAUGAAGCACUUAGGUGCGUAGCACACAAAAAGUUUGGAAACUUUGGAUUGGCAAGAAGCUGGAAGGAGCUUUUGGAUCCAAAAUCAAAAGCUCUAAUUUGAACCUUCUGCUAUGGCAUAGCAAAAUGUUGUUGGAAAAGAUAUCAAUGAAAAAGCUGUUGGUGUUUCUUCCAACAGCUUUAUUCAGCAGAACUUGUGUAGAAGCAAGGCCAAAUAGGCCUUCAGUCAUGUUCAGACUAAACUACCUAGCAUCAAGUAAGAGUUCCCUUAAAAAGUAGUAAAAGUAUGAACAUGACAACCUAAUUGAGCAGGUGAUGAUAAAAGUUGGUAAUCAAAGCAUUACUAACCAAAUAAAACCUUGUUUAUCAACUCCUUUUAGCAGGACCAUUCUUGAUGAACUGCAAAGCACAAACAUUGCAGGCAAAACAGAGAUGAGAUUAGCAGGUUUUUAGCUUAAAAACAGCUCACCGGAGAAAAGAAAACUUUUAUUUUGGGGGGUGGGUGGGGGAACCAAAAAAGAAAGGACAUACGGCUUUCCAUCCUUGCCGGAAGUCGAUAAAGCCAUAGCAUUUGGCUCACGCAAGCCAGUAGAAACAGCUUCAUCAAACCAUAUUUGAAACUACAGCAAAAUUCAAGGGAAUAAAUAAAUUUAGAUUACAAAAGAAAUUUGGAGGCUUUACAUGUAUGUCCCUCCAAAUCAUCUAUUUACCUGCAUGCACUCAUAAAUAUAAAAUCGUGAUUUUCAUAUGUAUUCUUAAAAAAUGCAGCAUAAAAUUCAUGAGGAAGUUAAUUUUGCAUUCAUAUAAUGUAUAAGGGCUUAUAGGUAAGAAAUAAAAUUUUUGGGGGGCAUUUAUAAGACUGGGAUUUUGCAGGAAUAUAUAUAUAUAUAUAUAUAAACAUGUGAUUUUGCAGGGGUAUGUCAGUAAAAUCUCGAGUUGAAAGGACGUAAUACCUGAUCCACAGGGUCAGCCAUCACUUGAUCUUCAAGAAGUUCAGGAGAAGUAUAGUUCUCUCUAAGUGAUGCGAUGUCAACAGAAGGGGGUUUUCCGAUUCUAACACACAUUGAAGUGCCAGGAUAAGGAGGUAGUCGGAGUCCAUACUUAUCUAUGAUCGCUGGUGGAACAAAUCUACCCCCUAGAAAAUGGUGAGGCCCAGCAAAUUUUUUUGCGCACAGCUUUGGAGCAGUUAACGACACCUAGAAAAGCAAAAGUAAUAAAAAAAUAAGUUUGGAUGAUGAUUUAGAUAUUAAGAUUGUUAGAUUUAAAAAGAAAAUAUACACAGAGAUGUACAGGCCUUACCACAAUGGUGCAAUUUUAUUUUAAGUACCUCGACACGAGAACUUGACAGUAUUUUUAACUUUUCAAACGGAAUAUUCCAUACUCUAACAAAAUAUUUUUUACUUAAUGGAAUUUAUAUGACUUUUAGGACUGAGCUAUAAUCUAACAGAAGUUAAUGGAGUUUUCUGAAAUCAAAAUAACUGGUAUGUUAGGGAGUAAAAUCAAAAGUUUUAAAGUUCAGAUGCCUAUUUCAAAAUGCAAUAUAAUUCAAUGCAAGGUCUGCAUAUUUUUUCCAAAAAACAUGUAACAUAUAAAACUUCAAAUCAUAUGCUAACCAGCAUUUCAGGUUUAAUUCCUUCACCGUUGAUGUCUCCUUCUUCCACAUGCCACCCAGAAGGAAUAUCAACUGAAACAAUUGGUGGCGAUUUUUUGGGCGCAUUAUCAAAAGCUUUCAAGGCCACAAGCCUUUGGAUGAGAUCAUCAAAAGGUGGCCUUGGUGUCCCUGCAUUCAUGAAUCAUUUCAGAAAACUUAAGCAUCAAUAUUUAAUAAAGGAGUCCAUUAACAGUUCAUGGAGAUAAAUUGUCUUUCCUCCUUUAUCUGCUCCUUCAUAAUUAAAGUUCUAUAGUAUAAAAGAGGAUAUGCAAUGAAGCAGGAUGCUGCAUACAUGGCAGACAAACCCCACUGUCAUACUCCAUCUUUUAUUUCCAAUGUCUUAAUGGUGCCACCCUUACUGUGUACUUAUACGCAAUAAAUUUUGGCAAAACUGUAACAGCUCUCAUAUCAGAAUACUUCAACUAACCAAAUUAUGCAAAAUUUAAUGCUCAAAAUAGCAAAUUAAUGAAUUUAUUAAGUACCCAAACUUCAACUAACCAAAAUUAAUGAAUUUAUUAAGUACCCAAACUUCAACUAACCAAAAUUAUGGGUACAAACUUCACGCAUGCACAGUAACAAAGAUUUUUAAUCAAAGUCAUGUACUUAUGUAAGAGCGGUUUCAUGGCAGAGCCAAAAAUCACUGUAAAUAACUUAUGUUGGUCAUAGGCAAUUAAUCAACAUAGCAUCCCAUGACUACACAGAUUACAUGAAUUUCAAAAUAAUUAAACUUAAAAACCAUAUCUUAUAUAACAAGUAGGUUACCAUGAAAUGAGAACCCGAACAUCGCAUCCACUAUAAUGUCGAAAUCAUCUGAUAAGUUUUGUGGCAGGUCUUCAACAGACAAGAAUGGGAUCGACAGUGAUUCAAGCUACAAAUUUACAUAACACUCAAGUCGAAUCAAUGAGCAAUGAAAACAUUAGACUUAGCUCAAGAAAGGAUAUCAUAACAUCAAAACAUAAACAAUGUACCUGCGUUACGAGGCCAGAAUAGAGAGGCUUCGAUGUCCGUUUGGGAUAAGAAAUGAAGGGUUUAUAUCCAAAAUGAUAGAGGUGGCGAGCAGCCACCAGACCAUCACCACCGUUAUUUCCUGGACCGCAGAUAGCAAGCACGCGACUAUAUUCACUUAAUUUAUAAACCUGAUAAAAUAGUUAGUCAGAGUGAAUGUUCAAAAACACAUGUUUAGAACCAAAAAUAACACAACAAAAAUCAAUAGGUAACAUGUAUGGACAGUCCCUGUACUCUCAUAAUAUAGCGCUAUACUCCCUGAACUUUUCACUGAAACACUUCAAGGCAUGGACCUCUCCAUAUAUUGCAACUCCAUCCUUAGCUACCCAAAGAAUCUAACAGGAUGUACGUGUUUCUCUAUAAGAGAACCUUCAAAACCAUAUUUUAAGCACUCUAACAAGAAAGCUAUUUUAUGAAGAAUUAACAGGUCGAUUUAUGAAAAAAAAGAAAAGAAAAGAAAAGAAAAGGUAGAUAUUUUUAUGGUAGGGAGCGAAAGCUCAUCAUAAGAUAAAAUUCAGGAACUAACAAUACAUUUUAUCCAAAAAUGCUAAUACAAAUAUGAUAAACCAUGCCAAACAACUAAGGAUUGAGAGUAAUGGUAGUCCAUAUCAUAUAUACUCGAGUGAGAUUUUCGUUCGUCCAUGCCAUUACCAAAUUCACGUUUAUCCAUACUUAGAAUCUGUUGCAGAGGCAUUUCAAUCAUAAAUGCAAAAACAGAGGGGAAAAAAAAAAUGCUUAAACCAUCAAUUUAUACACAAGUACUCAGACUUCCCAUGCUCUAAUCCGAUCACUAUACUAAGAACCCUACCUUCAGUUCCAUUAUGCAGUAGCUCAAAACACACAAGAUGACAACUUUAUCCAAUUCCCUCACUAGGGUUUACUAAACCAACGUAAAAACACCAAAAAGAUCGAAGAUUUUCCCUCACCUCCGCGAUCGCCGCGGCCACACUCAACCCGGCCAACUCCUGCAACAAAGAGACGACGACAUCUCAAUCCACACCAACNAAGAAGGAAUCGGCGAGGAGGGGAUGGAUCGGGGCGGAGAGGAGCACCAUCAGCUGGUCGACGCUGAACCCGAGGGGCCCCAUGAGGGCCUCGUCGAUCUCGGCCGCGUCCUUCUGCGAGAUGUACGAGACGGGCUCGUCCGCCAUGGCCGCCGCCGAGGAGAAGCUUCUUCUGGAGCGAAGGUGGGGCGGAGCGCCGAGGAGGGAGGCGCGGGGGAGGGGAAGAGGAGAAGCAGGAGGAGGAGAGAGGGGAGAUGAUGAGCGGAGGAGGAGAGUGGGGUUUUGGGGAUUGGGGCGUGAGGUGGAGGUGGUGAGGAUGAUGGGGGAGGAGGGGGAAGUGAGGAGGAGGAGGAGAUGCGAGAGCAUUCCGCGGGGUUUGCCACGAAGGGAUUGCAUUUUUGUAGAUGUUCCUUUUUUAGGAAAGUGCCCGCCGUUGAAAAGGGCUAAAAAAAAAAAACAAAAAAAAAAGUUUGUUUUUAUUUUUAGAUUAAUACUGCACUUAUAAAUAAAUUUUAUAAUAUUGGUUAGCAUAUGUGACCACAUUUAAUGGUCUUUUUUCAAAAAUAACCCUGUGAAAUUUCAUAUUUGCCAAACUAAUCUUGUGAAAUUUUUAUUUAUAAAACUAGCUCUCCUUUCGCCAGGUUCACCGUCUUUAGAAGACGGUGAACCAUUCACCGCCUUUAGUGCAAAAUUUUCCUUUUCGCCCUUUCCCCUUUCCGCCCUCUCAAGUCCGUCUUUUCUGUGCCCUCGAGAAGACGGGGAACGACGAUUCACCGUCUUAUCAAGGACACCAUAUUAUAUAUUUGGAAAGAUUUGCGCAGAGUAGAGAUUUAUACUAAAGACGGUGAAUGGUUCAUCGUCUUAUGAAGACGGUAAACCAUUCACCGCCUUCACAACAAAUAUCAAAGACGGUGAACGAUUCACCGUCUUUUUGAGGAAUCCCUGACGUGGCGUCCACGUGGCGAGAGGAGGGUUAAUUUCACAAAUAAAAAUUUCACAGGAUUAGUUUGGCAAAUACGAAAUUUUACAGGAUUAUUUUCGAAAAAAGUCCACAUUUAAUUGGUAAAGAAAUAUAAAUCACGAGCAGGUAAAUAUGAUUUAUAAUUUCAAAGUUGAAAUUUAACUACUAAGUUGUGUAAUUUAUAAAAUAUUGUGCAAUUUGGUUGUAAGUAAAAUUAUUUUUUAAAUUUUUAUUUUUGUUUUGUUUCUGUAUUGUAUAUAUUAAUUUUUUAGAAUAAAAAUUAUUUAAAAUUUUAUGGUACUUUCGAAUUGUGCAUAUUAAUUGUAAUUAAAACUUCAAAUUGUGGGCAUUUAUAACAAAAUAUAAAAUUGUUUAUUCCGAACUAAGAAGCUAUCUGGUAUUGAGACUGAUCUAAAACUGGCAAAAUAUAGUUGGGGUUAAAGUAAGAGGAGAUAUGCUUUUUCGUUCUUCAAUAGAUCCGUAAAAAAAUAUAUUAUAACUAACUAAUCGUAAUAUAUAGAACGUAAUAUUAUAUAGAAAAAAAAUAUGAUAUCGUUGAUAUUGUCGAAUAAUUAUGAUAUACGGCAUAUGAUAUUAGGUAAUAAAAAAAAAACAUAUGUAUUUUGGACAUUCUGUCCCAUUGCAUGUAAAAUCAUUCUCCCAACAAUCCCAAAUGACAAUACUCUGCUUUAUAAAUUUUGUUUAAUCUAUGUUUAUUUUAAUUAUUUGAUCUUUCAGUACUUUGCUUCACUAUAUUAAGAGCCGUUUGAAAGUGAAAAAAUCAGAGCGUGAAGAAUUUGUGAACCACGCGAACUCAACUUUGCUUCUCAUCUCACUAAAGCUAAAGAGCUAAUCUUCUGCACAAUUGUGAGUAGAAGUUCAAACGAUUUCGCAACUUCAGUAUCAAAGCAAAUACUGAUGCCAACAAUUUUCUUAGAGUCACGAGUUCAACCUCAAAGAUCUACAACAACAAAUAGACCCUUAGCUAAAGUUAUUUGACGCUUCCAUUUCAUUUUCGGAAGAAAGCAAAAAUUUGUUGCCAAUAACUAGUUUUCAGAUUACUGUUGACUUAAUUAUGUACUAUUUUUACUCAUUUAAUUUAAAUUAUUAUUUGAUUAUUUUUUCAAUUAAUCAUUUAAAUGCACAAUUAGUUUUUUACGGCCUUGCUCAAUUUGUAAAGCACGUUAUUUGUGAUGAGACAAAUGGUUCGACAGCAAUAAUAAUCAAAUAAAUGAAAAGUUGAAAAGCUAAAUCAAAGUUCACGCAAGUUGAUUCUGAAAUGAAUUACGAUUGGAAUAAUAAGUGAUGUACAUUCUCCUUUUUACUUAAAAUAAAAGCAAAGUUUUAAAUUUGAUUAAUCAAACAAAAUUUUGGUAGAAACAAUGAGAAACCUUUCUUCUUACUUUCUCCUCCACUCAAUUGUACUCAAGCACUCACCUUCCCAUUUAUGCGUCCUUCGUUUCUAGAAAAGAUAAUUAAUUGAACAGUUGACACGUUUAAAUAAGUAAAAAAACAAAAAAAAUGCAAGAAAACAUUAUACCUCUACUAUUCUUCUGUCACAAAUCUUUUUUAAUUCGCAUCAAUAUUUGAUACUGGGUAUGCUCUACAUUAAGAAUUGAAAUUUACAUCCGUACACGUAAAUACAUGUACUUUCAAGGAUGUAUAUGCAAAAUCUCCAAAGAGUACAAACUGGGUGCAGUGUCAAGAAAGAAUGAGCUCGGCUUAGGGAGCUUUUUGAAAAUAAUCACAGAUUUGAUAUCCGUUUUUUAAAACGAAUAAACUUCAAAUUUGCUCCCCCGGAUUCUGUGGUGCAAAAAUAUACUUUAACUAUAUUACUAUUUUAUUUUUAUUUUACCGUGAAAUUUUAUUAUUAAACAGAGUAGCAAAGUGAUAUUUUUGCAAAGCACAGGACAGUAAAAUGCAAAUCAUAGAAUGGUAAAAUGUUCUAGUGUACUGCCUUGUUGUUUGCAAAACAUAUUACUUCACUACUGUAUUUUAAUAGCAGACCGAGAACUACGAAAAAAAAAAAAAAAGAAAAAGAAAAAGAAAAGACUCUAGAAUAGUCAAAUGCAACUUUUGAACCACAGGAAGGCAAGAUGAAAAUGCACUAAACCAUAGAAUGGCAAUGAAGUUUAUCUUUUUUAAAAGAGUUUUAGGGUUUUGAGGUUCAGAAGCAAAUCUGCUCCACAAGAAUCCUCAAGGGGCCGCUUUGAACCGCAUGUGAUAAGCAACAAUGGCCAGCACAAUGACCAAAAGAAUAAGCCACAUAUUAAGACCUGCAAAAAAUAGAAAAAGAAAAAAAAAUUAAAGAUUAUUAAGACAAAAAAAAGGGCAUGAUAACCAAAACAGAAAUCAAAUUAUAGAUGCAGAGUGCCUUUGCUCUUUUUGUUCUCGAUUACUGUCACCCUCGCGGUUGAGUCGAAGGAGGAAGACAACAAAGCCCUGAGCACAUGAAAAAUAAUUAAAUCCACAGAUCAAUGGAGCAUAUGUAAGACCAGCAUUAGAUCUCUUGAUCAGCCAGCUUUUGUCCAAAUAGCAACUGAUUGAUUUAUCUUCUUAAAUUUCGGAUGUAAUACUUGAUAUGGGUAUCAACUGUAAAAAAUUGAACUACUGACUGGCUAGCAUGUAUACGAAAUUGACUCAUCAAACAAACAUUUUGGGGUAUAUUGAGGACACAGAACAUUAACUAUUUUGGCCUGGCUUCCACAAAAGCUUCUCAAAUUUAAGCAGCAGCAGAAAUAGGAAAGACAAAAGUUUCUAAAGCUUUUGGAUGGAACAGAAAACUGCAAAAUCCCAUUUGGGUAUUGCAUAAUGAUGAAAAUAGUUGUUGCAGCUUCUUCAAACAGUUCUACUAAACAGAACUGAGGGGACCUUCUGUGGAGCCAAAUGAAUCAAAAGAUGAGCUAAAUUAAGCAGGAUAAUAUGCACCAAAGAGAUAAUGACCUUGUAUCUUGUGAGAAUACCAAUGCGGUAACAAUGCCAAGAUGCGCUUUUUUAACUGCUGUAUGCACCUGCGUAUCUGCGGACCUUAGAAUAAUGAUGCUUCCUUCAACUGUCCCACUGUAGAUUGUGCAAAUGGCUAAGCAAAUAAGAUUGCCUAAUAGAGCACACAAAUGGCACUAGAUCUAUAUACAUGCAUUCAAGCACACAUACAUGCAGAAGUAUGUAUAUAUCUACGAUCACUUACAUGGCAAGGAAUUUACCAUCAGAUGAGACAUUGAAUGCAGAUAUCGGGUCACGGGCUAUACUCUUUGACCCAAUUCGAUUCCAUGAGCUAAUAUUCCAAGAUACUAUUCUCCCUUUAUCACCUGCAAAACAAAGUUGCAUCCCCUCGAUCAGGUAGCAAAGUUACAAUAAAGAAAUGAAGCCUUUCCAUAUUAUAUAUCCCUCAGAAAUCAUCUAAUUACAAAGAAACCCUCAUAUGACGUGAAAUAUCUGUACAGACCUUACAAACUGAACUUUUUACACAAAAUAAACUAACAAAAAGUUGGGGAGUCAUCUAUUCACAGAUGGGGGAAUUUGGUUUUUAUUAGAAAAGGCCUGGUUUUAUAAGAGGGGCACUUUUGUAAGCGCAAGUGUAUGUAGAUAGGAGUGAAGGAUGUAUAUAAAGAUUCACAGAUUUUACAAGGAUAAAAAUGGAUAAUUCUGCAGGGAUAUCUAAGUAAAUAUCUUUAAUAACAACAGUGACUUGCACUCAAAAUCUUAGACUAUCACCAUGCAUUGCAGUGACAUAAAGGAUCUGGUUAUCAUCUGCUCCAUGAGAGAACCUGCAAAAGCCGAAGAUCUCUCCCUGGAAUGUGUAAAAUUUAGUAAUUUGAUAUACCAAAGAGAGUAAUUAAGAUACAUCAGGGAUCAUAAAGCAGAAAUGUUACAUCUUCUCUCGGUAGAUUUGCUACAACUGCUACUGAUGUUAAAUCCCAAACCCUGCAAGGACCACUACUCCUCAGACAGGCAAGAAACUUGCCAUUGGAACUGCAAAACAUACACCAAAAUGAGAAAAAUAAAUAAUUUUACAUGAAAUUUAAGUAAAAGAAUAAUAGGUUACAAAUGAAAAUGAAUCAUAUAGGUUACAAUUGAAAAUGAAUCCUGAACCUGAAAUCCAAAUCCUUUAAAGUUGUAUUAUCAACACUUUCCUCUAGAAUGCUUUCCAUACUGGGCCACUUGAAGACCCUCAAACGUCCAUCCUACAUUAAGAAUAUCAUUGCUAUUACUACAACAUCCUUUCUUCUGGCUGUUGAUUGACUAAGAAACUUAAUAAAUUAAAGAAUACAAUUAUCAGCAGCCAAUGUAUGAAGAAAUGUGAUAAAAACAUGAAACUGUGUCAUCGUAGGAAACAUUUGUCAUAUUACUAACAAUUAAAGUUUUGAGACAAAAGCAGGAGGGAAUAGUCCACGGUAGAGCAAACAAAUUACUUGCAAUAAGAGAUAAUGUUAGAAAAGGAAGAAAUUUGCAACCAAGCACCCAAAAUGAAGGUCGAAGAUAGAAAGUGAAUGGAAAGAUCAAACAAAGCACAAUAAGAUACAAGAAGUUGAGAGAGAAUAUUAGAAAUGGAGUCAUAGAUAGUAAGAUUAUCGAAAAACUAACCACACACAUGCACAAAGGCUGUUGUGCAUGGACAUGCACAUUCAGACUCACAUACACACAUGCAAGGACAAAGCAUACAUGCAAAAAAAUGAUAAGUACUAUAAUAAAUAAUGUUCCAACAGUAAACCACGUAAAUUCUGGAUCAAUUGCAUUCAUUAUCGAAUUACACAAAAAAGAAAACAAUAACAAUAACAAAUUCUGAAUUUUUUUUGGCAACUGCAGAACAGUGUAACAUGUUAACGAAACAUCUGGAAUAGACCACAACUGACAAUAUCAAGAAAAUACUAAUUCACUCAUGAACAUUUUCUCACAGAAAUGAGAACUUCGAUACUUUAUAUUGAGGAAUUCAAACUAUGGGAAAAAUACAGCAAAAAAUAAUUCGCUACCUCGCCACCAGUUGCAAGUAAUGAACCUUCUUCAUUGAAAGAUAAUGCCAAUUGUAACCCAACAUCUUCCAGCGGUUGCAAUAUCUUCCCGGAAGAUUUCAGGGCCAGAUUAUGAAGUUCCUUACCUUCUAAUAAAUCCCAUUCAAACCACCUAAACCAUUAAAUCAUUCUGCUAAUUAAGACUACACGGAGAUUAAAAUAAUCAAAUUCCACAAUACAGCAAAUGUUACAGAAUAAAAUGGAAUUGCCAAGAUUUAAUGUAUCUUAAAAUGACAAAAGAAGUGCUUCAAAUUGCCUCAUAUUGAGCAGUAUAGAAGUAACGCUGCUUUAUGGUUGCCCUAUAAAUGCUUCGUCUUUAUCCUUCCCGAAAGAAGCUUCAAUUCAAAUAUUCAGUUUCUAUUUCGAACAACUCAAUUCAAACAGCAUUUUUACAAAGGCUGCGAUGAUGCCAAACAAAGCCCUAGGACAUGUUCAAUACACAAUUUGAUUUCCGCAUAAAAAUUAACAGUAACUUCAAAAGUUUUCAGUUAAUUUCGAGAAAGAACCUGCAACUCUUCGGAAAGGAGCAGAUGAUGCCAUCCCCUUUAGGAUGCACGGCCAUUCUGUACGGAACAUCUGCAUUAGUCCCCAUCCUGAAGACCUGAAUCAUCAAUAGCGAUUCUAAGCUCGAGAUUCGACCCCAACCCUAAAUUCCACACCGAGCAGUAGUCCCAAAAUUAGGAUCAAACUGAAAGAGUGGAGAGCAUUACCGGUUGAUCCGAGAGGGAUCGGGAAGGGAGAUCGAAGCAGGCGACAACGAGGGCGUUGGGGACCCCGCUCCGCCCUUCGCCGCCUCCGCCGCCGAGCGCCGCGACGAGUCGAUCUCCACCACCACCUCCACCUCCUCCUUCUCCCGAUCCGCCGCCACCAUCUCCACCUCCUGGGGCAUCGGCGGCGCCGUCGUCCUCGUCAUCUUUCUUCGCGGCGGCGAUCUCGGCGAGGGGGACGAAGGAGGCGCAGUAGAUGGGGAAGCCGUAGGUCUUGGAGCAGGGAGGGAUCUCUCGCCGCCCUUUCGCCAUUGUUGACCUCUCUCUCUCUCUCUCUCUCUCUCUCUCUCAAUUCUUCUUCUUCUUCUUCUUCGACAACAGUUGUAAGAGAUCCCCCCAGAGGAGCGCGGAGGAGUUGGGCAAAUUUGUACGGUUAACCCCUCAACAACUGGCUAUUUUGCAUGAGGACUCUUAACUAUUCUUUUUGUUUAAAAAAUUAGAUUCGCUUAAUUUUUUUUAUUAUAUUUAUUAACUAUAUUGAGAAAAUUGAUUACUUUUGAUUAGAGUAAUAAUUUUGUUCAAUUUAUCAGUAUUUUUUACAAUGAUGAAAUUACCGAUUUUUAGCUAACUCUUCUAUUCUAUUUUUUAAAAAAUAUUAGAGAAAAUUAGAAUUAAGCAAGUAUAUAAGUAAAAGAGUCCGUGGCAUAAGGAAUUAGGAUUUGCAUUACAAUGAGCUCGAAAGUCGGCAACCUGACCUGCCUCACCACCGACUUUAGUUAAAAUCCUGCAGCGUAAGGACUUAGGACUGCUAUUACCACGGUAACACUGUAUGUCCCAAUAAGCAAUAAGCAGGAACAAAAUUAAUUUAUUUCUUCUUUUCCUUUUCAAUUAUACAAUUAAUUAUUUUAAAAAAAUCUGAUCAGUUAUCACAAUGGUAAUGGUAAUGGUGUGUGAGUACCCGGAAAACUCGUUGCGUAAAAAAGAAAGAGAAAAGCCAUGACAGGACUUGGCUGGAACAGUACAGCCAUGUGCAUGCCUAUGCAUCUUGCCCGGCACAACAACGUGCACAAAAUGAAAUAUUAUUAGAAAGCGGAUGCAAAGAGGAGAAAAGAAAUAACUCAAAAAGGGGUAAAAAUUAUAAGAUUAUAACAAUUUUUAAGUUGACAGAAAUGAAGUCCCUCAAAAGUUCAUGACACCAUACGAAUCUUCUCAAGCAGUUCCUAAACAAGUUCCAGCGAGUCUAAAAGCUAACAUAACCUCUGUUUCGGCAUUAGUUUCCUUCGUACUUUGGAUCGGCCAUCACAUAAUGAUAGGCAAUUACCAGCAUGAAAAUGAAUAUGCCGAGGAAAUUGGAGAAGAAUCCCAAGUCUUGGUCGUCGAUCAUCUGCAACACAAAAACGAAACAUAAGACUCUGAUUCAAAUAUGGUCUGGUGGCGGCAGCCAUAUUCUGAAUUUUUCUGCAUUGAUAUCAAACCAGCCUAGCUCUGGCUAUAUACCACCCUGUGAAAUCCGAAUUUCUGUAUAGACUCAAUUCAUAGGGAAGUUAGUUUCUGUAAGCACAAUGACACAUAAGUAAGACGUAAUAACUCACUCCCUAUUAGGAAAUAAAUUCAUCCAAUUCAUCAGAAGUUAGUUUAGUAUUAUAGUUUCAUCCCUCUAAUAGCAAAUGAAUUUGAUGGGGCAUAAAGUCGUAGCUCUCCCAACCAAUUCCUUUUAAUACAGCUAAGGGUAUCAAAUAAUUUUGAAGACAAGAAAUUGUUACCAAAUAAAAAAGGGCUUAAUCAAGAUAAUUAAUGCAGACUGGUGAAACAAUUGUUAACCCAGACUUCCAGAUGUUUAUCGCACAAAUGGUAAGAGUCUAAGAGUCCUCUUAAUGCACACGCUCUGAUUUCUAAUAUUCACAUCAAAAGUUUCAAAUCAUAGUCUAUUUUGAAUAAUUCACAGAAAAGCUGCAAUUAAGCGGUCAAAACGAUUUUCUAGAAGAUUUUAUAUUUUUUCUUUACUUUUACUUUAUUUUAUUUUUUUGCUUUGGUUAUGUUCUUCUUGUUCUGAAAAGCAAACAAGACAUGUAAACUGAAAACUAGUUCCUUUCUUUUCAUAGCAGCUCCGCCUCUGAUGGUAAAAUCUUAACCUGAUGAUAAUUGAAAAUUAUUUAUCACCAAGAAUCCUAUUGCAAAAUUCCAAUCCAAUCUCACGAUUCCAGAGAUACUUAGUUAUAAUAUCUUUGUUGAAAGGCACUAUAAUAAUAGGUGAGAAGAUAUCGAAAAGACCUUCACGUCUCCUACACAUUGCUAGUUUAUGUUGUAACCUCUACUGAAGUUCAGCAUGAGCCGAAGCUUCAAAUAUCGAUCAAGCAUUUAUUUAAACAGGAACCAUGUUCUAGUAUUCAGUAUUUGAAGGGAACAUUUCAACUAAAAAGACAAAACACUAUUCGUACUUAAUCUAUAUACUCCUCAGAAGGUGGAAACAAUCCCAGAUUGCUGUUUCAUUAGGACUCGUCGCUCACCCUGCACCUUGCGUCUGCUUGUCAAUGGCUCAAUUUGUGAUUAUGUGGGUGUGUGGAUAACCCUGUGGGCUUCUAUUCAAAACAAGAAAGGUAGAACUUCAAAAUUUUGGAGACAUCUUCUAGGUCUAGCUCCCUGUAAGUCUCUGACAUGUUAAAGAACAAACCGCCUAUAAAUGUGCUCCAAUUCAGCUCAACUCACCCUUCAUUCCACACUAGAUGUUCAUGGAUGUAUCAAUUUUAAUGAGGACAAUGACCCUCCAAGCUAACUAUGACUCUUCAACAUAUCAAUUUGAAGCAUCGAUGACACAAAUUUGCUCAUUUCAGCAGGUUGAAAAAGAUAGAAUACAAUAAUGUUUCUUAAUCAAAAUCCUUAGCAAUAUGCUUUGACCCUUUAAAUCAGAUAACCUAGAUCUCUUAGUAAAACCCACAAAAUUAGCUUCUUCUCAGGUUUUUUGCUAUAUUUAAUUUAUUACUCUCUUUGGAUAAAUAUGUCAGCGUCUAUUAUCAAUAAUUUCCCUCUACUCAUACCACCUCUUCUCCAUUAUGUAAAAAAAACCUAAUUAGUAACAACACUUUAAUCUGAAACCUUCUUGGGUACCUAUCAACUAAAACCCUAAAACACCAAAUUGUGCAGCCAGCCCAGAUCAAUAAGUUUCUUCAUACUGUUUAUAAAAAAUAAUGUUGGGUUUUGAAUGUGCUAAAAACUCAAAUUCCUCGUUAAAAAUCUGAGCACAUAAAAUUUAACUCUCUCAUACGUCCCAAAAGGCAUUAACAAGUGGAUAGAGAAAUCAUGGAAUAACAAUGCAUCAAAGUAUCAAUUUUACAAAAUCAAACAACAGAUCUAUCUAGGCACGCUGUAAACCCAAACCCCCAUAAAUGAAACAAUUAGAUAGUUCAACAUAAAUCUGAAGAGCUUUUCAGGGAAUUAACUCUUAUCUUCUCAUAAGCUGCAGAUAUGAGAAGUCAUGUACUCACAAUGCAUCAAAGCUUUAUAUUUACAAUAUCAAACAACAGUUCUCUCACAUGCUGUAAAAGCUAAAACACUUGAUGAAACAACUAGAUAAUUAAUCAUAAUCUGAACAUUUUUAGCUCAUCAAACUUUACUUAAGCAUAAGAUUCAACAUGCAGAUAUGAAAAUCCCGGAUCAAUCAUGCACAACAAGCAUCACGGCUAUAGGAUAAAACAACAUAUCUAUCCAGAGAAACGAAAUCCAACCAUCGAAGGAGCAAUUCCAUCUAUCUAUAAACCCUAAACCUCUUGAAGAAACGAUAAGAUACUUAACCACAAAUCCGGAGCUUUUCUAGUAAAUUAACUUUAUUUCCUCAAAAUAUUUAACAUGCGGAUAUGAGUAAUCAUGGACUGAUCGUGCACCAAGCAUCACAUUUACUAGAUCAAACAACAGAUCCCCCCACACAUGCUAAAAACCCUAAGCCCUUGGAUGAAACAAUUAGAUAAUUGAUCAUAAAUCUGAAGUUUAGCCGCAUAAACUUCCGAUUUUACAUAAGAUUCAACAUGAAAAAACGAGAAAUCAUGGAUUAAAAUUGCAUUGAAAAAAAAGAAUCAGAGAGACAUGAUCGAACAACAGAUAGAUCUAGAGAAUCGAAAGCAAAUGAUCGAUCAUCGAACGAUUUAAGAAGAUAUAUGGAGAUCGGUGAGGAGAAACAUCUAGGGUUGUUUUACCUUCGCGAGGAUCCGAGCAAGCCCACUUCGCGUUGCAAUACGGAGGAGAUCGCUUCUCGACUCGUCGCGACGCCACGAUUUGGAAACGGGAAUGGGGAGAAAUAUAUACAGAAAUAAAUGAGAGACUGAAGUGUAUAUUUGGUCCCUGUAUUAUCCCGAUAUUGCGAUUUGAUCCUUGUACCUUGCAAUUUACAUAUAUUACACUUUACCCCACUGGCGUUGGAGUUUUUGGGCUAAUAAGCCUACAAAAUUUUUUAAAUAUAAAAAUAUUAAUAAUAAUUUUAAUUCUCUAAAAAAACGGUGAAUGAUUUACCAUAUUUAGAAAGUAGUAAUUCAUUCAUCUUAUAAAUCUAAUUUUAUAAAUAAAUUUUUUAGAAAACUAUUUUUAUAAUUAUAGUAUUUUUUAAGUCCAUUAAUAAAAAAUUUACGGGCCUUUGUAAAAAAAAAAAGGAAAAACUUUAAAAAUCCCCCCUGUGGUUUCGUGCAUUCUCACUUUGCUACCCUGUGGUUUAAAACGUAUCAAUUUGCCCCCAUGUGGUUUCGUUUUUAUCUUUUUAUUAUCAAUUUUAUUAUUAUUUUUUUUUAAAUCAGUGACAAAGUUAAAAUUAAAGGAUACUAAAGUGACUAUUCGAUAAAUAUAGAUGGUUAUCUGAAGUUUUUUGUAUAUAAUUUAACGAAAUAUUAACGAAAAAGCUUCCGAAAAGAUAAAAAUGAAACCACAGGGGGGUAAAUUGAUACGUUUUAAACCACAGGGUAGCAAAGUGAGAAUGCACGAAACCACAGGGGGGGUUUUUGAAAUUUUUCCAAAAAAAAAACUCAUUUUACAUAUAUAACUGACGUAAGUAUUCUAAAGAAAAUUCUUUUUUUUAAUGAUUGGAGACUUUAAAGUAGGAUAAAUCAAAAAGUUUAAAGAUAAAAGUUGAACUUGCAAUAUCAAAAUAAUAGUGAAACUUAUUUAUCUCAAUUUUUUAUUGCAUCUAAUUUGAUACUCAACCUAUUAUAUUUACGAUGUGAAUUUGGAAAAACUCAAAUGCUUAUAAUGAAAUAUUCAUAGACGAAAUUCGAAAUAUCAUAUAACGAUAUUGAAAACUCUUUUCCUCAACUUUUUGCUAAAUCGCGUUUGAUCCUUAAUCUUUUAUAUAUUUACAACCUGAAUUCCGGCAGUUUUAAUACCUAAUAUUUUUCUUUGUUCAGGAGAAAUUUUUUUUUUUUGUUUGAUGUCAUUCUCUUUUGGUAAUAAUCCCCUGAAUACGAAGACGAACAUCGGCGCCGAAACAGCAGCAGAAUGCCGAGUUUUUCCAGUAAGAAGCCGGCGCCGGAACAGCUUAGUCCGCCGACUUUUCCAGCCACACGAUCACACGGGCGAAUGCACACGUGCGCUCGCCUUUUAUUAUCCCUACCUCAUCUCUUAAACCCUCCACCCUCUCUCCUCCUCCUCCUCCACCCUCCUCUCUCCUCCUCCUCCUCCACCACCACCUCCGCCGCCGCUUCUUCCCCUCUCUCUCCCUCUCCAAUGUCGAUGAUACCACCCCGUUGUUUGGGAGGCGCCGCCGCAUCGCUCGCCCCCUCCAUCUUCUUCCUCCGCCCCUCACCUCUCUCCUCCACCCUCAAAACCCUAACCCUAACCCUAGCCCUCCCCCUCUUCCAUCACGGCCACCGCUGCUUUCUCCGUAGGCCCUUCUCGAUCUCCGCCCAGCCCACGGCCGCCCUCGCGGCGCAAGAAGAGCAGAAGGGUACGCUUCUCCCUUCUGAUUCGGAAGUUCGCAUACAUAUCCUUGCAAAUUUGUCAAAUUUGUCAAAUUUGCGCAUAAUUUUUUACUCUUGUAGUUUCAAGUGAUCAAAUUUACCGCUCUAACUUGUAAAUUUUUGCGAAUUUAUCGCUUUCCGCUAGUUAACUAUUUGAAAUUGAUCAUUAUGUCCUUGAAAAGAAUAUCUUUUAUAUCAUUUUGUAGUCUCAUGAGUUUUAUGUGAAUUUGAAUUCUCUAGCAGUUGGAAAUUAAGCAAAAUUUUAAAUUUAGUCGAGUACUUAUUAGAAUUAAGAAACUUGAGGAAUGGAUGCGCAAUUUCUAGACUUUGUAGGGAUACGUACGCAAAUGCCACUUUUCAAUUUCCUCUUUCUUUUUUAUCUCAAUUUAAUUCGGAUUUUUUGGGGCUGAGUUGCAGUUACGGCCGCUAAGCCGCAAUGGAGAGCUGCGAUAGAUUUCAAAUGGAUUAGGGAUAACAAGGAUGCAGUCGCAGCCAAUAUCAAGAAUAGGAACUCCACUGCUAACCUAGAACUUGUGCUCGAACUCUAUGAGAAGUUCCUUAACGUCCAAAAGGUCAGGCCUUUUGUUCUGUUAGAUGUAAUUUUACUGAAUGGCUUAGUAUACAUUAUAUAUGUAUGUAAGAAAACCUCACUUUUGGUUCAUUACACCAAAUAUCAUGUUUCGUAUAUUACUUUACCUCAGGAUUAGAUCAACGCUUCUUGCUUCGGGCCAGGUUGGCUAGCCCGGAGCUUCUGCAGAAGUGCUGGUUAGAUAGAGCUCAUCAAAGAUGCCUAAUAGCUUUUUCAGGAACAAUCUCUUCGGUGGCUUUCUCUUAUAGUAUAUUCAUAGAACAGUAGCUUCAAAUUGGAGCUUCUAGUUUUAUGGACCAAAAGCUCAUUGUAACUUGUAACUACGUAAAAAGACUACAGAUCUUUUGUUAGGUAAAUGGCUGGUUUUAGGAAGCUUCCAUUUUCUGUCAGAGAUGCACUUGUGUGGAAGAUAGAAGAUAUGAAGCAAUCUAGUAGGAGUAGACGAUACUAUUAAAGAUAAUAAUAAAAAAAGAAAACGAUGCAAAAAAUCUCUAAUUUUCAAUCACAGAUGGCAGGAGGUUGAACGGCUCCGAGCUGAGAGAAACAUCGUUGCAAAUAAGAUGAAAGGGAAACUAGAGCCAUCUAUACGCCAAGCUCUUGUAGAAGAAGGUAAAAUUUAUAAGAGCUGCAUAUUUAUUUCAUCUCCCAAGGCUUUUCGUUUUCAUAUUUUUCAGUCUUUUUGCAGGAAAAAGCUUAAAAGAAGGGCUCGUUGCCCUAGAGGAAGACCUUGUUCAACUAACUGAUAAGCUUCAACAGGAAGCUCAGUGUAUACCUAAUUCAAUGCAUCCAGACGUUCCUAUAGGGGGCGAGGAGAGUUCUGUAGUGAGAAAGACGGUGAUAUUUUUUUCUGUUUUUUUUCCUAACCUAUUUAUCUUGACAACUUUUUUUUUUGCUUUAAAUUGACCACCCUGAUAUAGUUCUAUUUUUGAAAUUGCAUAGAUAGGUAGUCCAAAGGAGUUUAAUUUUGAGGUCAAAGAUCAUCUUCGCCUGGGGAAGGAACUUGAUUUAUUUGAUUUUGAUGCAGCAGCUGAGGUACUUGUUAAUACAUAUAAAAUGUAAUGAAAUGAGGACCCUGUAGUUGUUUAGUACUUAUGACGAAGGAGUAAAAUAAGAAAAAAGACAACCUCUGUGCAUGGUCCCAAAUGCUUAAUCAUCAGUUAUUAGCUGUAGUAGGACAGAACAUACAUAUGCUCAUUUACUGGUAUCAUCAACUUGAAUUGAUGGACCUAAGAAUGUGGCCAAAAAUAUGUAAAUCUGAAAUAAAUUUUUUGGCUAUGACAAAUAGGCUGGCUCAUUUGGUGUGGUAGGGCAUUAAACUGAACUGUUGGGUGCCAAAGAAACUCCAAUUUGGACCUAUUGCUUUUGCUAGAGAGGAGAUUUAAAUAGAAAAGCUAUUAGUGCUUCUUCGAGCAGCUGCACUCAACUAGCUUUUUUCAGAUUGUCCAGCUGGGCCAAAACAAGCUCCAAGUUUGAUUAUCGUGACUUCCCUUCCUUAGGAUAGGGCUUUUUAUUUCACUUUAUCUCGCAUGAAUUCUGCAGGUUUUUUGAAAAUUUUUGUAUUUUGUCUUCUCUCUAGGUCAGUGGUUCGAAGUUUUAUUAUUUAAAGAAUGAAGCUGUUUUGUUAGAAAUGGCCCUUAUUAAUUGGGCAAUUGCGGACGUCUCAAAAAGGGGUUUUACACCUCUUAUAACUCCAGAGAUUGUGAGAUCAUCUGUAGUUGAAAAGUGUGGCUUUCAACCCCGAGGCCAAAACACUCAGGUAUGUGCUUUUACCCUGCCCUCUUAUAAAGUUAUAUGAUGAUGAUUCCAGCUCGAAGCUGGUUGUACAUUGACUUGGUUAAAUAGUUGCACAAUUUUCAUUUUUUUCCUUGCAUAUCUUAAGUGCCACGUGAACUCAACACAAAAGUUUAAAUAAUUGAAGAUAUUUUCUAAAGAGAUUGUUGUUAAUUCAAUCAGUAAUGAACAUUUAUAUUUGUAGGAGGAGAUUCCUGUAAUAUUGGGUGUAAAAUUGUGAUAUUAUCAAAACUUAUCUUUCCAAAGAAAAUGAUAAGACUAGUGCGAAGAAAGUUUAAUAUAUUGGCUUGGCAAUACAUUUUUAGGCGGUUAUUAUGAAGGCUUAUAGCUAAAUAAACAUAUUGUUAUUACCAUGAAAGAGUUCAAAACUAAUGAUGUACUGCUUGAUACCAAUGAUGUACUGCUUGAUGUGGAGAGAUGUAUUUUAUUUAAUUAGGUUAACAAGUUUAAUAAAGCUCUAGCAUGUAAGCCGUCCCUUUUUUAAAAAAAAUUUGGAGUGUUUUAUGACAAUUUACUUCAAAGUACGGAACUAAGCUGUCAUAAGUGCUUUUGUUUUUCCUCAACAGGUUUAUUCAAUUGAAGAUAGUGACCAAUGCCUUAUUGGAACUGCAGAGAUCCCUGUUGGAGGCAUCCAUAUGGAUUCGAUUCUUCCGGAAUCCUCUUUACCUCUAAAAUAUGUAGCUUAUUCUCACUGUUUUCGCACUGAAGCUGGUGCGGCUGGCACAGCCACUAGGUGAGUCUGCUUCUUUUACUAUCUAAUAAUGUAGUUUGAUAUCAAAAAGUCUCGAGCCCAGAUGUGAGGGGGGUUUUAAACAUAAAUAUCAAAAAUACCUUUCUCUAGUAGUUUAAGCUAUUGGAGAAUAACGGUUGUUUUAUUUAAUUUAACAAUUUACAUUUGUACGCCUGUGAAGUUAUCUAUUAUCAUCUAUAUUCCUGCAAAAUCUUAAUUCUCAUAUGUGCCAAAUACUUAAAACUUCUUACAUUAACAUGUCCUUGUAGUUGCCGCAAAGCCCUCUUUAAAAGGUUUUCCUAACGCAAGCAACUUUCCUCGCGGGUAUUGUGAAACAGUGAAAGAAACUGCACAUUUGACAGUAUAUGUGAAAAUUCAGAUAUUACAGGAAUAUGUAUGUCAAAACUCCGUCGUUUUUACAGUAAGCUGAAUUCAGGGGCUGUUAUUCUUGAACAGGGGCCUCUAUCGAGUUCAUCAAUUUAGUAAGGUCGAGAUGUUCGUCUUCUGCCGGCCAGAGGACAGCAACAUGUACCAUGAAGAACUUAUUUCUAUUGAAGAAGAUCUUUUCUCGUCUCUCGGUCUUCAUUUCAAGUACUUCCUAAUCUUUUCUUUUUGUGUAUUUUAUACAUCAAUUUUCCUUUCUCUGUGGUAAUUUACCAUUGUUUUUUUCUUUAGGGUUUUGGAUAUGGCAUCAGGUGAUUUGGGCGCGCCGGCAUAUAGGAAGUUUGAUGUGGAAGCAUGGAUGCCGGGCCUAGGCCGCUAUGGGGAGGUAUGCGAAACUUAAUUGUUAUGCAGAACAAAUUUCAGAGGUUAAUGUAAUUAACCUAAAAGAAUGCAUUGCUAUACAAAGAAAUGCUAACUUUACUCAUAUUGGAACCCUAACAGAUCUCAAGCGCGUCCAACUGCACUGAUUAUCAAAGCAGGAGAUUGGGAAUCCGAUAUCGCCCAUCUGUUAUGGAUCUCUCGACAACAAAGGCCAAAAAGGGAAAAGGGAGCAGCUCGGCCCCCAUGCAGUUUGUUCACACUUUAAAUGCCACCGCCUGCGCCGUUCCACGCAUGAUAGUAUGCCUUUUGGAGAAUUUCCAGCAAGAGGAUGGAUCUGUAAUAAUUCCCGAGCCACUUCGGCCUUAUAUGGGUGGUCUUCAACUCAUCUCUCCGAAGCACAUGUGAUUCUCCGAUCUUAUGGCAGUUUGUUCCUAAAUUUUCAUCUCCCCCGCUCCGCCCUGUUUUUAUUUAUAGAGAUUUUUGUUGAUGUUAAGCACUAAUAUGAAAGUUGAUUCUUUCUAACACGCAUAAAGUAAAGGGGUUAUUUAUUGGUUUUGUUUCCUUCGUUUUUUUCAAUUCAGUGGAAGAUGGUUAUUUGAGUAUAUAGGUAAGAGGGGAAGAAAAGCCAUUUAAGUGCAUUACUGCAACUGGGAAUAUUUAAAAGUUAUGCUGUUGAUUUCCUUCUUGUUGCUUAUAUUGACACAGAUCAAAUGAACAUUCUGACCAAAUUAUUGAGUGGUUUAUUAGCCAGUUUUCAUCAGAUCUUGAAUUCUACUACAAAGGAAGAGAUUUAUCUUUUAUCUCUAUAAAAAAAUACUUAAAAUACUUUGGUAAUUGAUUCUACCUUGCCAUCUAAUGGUUGUUGCUCUAUUCACCUGCUAAGGCUUGUUGUAAAAUGCAGUUAGAAUUGAGGGUCAUUUUCAAAAAAUAAAAUACAAUUAUUCAAGGUUGGGGAAUAAUCUGUUUAACCAAAAAUCAGGAACUGAACCACACUCAGCCAUUUUUCUUUCCAGCUUGAUAACCUGUGCACUAAUAAAAAAAGCACAACCUCUUAAUUUUUAUACAAAAUGUUACAAAUAAUGUACAUAGAUAGAUGUAGAACAGAAAGGUGCAUAAAUGCCUCUGAUAUUUGAGGUUGUUCUGGUAAGUGUGAUGCAGGAAUAAACAAGACAAAUCUACAAUCAUCUAACAAUGGCACUCUUCAAUUUCCCUCUAUGUGCUUACUCAUCAAGAAACUAGGGCCUGAAAUAGGAAAAAGGGAUCAGAAGAAAAAUUCUACUAAGAAAUGAAUAAAAUUUAUAGAAAAAGAAAGGAAAUAGCAAGGCAGAUGGCAUAGAACAUAAACCUUGUCAAUCUGGUCUUGGGCUAUCAAAGCUUCUAGGAUGAUCUCAACCCAGCUGUCAAAAACCAACAUAAAAGGCGACCAUCAGAAACAUCGUGGGUCGAUAUCGUUUUAGAGAGAAAGAGAGAGGGAGAGAGAGCUUUUACAGGUCCACCAUAUCCUACUACUAUAUACCCAAAAUCAGAUGACUAAUCUGUAGUUACAUCAUGGAGGACUUACCCUUCAAGGCCAGGGUUAGUUGGGUAAUACACAUUCUUCAAACCUAUUCCCUUUGCAGCUGAUGCAGUCGUCUCACCGAUACAAGCGACUGAAUUAUCCCAAUUUUCUGAUUCCGGUAUAAGAUUUGCCCAAGCACUGUUUCAGGAAGAGGUCGAUCAACUUACUAGCAAAAUAUAUCAUAUAGAUACUUCCUAAUACGCCCAAGACAUGAUAUUAAAUGAAAUGAGAGAAAAUUACAUGAGACCUAAGAGCUCAAAAAGACUUGGGAGUUAGGAUCUUCCUGCUUGGAUGUCAUGUGAAGAAACUACUAUCUCUAAAAGCUGAAGCUACUAGACAACAUUUUUCUAAAUUUUGUCCUUUUAACACUACAAGCUUUUUCAUUAAAAUUUCUUCAACAGCUCAUUGCAGAUGAAGUAAAAGCAUUAAAUUAGAGCUUUUGCUUUUGGAGACCAAAAGCUCAUUGUAGCCUUCAACUAAAGUAGAAGCUCCGGACAUUUUGUUAGCCACAUGCCUAGUUUCCAGACAGGGACUCGAUGAACUUUGCAAGUUCUUAUCAGUUUGCACAUACAUGAAGGCAAAUAAUAUAACAGGUCUUGUGAGUCAAGAAGGCAAAGCAAAUAUCCGCCAAUGAACAGAUCUCAGUUGCACAUGACUGACAAUGUAUUUCCGACAAAGCUGCAAAAUAAGAGAAAUAUGUAAAUCAUAAGGUGCAAUUUCUGGAAUUACCGAAUUGCUGAAGGUGAAGCUACUGCAACAACCGGAGCAGAGAGAGCUUGUUUUAAAAGCACUGGGUGCACUUCUUGUACAGGUACCUGCAUAUACCAAGUAGAUUGUUGCACAACAAAGUGAUCAAUCUAUGUCCCUAUCUGUUUGAUGAUGCAACAUUUUAAGCACCUUUUGAAAAACUCGAAGUAGGAAAUUUAGUGUACACUAGAUUAAGACCAAUUUUAACUGGGGAGGGAGGGUGUUAAAUAGCAUAGUUUGAAAAUAAAUGCGGAAAAAUAAUAGUUAUAGAACAUUAAUAUGCAGAAGAUUCAGGAUUUACAGUGUUAUAAGUAUUCAGCCUUGUCACCUCAAAGCCUCGAUCUGAUAAGCCACCCUCUGCAUCAGAAAGAGAAUAUUGUAGAGUAAUUCGUAUUAAGUUUUGAGGACAUGUGACUAUUUAGAUCAUGCAAAAUCUAAAACACCAAUUAGUUGAUGCACCAAAAGAAGAAAAAGAUGGAGAGAAAAAAGGAUAAACAUUACAAAGGAACAGAUUAGUGUAUGUUUACAGUAAUUCUAGAAUAGAAACAACAAGUGUCAACAGCUUCAGGAAAUAAUGCCACUAUUAUAAACUAACACCUCACAUCAAACUUAAAAAUUAAUAAUACAUUAAGAUAAGAUAUCAGAUUUUGAAGAAAGUAUACCAUUAUCUAUACCCAGAAAACCCACCAAUUUCAUUGCCAGCUUUCACGGAUGCAGGAUAUAAAACUUUACAGCUCUUGUGAGUGGAUUUUGGGAGCUCCGAAGCUAAAACUUUGCCCGUCGCUGACAAGGAAAUAAAAAAGAGACUUAAUGUGGAAGUUAAAACAAUGCUGGAGUUAUCAUUACUGUAAAUAUUAUUUUUUUAAAAAAAAGAAAAAGGUUGUUCUUUUGUACUGAACGACAGCCACUUUAUGAGUUUCCUUCACUCCUAUGCAGUUGAAUGCGAGAAGAAAUAAGAUAUGAAAAAGAAAAGAACAGAAACCAAAAACAAAAGGAAAGUAAAAGCAUAUUUCAUUAGGUAGUAUGUAACAUAACUUGCGAAGAAGAGAAAAUAAACAAAUAAAGAGAAAAUAGCAACAAUUAUUACCUGAUAUAGAGCAAUGUAAGCCAAUAAAUACAGUGCUAAAUAAUGUUACUUGUUUUGUUUAAUCACGGUCUACCAUCUUACAUAAUACUAAUUAUUACCUGCACUAGGUGCACAACACCAUGCCAUGCGCCACCCAGAAAUCAACACUCCAUCAUAUCUCCUACUUCAGGGCCCAAGUCCACUGAGUUGCAGUCUCUUGGUUUUAAAAAAUUAAUUUUAUUUUGGAUUGUUAGGUUGAAGUAUGAGAUAGGAUCGAGGGCCGACAAACCACAAACACAAGCAACAAUUCUACCUUCGAUAGAUCCAAAAGCAUAUUUUCCACACUAACGCUAAAAAAGUUGAAUGACUUCCCACCUCACGGUAAGGGUUUUGUCAAAAGAAAAUGAACUCUUGAGAAUGCAUGUAAAAAUUUACAUUGCACAGGGGUAUACGUUUAGAUAGAUUUUUUUUCAGGAUAUAUUAGAAAUACCAGAUGUAGGACUCCACAAAAAAAAAAAACGAACAGAAUAAGGAGCGUGCCCUUGGAAAUAAAAAACUUGCAUUACCUUUUGAAGGGGAAAAUGCAACCUCAAGAGUUUGUCCAUUAAACUGCAACACUUCAUUAAAAAUGCUCGCUGUACCAGCUCCAACCACUGCAAUUUUCACUUUAGGAUUUCCCGCAGCCCUAAUAGUACAUGAGACAUUUGAUAGCAGAAAGUUCGAUCCCAAUGAUUUGACAUGCAAAAAUAAGUAUUGGAACAAACAGUUACAGAUAGCAAUUUUCUAUGCAACCCAAGCUAAAAGAACUGUAUUUGUUACUAUAUCAACACAAUAUCCAACAUGUUGUAAAUUAAUGACAUGUUUUCCAAUAAUUAUUCACUAUAAUGAUUUCACUGCUGAACAAAUUUGACCCCAUUAACUUUUGACCAAUCUAUUUGAAGUCCAAAGACCAACUGACUAUGCACCUAUGCCAGACAUCAGAGCUCUAUUAAAAGCUCAAUCUAACUAAACUAACAUAGCAAAGUACAUACACAGUUUGAUGAAGUAUAUGGGCAAACCAUGGUCUAAGGCAUAUUAUUACACAUAGAAGAAAACUAGUGAAGAUCAUCCAAAAUUAUUCGACACUUACUUCCAAGCUUCAAGGAACACUGCAGCGGCUUCUGGAGAAGUUACAACAAUCCAGUCAAACUCAGCGUCUGAAGAAAGAAGGACAAAUUAUUAAUCAUGCAUACUAAUAAAAUCUUACGUGCAAAAGAAAACUUGCAUAACACUCCUUACUUUAUGAGAUUUUAUAAUUCUGUUUUAACUUUAGCUAGUCCUCGAGCCAUACAAUAAUGAUACAUUCACAUUAACAUUUUCAUGCAUUCUAGUUUUUUUUUUUUUCCAAAUUAUUGCCGUGUAGUUAUGACUAUCCUCUCUUUGAUUCAUAAAAUCAAUAGUACGAAUGUAUUGUCUAUAUAUAUUUGGUAGUUUCACCAGAAUACACUCGAGGUAUUUUUCCAUGCAAUGGACAAUUUUAAGUGUUUGGCAUACACAAUCACCUGAUGAUUUCAUUUCAGAUAAAAAAAUGAAAAGAAAGUAUAGUUCGAAGUGGAAUCAGCAAAACAACACACAGUGGCUAAAUAGAUGGAGUAACUACAAGAAACACUUACAGCCCUAUAAACAUGUUUGGAUUCUCGAGCUUCAAAAACAAGUAAUCUUGUGGUCAAUGAUUUAUGUAGGUUGAGUUUGCAAAGAAAAGCAGUGAUAAUGAAAGGAGGUGAAGUACCCUUCUUUGUCUUAGAUAUUUUGCACUCAUUUAGCUUGGCUUCUAGAAAAGCUUUUCUACUCCAGAAGCAAAAGCUAGGCAUUCGACUAACAAAAACUAAAACCUUGUGGCAAGAAGCCAAAGAGCUUCUGAACUCCAAAAGCAGAAGGUUCAAUUUGACACUUCUACUUACAGCUGCAGUAAGAAGAGGUUGGUGAUCUUCAAUGAAAUAGUUUUUAGGGCUCUUUGAAAAAUCUACACUCAAGAAACACUUCCGCAGAAAGCUGCAGUCAACUCGAUGAGGCCCCUCAUUUUAUUUUGUUUGUUUUGGAUUAUGGUUCUAAACUUUCAACGCCAACCCAAGACAUUUUCUGAAGCAUUGAUAAAAAUGCAUUUGUGAUAGCCCCGCUAAAAUAAUGUGAAAGAAACAUGGCACAGGUGACGAAGUUUAGAAACUUACCAUUCAAGAGAGCUGGGAGCCUAUUCGCAUCAGGCCCUUGCGUGUGCUUAAUAAGAGGAAGCUCCAAACAGUGGAUGCUAUGCUUUGCCUAUAAUAGAAAUUUUUAAAAAAAAAGGAAACAGGAUAAAGAACUACCUCACUCUUACAGAGAAAUGGAGAAGACACGCCGUGUAAUAAAUUGUAGGUUAUAUAAGUCCAGGAAUCAAUGUGCACUUUAGUAAAAUUUAUUGAGGACCAAAAGGGCACCAUCAUUCUUCUCUCGUUGACUGAAAUUUUGAUUGGUAUACUACGUUACAAACCGAACAAGGAAAAUUUCUCUCUUCAAACUAGGAUUGAAAUCACCAGCUAUGAUACAAUGAAGGUGGCAUAGUUACUUAGCAAGAACGCUAUAGCCUAAAAUUAUCAUGUCACGCCGAUGACUCUUGGAUACAAUGGGAGGCCAAGGAAAGGAACUAGUUUGUGCUUCAAAUUCACACGCAUUGAAGAAAAAGUAAUUGACAAUUUGAAAUAAACAGAAGAAAUUCCUGCAGUACCAUGUAAAAUAGAAUAAGAAAGAGAAACAGAACAAGCACUUACACCAAAGAAAUUGCGAAAGAUAUAUCAAUGAGAGCUAAAAGAGCUAAUUAUAAUUGGGGUCAAUAAUCACCUUUGCUCAUCAAAAAAAAAAAAAAAACAAUUCAAUUCACAUUAUCUUGAGACAAAAAAAAGUGGAACCGUUAGGCCAUUCCCUUUUUUUCAAAUUCAAAUUCACCAAAAUUCCCUUUUUUCAAUUCAAUUACGAAAUGAAGACAAUUCCACAUUUUGAUGCAUAACAAAGAGAACUCAUUUGCCCAUUCCCAUAAUUAGAUGCCAAAUAGGCAAUAAUACCCAAAAAAAAUUGAAACCCAAUUCAAUUCACACUUUCCAGACGCAAAAAAUGAGGAAAAAUUCACAUUUUUAAGCAAAACAAAGAGAACUCAUUAGGCCACUUCCUUUUUUUUCUCCAUUCAAAUUCGCAAAAAUUAGAAGCAACGAGGCAAUAAAAUGAGAAACAAAUUGAAACCCAAUUCAAUUCACACUAUCCGGACACAGGAAAUGAAAGCAAUUUCGCAAUUUGGGGCAUAACGAAGAGAACCCAUUUGCGCAUUCUCACUCGACGAUUCAAAUCCCCAAAAUUAGAAGCAAUAAAGCAUCAGAUAAAGAAAAAAAUUGAAAAUCAAUUCAACUCACACUACUCAGACACAAUAAAUGAAACAAAUUUCACAUUUUGAGGCAAAACAAAGCGAACCCAUUUGCCCAAUCCCAUUCUUCGUUCCAAACCACAUUAGAAGAAACGAAGCACCAAACGGAGGAACAAAUCGGAACCCAAUUCAAUUGCCCAUUCUCACUCUACGAUUCAAAUCCACCAAAAUUAGAACCAACGAAGCAUCAAACGGGGGAACAAAUCACAGCCCAAUUCGAUUCACACUGUCUUAAAGCAAAUUUACCAGCGCGUCGAUGAGCUUCGCGUUCUUCCCCUGCUCCCGCGUGACCACCACCUUAGGCUCCGGAGGAGGCGGCGGCGGCGAAGAGCAAGCUCGGAGCUUGAGAGAGGCGAAGGGGGGUCUCCUCUUCCCAAAAGAGGAGGAAGAGGGAGAAGGAGGAAGAGGAAGGGCGUGUGGAGGGAGGAGGAGGAGGGUCGUCGCCAUUAUUGGAGAAGGGGAGGUGUUGGGGUAUGUGAUGAGGAGGAGUGAGAAGAGGAAGAGGAAAGGGUUUUAUGCUCCUGGUCCACGGAACAGCGCAAGGGGCUGUGGGGAGUUGUUGCGUGGACCUGGUCUAUAGACAGGAGCAUUUCACUUUCUUUUUUUUGGGGGGUGGGGGGGGCGCAUAAUUUGUUAAUAAUACCAUAAAUUAGUAGUCGUGUCAUUUUCUAACAACACUUCUAUGUGUAUUCCCUAAAAAGAGAUUUACAUCUUACACUUUCUCAUCUAAGAAUCAAGAAUUAAUCUUUUUCCUUAUUAAUCAUUUUUUUAAAAUACUAAAAAUUUAAAAUGUUUAAUAAAUUCUGGUAUAAGAUAUAUAUACUUUUUUAGAGCUUACCAAUUAUAUUGCUUAUUUUCUAAAAGUACUGCUAAGCGUGCAACUCAAAAGUAAUAAAAUUUAAUUAUCACCAACUCAACUUUAUAUCUAAUUAUCUAAUUAGGUUAAGAUUGUUGAAGUUUUUUGUUGAUAAGUUAAUUAGUAAUUUAAUUACGAGAGAUGCUGCUUGUACAUAACCGAAAUAGAGCAUAUAUAUUACAUCAUCUAGUACUAGGUUUUGAGUUUUUUAGUAUUUUUAAAAAAUUAACAUGACAAAGAUUAAGUCUUAUAAUAAAAUAUAAUAAGUUUGUGGUAAGGUUAUUUGAAUUUAUUCACUAAUUUUAAUAUACUCAAUAUAUUAUUAUAAUAUUAAAAAAUUUAUUUAUUAUAACUUAAUUUUAUUUUAUUAUUAUUAAAUAAUAAUAAUAAUAAUAUAAUCAAAAUAUGAUAAACAGAUUUUUAGUUAACAGUUUUCUUAUUUAGGUAAAUUACAUUUUUGAUCCUCGCCCAUGACAUUUUAGUGCCCAAAUUUUAAUUUGUUAUAAUUUAUGAUCGAAAUUUUAUAAAUUAUUAUAAUUAAAUUUCACAAUUCAAAAUUAAUUUGUUGAUAUGAAAAUUAUGCAUCAUAUUAAUUAUUGUCGCAUCAUCAAUCACAAUACUGCUGAAUCACUUUUAUAUUAGCAGUAUCUUAAUAUUUAGCCAAUUAAAUUAAAUUGUGAACUUUAAUUAUAAUAAUAAUUCAGAAAAUGAAGCAAUUAAUUAUAAUAAAUUAAAAUUUAAGAAUUAAAGCGUUAGGCGCCCAUAUUUUGAGGACCAAAAGAGCAAUUUAUCCUUUUUAUUUUUUAAUUUUUUGUAAUUUGUAAUUUAGCGAGGGUGAGAACAAAGAAGUCAACCCCAUCGGGUCGGGUUAGGAAAAAACCCAUAUUAAACCCGACCGACGCGACACUCUCUUCUUCCACCGCCUCUCGCUUUUGCACCGUUCCUUUUCCCCAAAACCCGAAAACCCUAAUCCCCCAUUCGCCACAUCUCCUCUCUUCUUGGAGACAAAGUCGACGACGACGACGAAGAAGAAGAAGAAGAAGAAUCCAUUAUCGAAUUCUCUUACCUCCGCUAUAUAAAAAGAGCGAUUCUUGUCCACACCCUUUUUUCCUAGUUUUUGAGCUAUUUUUGAGCGAUUUGGGAGGGGAUUGGGGAGAUAUUUGGGGCUGUGCGAUGUCGGAGAAGUUCUCCCCGGCGCUCCGCCUCGGCGAUCUCAACGACUUCAUCGCGCCGUCGCAGGAUUGCAUCGUCUCGCUCAAGGCGAUCAAAUCGAAGCACGAGAGGGUUGAGGUAUCUCGAUUUCGUUAGCCCUAAUUUGCUUUUGGGUUUUUUUUUUUUUUUUUUUUUUUUUUUUUUUUUUUUGAAGGUAAAGAAUUAAACUUGAAUUUGAAGGAAUUUAUGAAUUUGUUUGGAUUUUAGAUAGUUUGGCGCGUUAAAUAGUUUUUAGUUUUAUGGAUUAGAUUUGCAUUUUGUACAAAUUUGUGAUCUUUUAUAUUAAUUUUGAAUUAAUUUGUUUAGUUUUAAUUAAUAAUAUUUGUCCAAGUUGUAUGGGAUCACUUUUAAGGAAAAAAGAUACUAUUAGUUUAGUUGCAAAAAAAGUGAACUUUAAUUCGUUUCUACUUGAAUUUUCAUUAGUUUUCCUUAAUCAGCAGCCGCACGCUUAAGUAAAAUUUUCAGUUGCAAAGAAUAUAUUGAUGCGAUUACAGUCAAUUAUUUCUUGCUAUUAUCUUUAUUUCUUGAAAUUUUGAUUUUUUUUCCCCUUUUUUUCCUAGAGUUGUUUCUUAUAUAGUCAUACUGUUUGCAGAACAAAGAAAGAGAGAAACCUAGCAGCCAGCAAUCACAAGAGGAAGCUGUUAAGAUUUCACUUAAGGACUGCUUGGCAUGCAGGUAUGUUACCUUUUCCCUAACUUUUGUAACAACUCUGCUCUAAAAAGGAGCAGUUAUGCGAUUUGACUUUGAAAGUCGAAAGCUUUUCCUGCGGUGUAAAGCUGAAAUGUGCUUUGUGUCCCAAAAGCAGAAGCUCCAAUUUGAAGCUUUUGUUUCUGCGUUUGCUGCAUUGAGAAGCUCUUCUUGCAGGAGAUCAUGUGUCCUGCAAAUCACUAAAAAUGCCUAAGAAGGAAGAUAUAGGCAAAUCGAAUAAUUCUUCUACUUAAACUAUGUAGAAUGGUAGUUUAAAAACAAAAUUUCAGAAGGUAGAGUAGCAGUGCGUGCAGUUCUUUAGGAAACUUACUUUCUCUUGUAUGUGACUGGUAAAACUGUGGUGUAAGAGAUAAUACACUUACUCAUUCUCUGGGAAUUUUCAGUGGUUGCGUAACUUCAGCGGAAACUGUGAUGCUCGAGAAGCAAAGUUUGAAUGAGUUUAUCUCCCAUGUUAAUUCAGACAAGGCUGUUAUUGUCUCCAUAUCUCCCCAGUCGAGAGCCUCGUUAGCUUCAUACUUUGAUCUAUCUCCAUCGCAGGUAUCAAUUUUAGCUUAUUAUGUGUGUACUGUCUUGUCUGUGCUGAAUAUCACAUCAUGCUUUGAACAUGCAUAUUUGUGUGAUUUGUCUUGAUAAAAGUAUAUAAGAAUGUCAUCUUGGUGUCUGUAAAAUCUGCGUAAUGUGUUUUUGAUUUUAGUAGCAUUUAGAGGAGGUAUUCAUUUGAUCCUAGAAGUUUCUGUUAUCAGUGGACAGCAAAUUCUGCUGUUUAAUAUGGGAAUAUGUAAUUUUAUUAAUUUACUAUUGCUCAAUCUUAUUUUUGUUUUAAAAGACAUCAAUAUUCUUAUAUGGUUUAUUGAUUUUAAUAAUCAAUUAUUGUCGCCUUUUCUGUUGUCAGGUAUUCAGGAAGCUUACUACUCUGUUGAAGUCGAUGGGAGUGAAGGCUGUUUAUGAUACAAGUUGUAGUCGAGAUCUUUCCCUUAUUGAAUCAUGUAAUGAAUUCAUUUCACGUUACAAGCAGCAUCAGCUAUCUGGUGGCAAAGAAUGCGGAUCAAGCCUUCCUAUUCUUUCAUCUGCAUGCCCUGGUAGAUUGCUAUUCACUGCCUACUUUAGGAACUUUAAAUAUUUACAGAUCCAAAUUACCCUCUUGUAUCCCAGGAUAAAUCUGAAAAUGUUCACACAUGGCCUUUGAAAAACUCAAUUACUUCCAUAUGUACCCGAAGGAAAAUGGGCCCAUGAGUUAAGUGACUCCCACACCUUAAGGGUAUCUUUUGCAAGGAACUCUACUUUUAAGAGGCAUAUAUUAAAAUUUAGUUUUUACAGAAUAUAUAUAUGUAAAUAGAUGAUUUUCGGGAAUAUACAUGCAAAAGCCCUUUUUUGUUUUGUAUAGCAUUCAAAGUGUGGUGUUUUUUCACUCUAAUUCUAAAGUGUUUAUAUCAUGAUAUCUGGCCCUUUUGUACAAUUUCUACAGCCAUAGUAUAGGGGCAGAAAUUAGAAUAACACUUGUGGUUGUGUCUAUUGCUAUUUUAUAGUCCUAUCUUUUGUCAACCUUUAUCAUAGCUAUUGCUUGGUUGUCAGAAUCAUGCAACUAAAAAUGAUAGACUGAUGUAGUCAUUCCUUGAUAUAAAAUUAUUUUUUAAAUUCAGGUUGGAUAUGCUAUGCUGAAAAGACACUUGGAUCAUAUAUCUUACCCAAUAUUUCCUCUGUAAAGAGUCCUCAACAAGCUAUUGGGUCCGCUAUCAAGCACCACACAGCUCAAAAACUUGGUCUCAAGUAAGUAUGUUGCUUGUUUGCAUAAAUGCUUGGCAACAUAGUUGUUCCAAGUUAUACGAAAUUUUGGUAAUCAAAUACACUUAUGUCAUUGUAUUUCCAAUAUGCUUGACUAUGACUUAGUUUUAAAUUUUGCUCUUUUUUUUUCCUUUUACGUUCUUCAAAUUCAUAUGAAUGAAGAAGCCUUUUUUCCUUCCUAGCAUUUUGUCAAAAACUUAAAAACCCUUGAAAUUAAAAAAAAAUCGCCCCUCUAUAAUAAAAAAGUCAAUGAAUUGGAUGUCUUUCCAUCCGAAGAUAUGUGUACUUUUUGUGAGAAACUUUACUUUGAAGUGGGGUAUGUACUGGAAAAUUCAGAUUUUAUGAGGUUUUAUAAGUGAAUUGAUGAUUUAGCAAGGAUAUAUCUAGAAGGCUCAAUUUAGAAAUCUGCCAAUCCUGUUCAAGUAGUGUUGAUUUUGUUUAUAUUACUUGGUUCAAGAAGUUUGCUGUUAUUUUGAUUUUCCUAUCUCCCUGUCUUGUUGACACCAUUUUUGUUUAUGUUAUAGGCCAGAGGAUAUCUAUCAUGUUACUGUAAUGCCCUGUUACGAUAAAAAGCUAGAAGCUGCCAGGGAUGAUUUUAUUUUCACAUUGGAAAAUACAGAAAAUGGCGAUGAAAAUCCAGGUUUGAAAAUUGUGGAGGUAGACUCAGUUUUAACAACUGGGGAAGUGCUAGAUUUAAUACAGGUGACGAUGUGUUUCUAAUACUUCUGUUUGUUGAAUUUAUUUCUUGUGAGAAAGAUUCAUGAAUAUGUUGAUAACAAUAAUAGUGCUUGUCUCACUGCUGCAGUCCAAGUCUAUGGAUUUCAAGGCCUUGGAGGAAGCUCCACUUGACAGACUGUAAGUCUUUGAGAUGCUCUAAAUGCUUUUCUUCUUUCUUACAUGAAAUCUAUGAUAGGUUCUUAGGGCCUGUAGUGUAUGUGAGUCGGAGCUUUUGCAUGAGUAUUGUUCAAGUAAAGAUAUAUGAAGAAAGCACUAACAACAUUAUAGAGAUAUAUAAAGAAAGCACAAAAAUCAUUAUCAUUAAAAUCUUCCAAACAGCUUUGUGCUGCAGUGGAAGCAGAAUUCUAGAAGCGGAAUUUUUGCUUCUAUCCUACAAAACGAUCUUCCUUAGCCAAAUACUGAUUGUUGCAAGCUUCUAUUAUCUAGAGUAGAGGAGAUGUUCAAAAGCCAAGUUGCUAUGAGCAUCUGUUGAUUUGUUAGAUUUGAUUCUUCUUCGUUCGUUAUUAGGUUUUUCUGUAACAUCUUCGUUAUGUUUUAGAGAUGUUUAUAUAGAUGAUCAAUAAUGUUUUGUUCGUGAAACCAGGUUGACGAAUGUCAAUGAAGAAGGGUAUCUUUAUGGGGUUACUGGUGGUUCUGGAGGUUAUGCAGAGACAGUUUUUCGCCACGCUGCAAAAACACUCUUUGGAAGAGAUAUCGAAGGUCCUAUUGAAUUUAAAACCUUGCGGAAUUCGGAUUUUCGUGAAGUAGUAUUAGAAGUAAGACUACCCUCUUUUUCCCUUGUCACCACUUUCAUGAAGGAAAAUCUUUUUUAUUUUUAUUUUUUGGUGAUUAUACCCCUGCAAUAUGUGAAGUUGUAACAAAUACAUCUGCAAAGUUGGUUUUUAUGCACUCAGGACCCUGAAAACCGUGUUUAUUUGUGCACAUCCCUACCUGGGUAAAUGUGCUAAAAUGUUUUUGCAUGCAUACCACUUGAGGAUCAUGGAUGCAAAUAUGUUUAUUUAGGUUAUGCAAGCCAAAUACCCUCUUUGAAAGUAUUUUUACGCAAUUUUGCAUGUUUGAAGUGGUAUAUGCAAAUAAUUCUACAUAACUUGACUAAGUGAAACUAAAUCGUUCAUAUUACAUGUGCAUGCAGGUGGAAGGCAAACCUGUGUUGAAAUUUGCACUUUGUUAUGGCUUCCGAAAUCUUCAGAAUGUUGUCAGGAAAAUUAAAAUCGGGAAAUGCGAUUACCACUUUAUUGAAGUUAUGGCAUGUCCUUCAGGUACCCUCAGAUUUAGUCUUGUAUUUUUCUCAAAAGCUACUUGAACAUAUCAACAAUAGAUCCUCGGUUAGAUUUUCAAGUUUUAUUUGCUUUUUGUUGUUAGAAUAUUUUUCUUAUAAUAUGGACAUUAUGUGUUUUAUGUCACAAAGUUUUAUAAUAAACUAAAUUAGGUCUUUAAUAUUAUUAUUUUUUUCCUCCUCUGUCUUCCUACACUUCUAGAAUAUUUAAAUUUUUUAAAUUAUAAAAUAUCAAGAGGAUUAAAUAUUGCAUUAUUGAAGUUUAAAGCUGCAUUUUAUCUGUAUAUAGAAUUGUGGAAGUUAUGUGACAUGACCAAUAACUCUUUAAUAUCGGACACAGGCUGUCUUAAUGGAGGAGGGCAGAUAAAACCAAAGAAAGGUCAAUCAUCCAAAGAUCUUAUUCGACAAUUGGAGAAUAUAUAUAUGCAAGAUGUAAGUCCUUUGUGUUGCGGUCGCAUUGAUUAGGCUUUUCGAAGAACUUUGGUGAAGUUACACUCAGCCAGAUGUUACCACUUCUGUUUUCUCUUUUUGUGGCAUAGAUAUUGCUGCAUAUACAAGAAAUUGCACAAAUAAGCUUUUGAAGUUGGAUUUGUACGCAUGCUCCCUAAAACAUUGUUUAUUUGCUUGUGCCCUUACUGGAGGGUAUUUAUGCAAAAACAAUUUUGCAUAUAUACGCCCGACGGGUGUGUGAAUGCAAACAAAUGUGACUUUCCGAGGGUUGCAUGCAAAUACCAGCUUUGUAGGGGCAUUUACAUACUUUCACAUAUUUGCUGGGGCAUAUACUCAAAAGGCCUUCUAUAAAAUCUUCAAAGAUUUGUUCUAAUGGUUUUAUAAAACUAUAAUUUCUCUCGUGUAUAACAGGUGUUAGUUGCUAAUCCUUUCGAUAACCCAAUUGCGAAGAGAUUAUACGAUGAGUGGCUUGGCGAGCCCGGUUCGGAGAAAGCCAAGAAAUACUUGCACACAGAAUACCAUCCGCUGGUUAAAAGCAUUGCCUCUCAGCUGCAUAACUGGUGAAACAGAUGAGUUUCUUUCAAGUCCCCAUUGCUUUCAGUGGAUUCAGUUGGCUCUCGAGCUGCUUUAACUAAAGGUGUCGAUAAAGUGGAAUAAAUUGAAGCUUGUGCCUAGCGAUCGACAAUGUAAUGUUAUCUACAAGCUUCCGCUAAAAAAAAAAAAAAGGAAAGGAAAGAAAAAAGGGGUUGAUAAUAGGAAAGAGGAUUGCUAACUACAGUUUUAUGAAUGGCGUAGAAUAUGAUAGUUCUUUCGUGUACUUAUUUUCAAUUUUGCUGUAAAAUGUACUGCAAUAAUUUUGUCUUCUUUGUAAGUAAAGGGAAAAAAAAAAAAAAAACAGAGCAUUCUUUUUUCUUUUCUUUUUUUUAUGUGUAGUAUCAUUUCUAGUCAAAUUCUUUUACUAGCAAAUAUCCGCUUCUUAUUGGAUCGAAUAUAUUGGCUUUUAUUUUCUUUUGUAGAUUCCCCAUUAAUUUGUUUUGAUUCAUGUGUUAUCUCCUCUUCUUCUUUUUUUUUCUUUCUUUUUUUUUCUUCUCUAUUUCCUUAGGUAAGGUUCCAAAUUCAUUGCAUUGAUUGAUUCAUAUGUUGUGCCUUAGAGGAAGUUUCUGCAUGUGGUAAAGUAGGUUCAGGAGCAAUAAACAUGAUGAAAUGGGCACCCAUGGUGGAUACUACAUGGCAUCUUGUGUAGACUCUGCUAACCCGCUAAGUCGAUUUUAGUUUGGAUCUAAGUUACUAAUGUUUGAGUGCUAAAUGCUCUUGGAAUUAGAGUUGUGAACCUGCAUUGUUUUCCAUUCCGAGGCCAAUCAAUCGACCGACAUUCGCAGUCGAUUGGUUUCCUAGUUGGUUUAGGUUUCUUAGGUUCUAAUUCUAUGUGGUUUAAUCUCUUAAGUGUCGAAAUUAGCCCUUGCAAUAUUUGGAGUCUUUUGAGGACAUUGGGCUAUAAAUCUAGACCCUCUUCUUCUUCAGGUUUCUGUGGCUUCAAAUUUUUGCUUGAACAAGCAAGCGAGAUUCAUUUGAAAAAGUCGAUUAGGGCUUAUUUUAGAGCAGGUCUUCGAAAUCGCGUGUUUGUUAGGGAAUGAUUAAACUCUCAACAAUUAUCAUCAGCAAGAUCGUGAUUUAUAGGUUUUUUUUUUUUUUUGGGAAGUUCCGAUCAUUUUAAUCUCGUCGAAGCAUUUUUCAUAGCUUUAAAGUUUAAUGUCUUCUUGUCAGCAGAUGUUAUUUACCAACCAUAUAUUUUGUCCUCUCAUAUCCCAGAGUGCUCAAUCCAUAUACAGAGACAAUUAAAUCAAUUAUUACAAAAAAUAUUACAAAUCUUUCUAUUUCACCUAUUUAAGAAAAGAAAAAAAAAAAAAUCGUAUUAGUCCAUUUUGAAGAAAACUCACGCAUCCUUCCUCCCAUCCGUGACAUCGAUGCUCCAGUGUCCGUCGGGGAAGGCCAUCUUCUUGGCCACCGUCCUCUCCCACUCCAAGUCGUCCUUCCUCUUCUGCGACAGCCCGCAGAAGGCCCGCAGCUCCUCGGCCAUGCCGUCGUGCAGCUGCCACCACCUGCGGUGCGCGACGUCGCUGGCGUAGACCCGCUGGUCGUCGACGUUCCAGUUGCAGUCGUAGUCCCUGUAGCACAUCCACGGCUUCAGCCCCAGGUAGUGCACCGCGUACAGCCGCGGCGGGUCCGCGCCGAACAGGUACUCCUUGAGCCGCGUCUCCGCCGUGGUGUUCGACCAGAAGUUCUUGAGGAAGUUCACCCGCCGCGGGAGGCGGUGCCACCACACGAAGAUCUCGUUCAGGAAGCCCUGGUCGCCGCCGUUGUACGACCGCACGUCGCGGCGGUGCCGGAUCAGCAUGUCGAAGGUGCAGUUCGACGGCUCGAUGACCAUGACCCCGGAGUUGAAGAUGGAGCCGUCGUUGCCCGUCGCGGCGAUCUGCGGGAAGCGGAAGAGGACGUCGAGGCUGCGGAACACGGCGAUGUCGGCGUCGAUGAAGAUGAUCUUGUCGUACUCGGUGAGCUGCCAGAGCCGGAACUUGCUGUAGUUGUACUCGUUGUACGAGUUCUUCUCCGCGUGCGGGUUGCGGAUGCGCUUGAUCUUGCGCGGGGUCCACCCGGCCGCCACCAGCGCCCGGAGCUUGGCGCCGUUGAUGGACUUGUCGUGCAGGAGGAUGAGGUCGCGCGUCGACCCCGUUUGCCGGAUGCUCUGCGCCAGCGCGAUCGCCCCGCACAGGUACGCGUCCGACGAGUGGAGGACCGUCGCGUACGCCUCCCGCUGGGGCACCGCUGCCGCCGCGAGCUUCGACGAGUCGAACUCCUGGUUUGUUCCUGCAUUCAUGAGUGAGUGAUAGAUGAUUAGAUGCAUACUUCAUCAUUUCGCCAAAAUUUUAAACGGCAGUUGAAUUCGAAAAAAUGGAGGGAAACGGUUUGUGCCUGAGCCCUGAGCCCCUGAGGUAGAGAAUCACAAAAAUCUGGGUCAUUUUUUUUUGCAUGUUAAUCCUCAAACAAACAACGUUCAACAUUUUGCGUUAAAUGAUUUUCCUUGAGAAAACCCCUCAAUUGUGCAUCUUUUUGCUUGGACUGAAAAAUAAAUUGAUUCUUGUUUAAUUUAUGGGGCGAAGAGUAAAAAUAAGCACAGCCACCCCAGUCACUCUCUAAUUAAACAAGAAACUGUAAUUAGUGAGAUAUGCGAGCCUCACACGUGUGUGAUCUUGUUAAAUUCUUUAGGUAAAAAAAUUAGGCUUAAUUUGAUAUUGAGGUUCACCUAACGUUAUUAGAUAAAAUAGAAUUUGGAUAAAAUAUAUAGGGAUAUACUUUUACGUUCUCCGGGAGAAUUGCAGAAAAUAUAUUAUAACCGACUCUUUAUGAUAUGCGAAAUACAAUAUUAUGUACGAAAAUAAAUUAAAUAUUUUUUAUCAUACUUUCUCACCACGCGUAAUAUAGUUUUUUCGUAAUUUCAAACGAAGCCGUAAAGACCGGUGUAAAGCAGCGUCUGACAAAGUAAGAGCAUUUUCUCGUGUGACCGUACUAUUUGUUGAGCUAACUUAUUCUGUGAAAUUAGGUACAUAUAUAUGCUUAAUUAUAAAAAGCUAGGGUUAGGUUCUCUUUUUCUUUCCCCUAUUCUUCCAAUGUCUUUUGAAUAUGUUUAUGAUCUGUUACCAUCGCUGCCUGCCUAAAGUCAGGUGGUAGGCAGCAGGGCUGUCAGCUGGUCCAACGUGAGUGAGCUGGGGCAAUUUAUUAAACGAACUAAACAUGAAUUAGCUCGAUCGAUGAAAUAUCGAGCUAAAAAAUUCAAUUUUUGUUUGAUUUGUUUAUUAAUAAGUCGAAUAUGAGUUGACUCGCGAACAACAAUUUAGAUUACUAGUACUCCUACUACAAGAUGAAAAAUUAAAAAACAUAAAAAAUUAAAAACUUAGAAUCUUAAUCGAAUAAUUAAAAUUUAGGGUUCUACAAAAUAGAGGUCUCUUUACAUUUAGAUUGGCCUAAAAUCCAAAUUGUUGAAAUUUAUAAUAUAUAUAUAUAUAUAUAUAUAUAUAUAUAUAUAUAUAUAGAGAGAGAGAGAGAGAGAGAGAGAGAAUUAGACUAUCAUAUUAUUAAUAGUACCAAGCUCAUAGUACUAUUAGGUUUUCGGCCCUUGGAUAAAGGGAUGUGGUCUCUGAUUAGAAUGAUAGUUCCUUAUAGUUGAGCUAGGUGGUUAGUUGAAUAGUAUAAUUUAACAGAUAAAAAUGAGCAAAGAAAUAGAUCUAAUGGCGAAAAACUCGAUAGCACCAAACGCUUAGUGCUAUCUAUAACACAGUAGCCAAAUUCAAUAAAUAAAUAUAGGUUAUAUAUAUAGGCUGGGGCAACUAUACUCAUAUGAGUAUAGUAGCCCUUUGUACUCAUAAAUUUUCGGCUGUUCGGAUGAAAAAAUGUGCAAUUAGGAUGAGAAUAGUUACGGUUAGGUUGAUAGUGGGCCCCAUAGGGUUGAGUGGGUAGUUGAUUGAAUAAUAUAAUCUAACGGGUGAAAAUAAUUAAAGGGUAGAUCUAAUGGUAAAAAAUUUAUGAGUGCAAGAGGCUCUAUCUCAUAAGAGUAUAUAUAUAUAUAUAUAUAUAGUCCGACUGGGAUACUAUCGAUAGCACAAAGUAUUUUGUACUAUCGAGUUUUCCGCCGUUACAUUUAACCCUUCAACUAUUUUCACCCGUUAAAUUAUACUAUUCAACCAAUAACUCACUCAACCCUAAGAGGUCCACAUUAUCAUAAUCGUACAUUUUUUUAUCCAAGGGCCGAAAGCCUAAUAGCACCAAUAUCUUCUAGAUAGUUCCAAUAACGUAAAUCAUGUCUAACGAAAUCGAUCGCCGAAUCGAAUGUCUCAUCAGCAAAAGCAACUUACAAGUACGAAGGCUCCGUACUUUCGAAAGCGCGGGACCUUCUCUCUCUCUCUCUCUCUCUCUCUCUCUCUCUCUCUCUCUCUCUCUCUCUCUCUCUCUCUCUCUCUCUCUCUCUCUCUCUCUCUCUCUCUCUCUCUCUCUCUCUCUCUCUCUCUCUCUCUCUCUCUCUCUCUCUCUCUCUCUCUCUCUCUCUCUCUCUCUCUCUCUCUCUCUCUCUCUCUCUCUCUCUCUCUCUCUCUCUCUCUCUCUCUCUCUCUCUCUCUCUCUCUCUCUCUCUCUCUCUCUCUCUCUCUCUCUCUCUCUCUCUCUCUCUCUCUCUCUCUCUCUCUCUCUCUCUCUCUCUCUCUCUCUCUCUCUCUCUCUCUCUCUCUCUCUCUCUCUCUCUCUCUCUCUCUCUCUCUCUCUCUCUCUCUCUCUCUCUCUCUCUCUCUCUCUCUCUCUCUCUCUCUCUCUCUCUCUCUCUCUCUCUCUCUCUCUCUCUCUCUCUCUCUCUCUCUCUCUCUCUCUCUCUCUCUCUCUCUCUCUCUAUAUAUAUAUAUAUAUAUAUAUAGAGAGAGAGAGAGAGAGAGAGAGAGUUGAGCUAGAAUACUAUCGAUAGCAAACGAGCUCCGUUGCCACCCAUUUAUUUUCGAUGAUAGAGCCUCCAAAUCGACGAUCAGAGAGAGAGAGUUGAGCUAGAAUACUAUCGAUAGCAAACGAGCUCCGUUGCCACCCAUUUGUUUUCGAUGAUAGAGCUUCCAAAUCGACGAUCGGCACCGUUAAACAUGAUCUAUACGACUAUACCACUUGAAGUGUUUAGAAAUCAAAUUUCAAAUCUUUUCGACAUCAUUUGCCUAAUGAUCAAAGAGUUUCAAAAUUUGUAAUUUUAAUGGUUGAUAUGAGGCAUUUUCUCGUUUAACGGCGUAAAGAUAUCCAAAUCAAUUGAAUUUUUGUUAGAAAAUUUUUUAAACUAUUUAAAACAAAAUCUAUACUCUUGAUCUUGACUACAAUACUCCUAUCAUCAUUUUUUAAAGAAUAUUCAUUUUCACCCAUUCAUUUUUGUGUCCACUCGAUGGAUAAGAGAAAAACAUUGAAAAUGUAUAAAAUUUGAUUUUUAAACACUUCAAGUGAUAUAGAUCAUGUUCAACGAUGUCGAUCGUCGAUUUGGAGGCUCUAUCAUCGAAAACAAAUAGGUGGCAACGAAGCCCGUUUGCUACUGAUAGUAUUUAUUCUCUCUCUCUCUCUCUCUCUCUCUCUCUCUCUCUAUAUAUAUAUAUAUAUAUAUAUAUAUAUAUAUAGAGAGAGAGAGAGAGAGAGAGAGAGAGAGAGAGAAUAAAUACUAUCAGUAGCAAACGGGCUUCGUUGCCACCUAUUUGUUUUCGAUNAGCGGAACACUAGCGAGCAUAUCCCAGCUCAUGUUUGGCUAGCUAAGAUUUCGACGUAAAAAAUUCAACUCGUGUUUUGACUCAUUUAUUAAAUGAACGCUCAAUCUCGAGCUCAUUUGAGCCAAACACGAGCAUAUUUACAACAGCGAGCUGCAUUGCCAGCUCUUAGGGUAGACCUGUAAUCGUUAGGCUCCCUUUAGAAUUACGAAAAUAUUCUCGUGCACAAAAUACACUAUUUCUACAGCCCCAAACAACAUAUUUAGAAAAAAAAAAAAAAAAAGAAAGAAAGAAAAAAUUAUCUUGCUCAGUCAACAAUAGUCAAAUUAGUGGUCCCUAUAUGUUUACUACAGUACAAGAAACAGCAUGAACCGACUCAAAUAAAGGCUAAUUUGUAACGUACGGUUAGCAUGUGAUCACAAAAAUGAGAUGUGGCCUCUCUCCCACUCCUAUUAAAUAAUAGAGGGCCUCAUGCACCAACCAUGUUUGAUUUUGUGAGGACAUGGAAUCUUAUGUUAGGUGUGCAUGGCCCAUGCUCAUUUACUUUGUGUGCUUUGCUUAAGUUUGAAUCUACAGUUAAACAAUUCAGAAAAUAUUUUAUUACUAGGAUUAAAGACUCAUGAUUAAAACUUUAAUUCUCCACUAAGGAAGAAAUUAAGAUCCGCGCCAAGAUAGAGUAGAUGUUGUGUAUAAAAUACAUACGCAAUCACAAUACUGUAUCAAAAUUUGUUAUUCGAGUAUUACUGGUUUCUGUAGUAGAGAAGAUGAUCUGAAAAAUGCUUUUCCUUUUACUUUCUAAUUAAUGAUAGGAGGAUGCAAAUAUUUGACAAUAUGAUGAUUAAUAAGUCACUCAUCCCUUUCAUUCAUUUGAAUUCCUAAAAUUUGAAAAUUAACCUCUCUCAUACUAUACCAUGAUCGAAAUUAGGGCUUAUUAAUUAGCUCGACUUCUGAAAUAAUUUAACUUCUUAAUUGAAAAGUUUCCAUCGAACUUCCUAUUUUUAGUCACAUAGUAUAAAAUAAAAAUAUUAUUUUUUUUCCAGAAAAGCACUUUUAUCGAAAACUACAAAACAAGAAGCUCCUAUGUACGUCCACUUUUAAAGCAUCUAUACCAUGCAACGUAAAUACGUACAUAAGUAAACAUCAGCAUGAUUCACUAACAAUUAAUACUUAGAGGAUCAUGAACUUAAUUUUUGAAGCAUUAAUUGGAGAUUUACAUCCAUACCUUCCCCCCACAAAUGCAGGGCCAACUCGCACGAUCCAACGGGCAACUUCACCUUCCCCUCCAACCGCGCGGCAUCGGCGUCGUACAUCCACCACUCCCCCUCCCUCGCCGUGAGAUCGUCGCACCGGAAUAUCUCCGGCAUCGGCUCGCACUCGCUCAGGAACACCACCUUCACCCUCCCCCGCUCGUCCCGCCUCCCCUUCCUCACCGCCAAGUUCGCGGCCACCAGAUGAACCUGUUGUUUUUUGACAUCAAAUCCUAAAACUUCGUCAGGGUUUUCAGAGAAAGACAGUCGUUUCAUAUGCACAGUAUCGCAAUAAUAAGUUCUGGCUUUUAGUAGCAUUCGUACAGUCCAUCCUGACUGUCAAAAAAUAAUUUUAGUAUUUAUAAUAUAUCUGUUCUUUCAGUAAUAAGAAUAAUUUUAAAAAUACAAAAUUUUACCAUAGAAAUGUUUCGCACCUGUAGUCUGAACACAUCACGGUUCCAACCCUUGGCUGGCCGCUGACACGGUAGGCGGGCCACCACCGCGUCGGCCGAGCCGGGGUAGGAAUCGAAGUCCGGCAUGGGGACUUCGGGGCACGACGCGCCCUCGUUCUCCUCCUCCUCGUCGAUCCACUCCGGGAACAGGUCGGCCCACUUGAAGUUGGGGUGGACCCGCUCGAAGUCAACAUUGACCGCGGUCAGCUCUGCAGUACUCUUGUUCUUCUCCACCCCGUCAAAUCCCCACGCGAUCACUUCGUCGUUGCCGAUGUUCACCAACGCGAUGCUCUUCGCGUCUCCGACGUGCCCGAGGGCUCGGAGGAAGCUCGGGGGGUUGAUCUCCUUCGCCAUUCUCUUCUCGCUCGUGAUCGCAUUGUUCGGAACUUCUCCUCUAGUCGCAACCUGUAAAUUUUGAAUUCAAAUUUGUAAUUUCAAUUUCCUCAUAACCAAACACUUUAAAAUUUUGAUUUUUUUCUUGUUAGUCAUCAUAAGUACUAAAGCAUAGCACAAGAAAAUACAAGAAGAGGACAGAAAAAAAAGGAACUUGAAAGCUUAGAAAAGUUUUUCUUUUUGAGCAUCUAAAGUGCAAAAUAAAGCUUAGAAAGCUUAAAGAUAUAUAUAUAUUCUAACGCUAGUUCUCAAUAGCUUGUUUUUUUUUUUUUUGUUCUUUUUAAAGUAGCUUAAUUAUUACUAUCUAGCUAGAUAACAAAUACAGUAAAAAUCUACUAAAAUUUAAUCUCCUCAUGAAGCUCAUUGCAAAAUUCAGGGCCCUUACCUUACCUUCCUCAAGUGACAGUCGCGGAGGGUGCAGCGGACGAGCGACGCGACGUUCUUGUCGAGGAGCGACGAUGGCUGGAAGAGGAGGAGUGCGAAGUAAGCGGCGAGGAAGAAGAUCAAGAAGGCUAUGUUGAUCUUUAUCACAAUGGCUCGCGACGCCGCGGCCUUAAACACCUCCCCUCUCAGUAAUCCCAUGCUAACUGUGAACUACCAUGCAUUGGCCUCAGCUAGCAUAUAUGUGUGCAUAUAUUUAUAUAUAUAUAUUUGCCUAUAUAUAUAUAUAUAAAUGUGUGUAGCUUAUCUAGCUACCUUCUUAACUAUGUCUCCUUCUUUAGUUGUGACAUACAAGCUUUUUGGCAUUUGUAGUGGUUGGGAUGUUUGCAGGGAUUGGGAAAUGAGAGGACCACUUGGAGAGUUCCAUGUGUCCAUUUUUGUUCCCUUGUUCAUUAGAUUUACCACUUGACUAAGAGAGAGAGAGAGAGAGAGAGAGAGAGAGAGAGAGAGAUGUUUUUUAAAAAAAGGGAAAAAAAAGAAAAAAAAAAUUAGGGCAUGUGAAGUUUCUUUCCUUGCUGUUGGGGUUGGUGCAUCUUCCACUCUUUUUCUGCUGUUCUUCCCCAAGGGCUUCUGGUCCACAAAAAUAUUAUUUGUUUGAAACUUUGGUCCACUCAAAUAUUUAGGAUCCUGUUGCCCUUGUCCUUUCUUUUGCAUAAAGUCUCAGCAUCAUAAAUAUGUCCAAAGCAAUUAAUAAAAAUUUACAAAUAUUUUCAAAUAUAUAUUUACUUUAACCUUUGCUCAUAUUGUUUGAACUCUUUAAUGCGGUGGGUCCAAAGUUUUUCUUUUUCUUUUCCGCUAGGAGAGACGUCAUGGAAGUUCCAUAUUAUCAUGCCAAUUUAAGGUUUUAAUUUUAAAAAUUAUAUUAUUAUUAUGAUAUAUAUAGAAUCAUAGAUAUUUGAUUUUAGAUCAGAGAUAGAGCAGAGCAACCUGAGAUUUACACUCCACAUAAUAAAAGUAUAUAUCAUUACCAUGCAUUGGCCUCAGGUACCUAUUUCUUAAAAAAAAAUUAUAAUAAUUUCAUAAAGAUAACAGCUAUUGCUAAUAAUUCAUUAACAGAAUUUAACUCUAGAACUAUAUUUGAAAUAGGUUGGAACGUAAAAAAGAUAUUUUCAUUAUUAUUAGCUUUCUAAGAUAGAUAAAUUAGAAAGUCGGAUACUUUUUAGAAGUAUAUAAAUAAUUACCCCCUAAUAUUUUUUUUUGAGAUAUAUAAAAGAUGCAGUGUGUCAAUUAAUGAGUUAUUAGGAAGCAUGUUUCAGUUGUGCUCUCUAAUGGACCACACAAUGUGUUGUUUUUUCUCCACAUAAAAGAAGAUACAAACUGUAAUAAGAUCAUGCGAAGGAUUAUAUUAAUUUGUUAGCUCUUUUUAUUUGUUAGGUGAUUAUGGGUCGUCGUGUUCGUAUUCUACAAUCGCAAUACCCAGAAUAAUUAAUUUAAGAAUUGUUUUAAAAAUAUUUAUGAAAUAAUUUUAAAUGUUUCGAAACAUAAUUUGUACGAUGAUCUUGACAUUUGAUCAUGUCAUUUUCAGGGCACCUUGGUUGUGUCUCCAGUCGCGAGCGACCCGUGUGCAACGAAGCCCCUCAAUUUUCCUGUAAUUACAUUUUUCGUCCCGUAAUUUUCUAUAAAAAAAGUUCUCAUUAGUGAACAUAAAUAGGGUGAAAUAUGAUACUUUUUUCUCUUUUACUUAAAAUCAAAUAAUUGUAAGUAAAAAUAUAAAUGCAAUACAAUUUAUAAAACAUAUACCGUAUAUAAAUUAUUAUUAGUAUUAUUGAAUAUUUGGAGAUUCUUAAAAUAUAGUUCAUGCAUGUGGGUCAACAUAUGUGUUUAUUUACAGGAACUUUUACUUACUUACUCCUGAUUACUAUUUAAAAUUUUAAAAUAUAUUUUAAAAUUACCAUAAAUUCUAGCAUUUUAGGGAUGUUUAAAGUAUGUUUGAAAAUCAAUAAAAACAUUUUAGUCAACCAAGAGUAUUUUUGAUAUUUUUGAAGUUUUGAAUGAUAUAGUAGAUAUGAUUCUUUAUUUUCUUAUUAUAACAAAUAUGACCAAAACCAUAAUGGAGUUUUGGGGAUUUUUGCAUUUUAGUCCCUAAUAUUUUCAAUUAAUAUUGCACAUAAGCCUCAUAAAAUUGGGUCACUUAGGUUAUCCUUAUAAGCAGCUUUUCUUUAAAAAAAAGAAAUUGUGUGAAUACGCUUUGGCAAUGUUUGUUCCAAGUAAUAACAUGCAUCAAAACAUUAAGUACACCCUUAAAUGUUCUAUAUCAAUUCUCACACUGACAACCAUAUUACUAUUUUCUGAAAGAUGUACAAAUGGUUGCAGAAACUUUAUGAUUGGGAAUCGAUAUUGUUAAAAUAAAUAUUGAUAAAACAGAUACAUUGUAUCAAGCGAUGAAGGAGUCAGAUCAUAGUUAUAUAGGGGACGUCACAUAAUGGCAAAUUUUGAGUCUUAAUUCUAUUGUGGAAUUUAAGCGUUAAAAACGCCCUUCUUUGAAAACUUGUGCUUUUGAAGAAAAACGAUUGUUUCAUAUAAUUUGACAUAGUAUUAUAAUAGAAGGUUGUAAGUUCGAAUUCCAUCAGACUCCUAAUAUUAUUAAUAUUCUUUAAUUUAAUUCAAAUCAAUGUUUGGGGCUUAUCAAAAAAUCACAAGUUUAAGCGUGAGAGGAAGUGUUAAAUAUAAAUAUCAGAAAAUACCAUUCUUUGAAAGUUAAAGCUUUACGAGCCCAGACAUAAGAGGGAGUGUUGAAUAUAAACAUAAAAUAUAUUGUUCUCUACAAACUAAAGCUUUCGAAAAAAAAAGAUUGUUAUAUAUAUUUAUAUACAUAUAUAGAGAGAGAUCAACUUAAGAUGUUGUUAAUAGUGUAUAAAUAGUAAUUACUAUUUACUUUUUCACUGUUGGAUUAUUAAUAUUCUACCAACUAACCACUGAAUUCUAGAAAUCCAAUUGUCAAAAUGUGGAUAGUAAAUUCUAUUCACAUACUAUUAGUAGUAUUUCAGCAUAAUUCUCUCUCUCUCUCUAUAUAUAUAUAUAGUCCGACUAUGGUGCUUUUAGAAGUACAAAGGAGUUGGUAAUUUCGACGUUUUGGCCCAUUAAUCAAUUCUUUUGACCAUUUAUAGCCUUUGGAUUAUUAUUACUUUCCUAAGGAUUACUAAAACCUAAGAGAGUUCACUAUUAUCUUAACCCUACAAUUCUUAAUUUAAGAGCCAAAAAGUCGAAAGCACUAACUUCUUUAUGUUUUCGAAAUGAUGAUAAAAGACUUAAAUUUAAGAUCAGAGGUACUGAUCAUACUCUAAAUAGUGAAAAAAAUUUUCUAUAAAAAUUUCAUCAAAUUUGGAUUGUUUUACACCGUUAAAUUCACAAACACAUCACAUCUACCAUUAAAAUUGUCAAAUUUGAGACCUUUUGAUCAAUAGUCAAAUAAUGUCAAAAAAUUAUGUUCCAAAUACUUUUAAUUGUGUAGAUCAAAUCUAACGGAGCCGAUCGUCGAUUUGAAAGCCGCAUCAUUGAAAACAACUUGGUAGUACGGAGGCCUCCGUGCUACCGAUAGUAUACCAGCCUAGCUCUAUAUAUAUAUAUAUCUAUACAUAUAUAUAUAUAUACAUAUACUAUACAUAUAUAUAUUAUAUUCUAUAAUAUAUAUAUAUAUAUACAUAUUAUAUAUAUAUUAGAUGGAGAUGCGGAUAUGAUUAUGUAAUAGUUAUCAGUCGGAUGUGAUGAUCGCUGUGUAGCUCAAUAUUUCUCUUAUCUUAGGGCGAUAGGGGGACGUACGCAGAGGUCCGCGAGCAACUAGAAUGAUGUGAGUCCUAGUUUAAUUCUGGGUUCUCUCUCAUGAAUAGGACAUGAGGUGUAUUGGCCUGGUUGUCAAUCACCUCGCCUUCGUUGAUCCUGAAGUUGACGAGUCCCGAGAGGAAGAGGCGAGAGAGAGAGAGAGAGUUGAGCUAGGAUACUUUUACAAGUACCACUGCCCUGGUGCUAUUAGGUUUUUAGCCAUUGGAUCUACUUCUUGAUUACUAAUAAUCCUUGGAUCAAAUACUAUUCACCUACCACCACCUAUCACCAUCAUCUCAACCUCACAUCUCUCCAUCCAAGGGCUAAAAACACUAAAGCACCAUGGGGUGAUACUUGUAAAAGUAUUCUAGCUCCAUAUAUAUAUAUAUAUUAUAUAUAUAUAUUAUAUUAUAUAUUAUAUAUAUAUAUAUAUAUAUAUAUAUAUAUAUUCUCGAAUCAUUUUCAACCAUUAGAUUAUACUAUUCAACCAACCACCAUCAACCCUAUGGGGCCCACAUCAUCCUAACCGCAUAUCUCUUAAUCUAAGGGCUCAAAAUCUACAAGCACCAAUAACUUGGUACUUUUAAAAGCAUAGGAGCUCAAUUUUAUAUAUAUAUAUAUAUAUAAUAUAAUAUAUAUAUAUAUAUAUAUAUAUAGCUGAGGCUACUAUACUUAUUAUGAGCUUAACUAUACAUAUAUAUAUAUAUACAUAUACUAUACAUAUAUAUAUUAUAUUCUAUAAUAUAUAUAUAUAUAUACAUAUUAUAUAUAUAUUAGAUGGAGAUGCGGAUAUGAUUAUGUAAUAGUUAUCAGUCGGAUGUGAUGAUCGCUGUGUAGCUCAAUAUUUCUCUUAUCUUAGGGCGAUAGGGGGACGUACGCAGAGGUCCGCGAGCAACUAGAAUGAUGUGAGUCCUAGUUUAAUUCUGGGUUCUCUCUCAUGAAUAGGACAUGAGGUGUAUUGGCCUGGUUGUCAAUCACCUCGCCUUCGUUGAUCCUGAAGUUGACGAGUCCCGAGAGGAAGAGGCGGAGAGAGAGAGAGAGUUGAGCUAGGAUACUUUUACAAGUACCACUGCCCUGGUGCUAUUAGGUUUUUAGCCAUUGGAUCUACUUCUUGAUUACUAAUAAUCCUUGGAUCAAAUACUAUUCACCUACCACCACCUAUCACCAUCAUCUCAACCUCACAUCUCUCCAUCCAAGGGCUAAAAACACUAAAGCACCAUGGGGUGAUACUUGUAAAAGUAUUCUAGCUCCAUAUAUAUAUAUAUAUUAUAUAUAUAUAUUAUAUUAUAUAUUAUAUAUAUAUAUAUAUAUAUAUAUAUAUAUAUUCUCGAAUCAUUUUCAACCAUUAGAUUAUACUAUUCAACCAACCACCAUCAACCCUAUGGGGCCCACAUCAUCCUAACCGCAUAUCUCUUAAUCUAAGGGCUCAAAAUCUACAAGCACCAAUAACUUGGUACUUUUAAAAGCAUAGGAGCUCAAUUUUAUAUAUAUAUAUAUAUUAUAUAUAAUAUAUAUAUAUAUAUAUAUAUUAGGCUGAGGCUACUAUACUAUUAUGAGUAUAAACCCCCUUAUACUCAUAAAUUUUUAACUGUUGAUUGAUGGAUGUGUGGUUAGAAUAAUGGUGUCCCAACUUAGAAUGAUAGUGGUCCCUAGGGUUGAGUCGGUAGUUGGUUGAAUAGUAUGAUCUAACGGUGAAAAUGAUCAAUGGAAUAAAUUUAAAGGCCAAAAACUUAUGAGUAUAAGGAAGCUAAUACUCAUAAAAGUAUAGUAACCAGACUCUAUAUAUAUAUAAUAUAUAUAUAUAUAUAUAUAUAUAUAUAUAUAUACUUAUAUAUAUAUAUAUGAACCGACAAUUCAUAGGGUUUCCUUGUAUUGGACUGUUGUAGUUGGUUGCGCAUUCAUAGGCUUUCCUUGUAUUGGACUGUUGUAGUUGGUUGCGCAGUCUCAAUCCUCUGUAGACAAAGUUAAUUUGAAGGGAAGGGAAAAAGGAAAAACCGUGUACGAUCGACCACUUUGCACACAUAACACGUACGUGAAAGCAACUCCAUUGCAUCUAACACGCGUAUUUAAAUGCCAUAUUCUGAUUUUGCCAUCAGGAUUUUACUUCCCACCAGAUCUGACAUAGAUCUCCAGAUCAUGAGUUUGAUCAGUUUCAGUGAAUACAAGUUGAAAGAAGCAGCUUAAUUAUUAAUUAAGCAUCCAAAAGCACAAUUAGUGGAUUGAUUGAUUAGUAUUUUUGGUACUUUUACCUUUUUUCAUGAUGUUUUGAUCAUCAUCCACCAAUCUUAUAAUAAUAAGUAGCCCAUUUGAGAAGUUUUUGCAUGGACCUGGUCCACAAGGUCGCCGCGCGCGUACCGUUUAAGUAAUGUACAAUUCUAUCGUACGGGACAAUUAAUUGAUACAGCUACUAUUGUUUAGGUCGGUUAAUAAUUACCAUUUUCUUUUUGAAAUAAGACUAGGAUUCGAAUCCUGCUUCCAAAAAGAAAAUGUGUAUGUGAUUAUGCUAUGCUUGUUUUAGCAUGUUGAUACUUUUAGUUUGUAUAUAUUUAGUUGAGUAGAACUACUAUGCUAUCGAAAGUAUAAAAGAGUUGGUGCUUCCGAAUUUUGGGCCCUUGGAUCAAUCCCUUUGGUCAUUUUUAACUAUCGGAUUAAUAUUAUUAUCCAGUGAGGACCACUCAACCCUAAGGGAGAUCAUUAUCAUCCUAAUAGUACAAUUCUUGAUCCAAUGGCUAAAAAAUCAGAAGCACCAAUCCCUUUAUACUUUCGAUAGCAUAGUAGCUCUAUACUAUUUAGUUUAUCUUUAAUUUAUAUAUUUGUACAUGCUAAUUUGUAUAGGAUUAAAAAUGAUCUAGAUUAUAGAUUAUAAUUUUACCUAUGCCAUGCUUAUUUUUGUUAUCUUUUCUGUCCAAAAUUGCCACAAUAUUUUUUCGAUUUAACCAUUUUGAUUCGAUAGGUAUAAUAUAAUUGAUUUGUGACUAAUCGCCCGUAGAAUCAAUUUUUCCAAAAAACAAAGAAGUCGCGAGAUUUUAAACAAUGAAUCAUUCAACAAAACAAAAAAACAAAUCUCGAAAUUUUAAAUAAAAAUAGGUUGUAUGCUAAGAUCAACUCAGACGGUCCACGGCUGACAAAGUGGACCAAGUCCAUGCAAUAAAUUCUUCUCAGUGAUUAUUAUCACUUCAGAGGUACAAAGAGGACAGCUAAUUUUGUUUUUGGUUUUUGGUUUUUUUUUUUUUUUUUUUGGGUGUGUUUUUUUUUUUUUAACUUUGUUAUUUUAUGUUUUUUUGAAAAAUUUUAACUUGUCAUCCUAUUUGAAAAACUAAGAAGUUUAGUAGGUAAGUAGGUCUCCUAUCACCACCAUAAAGUUGUGUUUAGUGGGAUUUUUUUUUUAUUUUUCUAAUUAUUAUUAAUUAGUUGGUGGAUAUAUAAUUGGUUUCUUUUAGCUGAUUUAUUUUACUUUUAUUAUGAAUCUUUUUUUGAUGAUAAUGUUAGAGCAAAGUAUAUAAGAUUAGAUAGUUUUUGUUCUUUUCCUUCCUCCUUGUAAUUUUCUCUUCAAAGAAGCCAAUAAAUUUGGAUGGGGCACAGCUGACCUACCAUUUUGUUUGUAGCAUGGAGCAUUAAAAUUAGCAUUAAAAGCUCAUUAGUUUAUCAAACUAAAAGCAAAAAAAAAUUUUAAAAAAUAAAGAGUUUUGCAAAGAUGGAAAAAAAAAUCUUGAAAACUUAGUAGAAAGAAAAUAUAUAUGUAGAGAGAGAGAGAGAGCAUUUUUUUUUCCUUUUAUAUAUUUUUGGUUCUUAUCGGCAUGCAUUGGAAAUCCGGUAUUUGUUCUGAUACCAGAUAUUAAGGAUCUGCAACUCGUUUUAAUACCGACUGAUGUAAAUUCGGUACUUGCUCCGGUAUCGAUUUUUCGGACUUUGCAAUAAAAACGUCAAAUCAAUUUUUUACCGUAAAUCAGUCUCUUCAAUAAAAACUGGCAUAACCACAAAAGAGAGAAAUAUAUACCAACUUAGCAUUUUGAUAUAUCAACAUCUUCUACCAACCGUCCCUAGAGCAAGUGGCAAAAGGCUUGGUGGUUGGUACCCGAGACCCAAGUUCGAAUCCUAGUUGAUUCACAUUUCUAGCUAAGUUUAUUUCUAAAUGAAAUAAACGAAGCGGAUAGCGUGCUAUCUAUCUCUCAAAAAAAAAAAGAAAAUCAUCUCUAGGGAUGCAAACGGGGCGGAUCUUGGACUCCCACCCCGAAUCCGUGACGGGUUAAAAAAUACAUCCCAUAAUCCGCCUCCCGCGGUCCCGCCUCCUGCCGGCGUCCCGAAUCCAUCUCGCCAACUAAUAUUUUUUAUAAAACUAUAAUAUUAUUAAUAUUUUGUAAAAUAUAAAAUAAUAAUUUUUAAUAAUAUUAUAUAUAUAAUUUAACAAUAUUAAUUAUAAAAAAUAAAAAAUAUCAAUCACAAUUCAAAACAAAAUUCAAAAGUUUCAAAUACAUUAGAAAUAAGAAUACUAAUUUAUUUAUAUUUUAAACUUUUUUGUAAAUACAUUAUUUUUUAGAAAUAUUUUUUAAAAAUAUAAAUGAUUUUCAGGGUGGAUUCGGGGCGAAUCAUGGCGGGGCAGAUUCGGGACAGAUUCGGAACGGGUCAAAAUUUUUCCCGUUUCCUGCCCUAAAUCCGUCUCGGAUCGUAAAAUUUAUCUCGUUUUCCGCCGCGAAUCCAUUUAUUUUCUUCUAUUUAUUGCCCUCGUCCGGGCGGAUCGGGGUGGGAGCUCCACCAACCUGGAUCCGUUUGCAUCCCUAAUCUUCUCCGCCAUUAGGUUCUGCUUUGCAACGCUUUAAGAUUCGUGCGAAAUUAAAUCUGACAUGUCUGACGGAACGACUUCUCACGACGACGAGAGUAGUAUAAGUGCGACAAUUUCGGUCUCUAGUUCAAAAUAAUAAAUGUCUCUAUCAUCUGUGCUAGUAAAAAUGAGAAAAAAUAUACGGCAAAAUUCUACAAAAGAAGAGAUGUUGCGGAGAAAAACUUUGCGACUUUGCCGACGACUAUAAAUCAUAUCUGUGCAAGAGGUACCUCCAAUCAUUCAUUUCAUCUCCAUUAAUUCCACCUAAAACCUGCCUCCCAUAAUAACUACAAUUAAUGCAAAAGUGUUUGUAUUAAUGAAUCUCAUCAGUUUAUCAUGCCACAGGAAGUAGCAUGAUCAGCAAUAAUUAAUCUCUCAACUGAAAUUAGUUGGUGGUUUAGCAAAUAAUUAAUCAUGGCAUGCAUGGAGCUAUUAUUUAAUUCAUUCAUUAAUGAAAGAAACAAAAGAAUUUUUUUUAAAAAAAAAUUACUAUUCAAGGGUUCAAUGGAUGUGGAGAUUCGCAACUGCACAUGUGCUUCGGUUAUGAGUAGAAUAUCCAACCAAUAAGGAUAUGAUUUUGUUUAUCAACCAAUAAGGAUAUGGUUUUGUUUAUAAGAAUUUUUUUCUUCUUUUUUUUAAGAAAAUUGGAUAUUCUACAUUGUUAGUUGUGUCCUCGUCGGGCUUAAGUAUAUUCACAAGUACCAAAUAAUAUGACAUUCGUCUAACUAGACUUAGCCGAUCUUAUGAGAGCCGUCUUCCGUCCACAACAGUCAUCUGAAAAUCAUGCUCUAUUCGUUGUAUAAUUCUUAUUCAAACGAUACUCAUUUCAUAUUUCCGACUAAUAAUUGGCUAUGAUACCAACUGCGACACCUUACUUUUCAGAAAUUUAUCCAUCCUAAAAUUACAGUUCUUGAGCCUAGCGACUGCCCAAUAUAUUAUAACCAAUUUAUCAUAUAUAAAACUAUUCUAGAUACUAGGGAUGUCAUAGAAAUAUCUUAAACCAAGAGAGAGAGAGAGAGAGAGAAAUAUCUAAGAGGCAACAACUAUAUUAAAGACAAAUAAGUUAUUUAGCAAAAACUAAUUUAUUUUGAAGGGGUUCUUUUUUUCUUCUUUAGUUCGGGUUGUAACCUCUUAAACUAAGAUAUUUUACCUGCGAGAUAACUUAUUUUAUUUCAAAAAUAAUAAGUUCAAGACAAAAUAUAGUAUGUUAAUUUUCUAGACAUUUGAUCAUUACUCCUAAUCUAUCAAAUACGAUUAUACGACAAACUUUUUUUAGUCAAUAAGAAAAUAUGCCGAAUAAAAUGUUCGUGCACCAAACCAAAUGCUAAUCAUUCCAUUCCCUUCUUGACAUGUGGUGCAUAAAUGUUCUUCAAAGUAUAUAUUUUGAUAUUGAAAGAAAUUGGCUACCAAGAGGUUAGGAAUCAUGGACUAUCUAUCUAUUAUAUAAAAGAAAUAAUAUGUAACAAUGCAUAUGAGAUGUAUUAGCUAGGUUUUUUUAGUCAUAUUACAGUUCAUAAAUAGGUGUGUGCCCUAAUGACAAUGCAAACUCUUAUAAAUUCCUUAUGCACUCAUGGUUUUUGUGGACAAAAGAAAAGGUGAAUGAACUUUACAAAGUAGCUAGCAAACAAAAAAAAAAAAAAACAUGAUAAAUGGGGAGACUAAAAUCAAUUCCCAUUUUUUCCAAAAACUUUUUAAAAUUAUGUAAACUGUCUUUUUAGAGAAAUAUAUUAUCAACAUCAUGAUAACUGAUAAAGCUAUUAGUUCCCCUGUUACUUCAAUGAAUGGCUACUUAAUCUUUUUUGUAAUAUUAUUUUAUUAGACUUUAAUCACUAAUAAAUAAGCUUCAUUAUCCUCUCAAACUACUGUGGGGAUAUGACAUAGACUAAUUCCCACCUAUUCUAUCCACUGAGAUGAUGAAUGAAAAUGAUCAUCAAUUAGAACAAAUAUGUAAAGCCCAUUGAAUUCUAUCAGUAACAGUGAGAAGUAAAAAUGGCUGGCCUACUUUCGGUAUCUGCUUUUUCGCUCGAUAAAUGACUUGCCUAUUAUAUCGCUUGAGUAUGGUGUAACAGGAUUUUAGGAGGAACGUUGCAGUAAGAUUAGCUGCCAUAGUCGGAUGAAUAAACUCACCAAACUUUCAGCUACGUGAUAGACAAUCUGGCUAGAAAAAAAUAAUGUUAUCUUUAGGAGACGAGGCUUGAGCUUGACUCAAGUUCUUCGCCGUAUAUAUUUACUCACGCUCCCCCUCUACCCUCUCUCUCUUUUUAUUUUCUCGAGGUCUUGGCUGUUUCACCUGUUCUUCCAACUUCUUACCAUUUUAUGCAUGAAAUUAAUAGCUUGCUAAUUUUUUCUCAGAAAAAAAAAGAAGAAAAAACAGUGAGAAGCAAAAAAGGAAAAUGGAUUGGUCAAAGUGAGGGGUCGAGUAGCCUAAAAUAAUCACACACUUUCUCUUCUUCUUUUUUUUUUUUUCCCCCACCUAAUUAUUGAAAGAUUGGGCUGUGGAGGGUUUUUUUAUUUUUGCAGAUUUAGCUUAUCUAAGCAUGAUGUAUGUGACAGCAACAAUUCAUAAUUGUAUGGUAUUAGGGAUCUUUCACAUUUAAUGCAAUUGAUUUAGCUGGGCACAAAGUGGUCUCCUUUUGAGGACUUGCUUGGCCCACUGAAAUUUCUAAGAAAAUGCCAGUUCAGCAGAGAUUUUUCAAAAAAUACUAAAAAUUAAAUUGUCACCAUGAAGCUCUCCUGCAACCAAAGAUGCAGUAAUUUUUAAAAUUUUAAUAAUGUAAUAUAUAUAUAUAUAUAAUUUAGAUUGUAUAUGUUAAAUAUAAAAUUUAAUUAUAUAAUAUUAAUUAUUUAAAAAUAAAUUAUACAGUAAAAGGUGUGCGAGCAAUAAUCAACAUGGUGGCUCCAUGUUGAUUUCAAGUAGGCUCUCUGGACGUGACAGAUCCUGCUUAACUUUCUUUAAAAAAAGAGCUAAAUUACAUAAAACUUCUGUCAAAAUCUGAUUUUUUAUUUUUCUUCCUGUUAUUUAAAAACCUACACUUUGCCUCCUUGUAAAAUGAAAAGAAUUCACUUCGUCCCUUGCCGUUAGUAAUCCGUUAGGGUUCCGUUUAUAAAAUAUUAUUAUACAUCUUUUAUGCAAAAAAUACUCUCGGUCUUUUCUCCUGUGAACAUGACGAGGGACAAAAUGGUGAAAGGCAAAAUGGUCAUUUUAUCAUCACUGUUCACACCGUACCCCAUGUGAACAUUUUUCAUUUUAUAAAAGGACAAAGUGUAGAUUUUUAAAUGAUAUGAGGGAAAGUGAAAAAUCGAAUUUUGACAGAGGUUUUUCUGUUGCAAAAAAAAAAAAAAAAAAAAAACUAAAAACUUCAAAUUAAAUCAUCUCAUAUGCACAUUUUUUACAACAUUGUGUGCAUAAAAAUUUCUAUAUAGAAAGAUGAUCCCACCAUGAUCAUUUCCAUAUUAUGAACAUAUGGCGCAUAAGGAUGCACCCAAUACGCACCCUUAGACACCUAACCACUGCAACAGAAGCACUGAGAUUCAAGCAGAUGAUUUGCUUUCCAAACAUUAUAUUAUCAUGUCGAAGUUUAUCACCAUUGCAAAAGUUUCAGAGUUUCUUAUCCACCUUACUAAAUAAUAAUAAUUCCCAUGAAACUUUACAUGGGUAGAGAACACAUCCCUAAACUUAUUAUUUUUUUUACUUUUGGUUGGUUUUAUUAAAGCUAUUCCAAUUAGUUAAUUUGGGGAUUUUAUUGCAUUUAAAAGUACCCCUAGUUAUUAGCUGUUAACUCCUAACUGGUACUUACUUAUUAAAGCCGUUAAGUUUAACAGAAUCAUCAUUAAAUUUAACCAAAAAUCACUAAAUUAACUGACAAAAAUAGAUCAAAUGGAAAUAUAAUCAAAAGCCUGGAGUGUGUCAACAAAAACAAGAGAGAAUAAUUGUCUGAAAAAUAACCUUAAAAGUGAAGUAAUAUCUCGUAUCAUAACAAAAAAAAAAGAAGGAAUUACAAAACUAUGAUACAAAACAAUUGAAACAUGCUGUUCAUACAAAGAUGACUUCAAACUUGGGGCAGGGGUUUCUCUCAACAUGUUCCGAAAAUUCGGCAUCACUGCCGAAUUUAAAGCUGUACAGUGCUUGUCUCUGUGUGAGGCCUACUGGGUACACUCUGUAUAUUCUCAGGUCAUCAUCUCCUCUUACGCUUUGUGGUCUUUCGUUUUUCCAUAUGGGUGUGUGAUUUAGCGACUUGAAUUUUGCGGUAAUGGCCGAUUCGAAAGCAUUUAGUCUCAACUCUUCAGAUCUGCGAAAAAGUUCACAGAGUUGGAUCUCUUUCGGUAAGUAGAACCAUGAUAAAAUAAAAGAUUAGUCAUAAAUUUAGCCCCGGAAGUUUGACCUGAUGUCGACUUUGUACUCGUUGUUUCCAAGUUUACAAUCAAGUUCUACAAUUAUGACUUGAGGAUGAAUUGAGAAUUUGAGAUCGAGACUCCGAGGGCAAAAUACAGAUCAGGAGCAAACUACAGGACUGAAUUGGUUCAAUUUAAAACUACUAGGUCCAAAUUGAAGAUAGAACCAAAGAUUAGGGACUAAAUUUGCAGCUAACCAUUAAAUAAGUGGAGGCAGGAAGGAUUGAAGUAACCUGAGAAAAAUGGACUCCAUCUCGAACCGGCCUCUUUCUCUCACAUAAAGAUGGUAGACCGUUCCCUUUUUAUCCGUGCAUUUACAAGGACGUUUUUGGAAUUUUGGCGUUUUUUCUUCUUUUUCAUGGAUCCUUGUUGCAAUAUGGAUGCAAAGCCGGCAAGAUGAGUGAACAGCUGCCAAGUCGACGAGUGCCUUGAAAGAAUCUGAUGGACCCUCGUACUUCCAUCUGAAAAGACGAAAGAGAAAUUAAGGGCAAUUUUGGCAUCAUUCUUGUUCUUCUAUUCUUCAAAGAUUUCUUUAUUUAUUUAUUUAAUGUAAUUCCUACCAUGCUUGGAAAUACUUUGGCUUGACAAAAAAAAAAUAGUAGUAAUGUUUUUGCUUAAAAUCAAGAGUGACUUGGCAAAGAAACGAGUUAAACAAAUACAAGGUGCAAUUGGUGUGAAAUUGUUUCAUGUCGUUAAGGCAUAAUGGAAAGUGAAUAGGAGAAUUUUUAAUGAAGUAGUUGUUAGCGUUUUUUCGAAUAGCUCUACUUAAACAACAAUUUUGUAAAACAUCUAGCAAGGCCAAACAAACUUGAAGCCGAAGUUUUGUUGAAAUAACCGUGAUUCAGCUGAAAGCAAGUUUGGUGAGACUUUGAGAGUAAAACAUUGGCCGGCCAUUAACAGCGAAAUGCGGAGGAGAUCCAUCCACCUAGCUAUGGGCUUAACUCCUAGAAACCAACUUUCCUUUGAAAAGGUCAAAAAUCACUUUGAUGGAAAGAGUGAUAAUGUAGCACAACGCUGCUCAGGAAAUCUCAUUGGCAUGUCGCACGUUUCUAUUCUUACUAAACUUGGUUUACAACCAAAUUGCAAUCACUUCAAUGCCAAGCGCACCCUAUAUUAACACAGCAAAAAACAAACUGAAGCUGAAGUACCUGACUGAUUGAUUGAAAGCAUUAGGGUUUGAAGCAAGGAACUUCAUGGUCUUAGCAACUGAGGGGACAUCACUAAGCUCUUUGAUAUGCAAAACAGAACGAGAAGAAGGUCCAAAGUCUAGUAUAUUUGGAGCACCAACCACAACAGGCACAGCUCCUGCAGAAGUCCAAUAGAUGAAUAAGGCUUUUACAUUUAUACUUGUGCGAAAUAAUUGAUAUUACAUAUACUCCUCAAAUCUAUGUGGAGUUACUUUUUUAAAAGAACAACCUUAGAGAUGGGGAUUAGUGGGUCUGUUUGUAAGUGCGAGGAUGUGUAUGUAAAAAAUUAAGUUUUGAAAGGUCAAUAUGAAAAUUCAGAUCGUGCAGGGAGAGAACAAACAUACACACACACAGACAGAUCAUAGAGGGCAGAUACUUUAAUAUCUCUAUCUCUAGAGAAAAUAUACAGUCAUUGGAGAUUCUAUAAAUAUUGCACAUUAAUUUGAGCCAAUGAACAAUGAAGUCUAGCCUCAGUUUAAUGAAGAACUUUACUAUUUGAAGAAUAUGUUAGAAAUAUCGAACACAAAAAUAAAAUUAAAGAGCAAAUAAAUUUAAAAGAUCAUAAAGAUACAUACAACCAAGGUUUAAAGUGCCGUGGCACGGGGGCGUGCCGCUACGUCCUUGGCACGGUACGGCACGGGCACGCUUGCGUGCCGACACGUGGCACGCUUGCGUGCCGACAGAUACGCACGACCUCCUACUGGCACGCUUUGGCACGAAUUUAUUUAAGUUUUUUUGGUUCCAGUAAGCUUUUAUAAUGUUAUUUUGAAAGAUUUAGACAAGUUAUUAUUAAUUUUUGCUAUGUAUAGUUUAUUAUACUCAUCAAUUAACAUGCAUGUAAGCAUUUUGUAUAUAAAGUACAACUAUACCUGAUGUAGAAUAUAAAUUAAAAUUCUUUUGUUUUUAUUUUUUUUUAUUUGAAAAGUACAACUAUACUUGCUGUAACAAUUGAAAAUUCUUUUGUUUUUAAUUUUUUUAUAAUUUAAAAAAUUAUAACAGAUAAAAUGAUAGAAAAUUUUAUUUUUUCUAAAAACGUUUCAAAAUCUAUAUAUUGAUUCGAUUAGGAAGUAUAUAAUAACUAGAACAACGAGAAUAGUACCGCAAUUACAUCCAUAUUUUUUUUAUUCUUUUAAAAAAUAUCUAAUCAAAAUUUGUUUAGGAGAUCAAUUUUUGUUCCCCUGAUUCAUCGAAAACUUCGCGGUGCGACAAAUUUUGACAAAAUGAUUUGCGAAGAAAAAAUGGAUGUCUGUGGUGGAAGCGAAGCCCCCCGCGGUAUGGAUCGGAUUUAUCAACUAAAAAUUUGCUUUUAUAUUGUUAAAUAAGAAGUUAAAUUAUAAUUUUUAAUUUAACAAAAGAAAAAAGAAAAAGUCAAAAGAAAAAGCCAAAAGGAAAAAAAAAAAAAGGCAUCAGCCAAAAAGAAAAAAAAAAGUUGACAAAAAGACAACACAAUGUCAAAAAAAUAAAAGAAAAGUGAACAAAAGGCAAUAUAGAUGGCCGGGCGAAGGCUCUGUAUCCCAGAGAACCAAAAAAAAAGAGACAAAACCAAAAAAAAAAAAAGCCAAAAAAACUAAAAAAAAAAAAGCUGGCACGGGCGGCACUGUGCCGCGGCACAUGCACCCGUGCCGCUCUGUCUCGAGCGGCACGGGGCAUGUGCCGAGGCACAUGGGGGGGGUCCGAGACCCCCCCUGUGCCGUGCCCCCUUCUUGGGGGCACGGCACGGCACGCCCCGUGCCGCACGGCACGGGGCGGCACUGCUAUCCUUGCAUACAACUCCGAUACAAAAGAGUUAGAACAUACCUGCCACAAGGGAUUGGAAGAACUUUUCAGUAACAUAGUCCUCUUCAUUAGAAUUUUCAAAAGCUAAGCUGAACUUGUAGCGCCUUAAAGUUUGUAGUUUGUCGACUGUGAUGGUUAAUACACGAAAAUUAAUACUUGUUAAAACAAACUUGUCAAUAUAUUAAUCAGAAACACACAAGUAAAACAUUAACUAAAUCUAAUGAUGGUGUUGAUGUGGCCCCCUUUUUCAGAGAGAGUAGUAAUACGUAACUGCUAUACAAAACAACUGAAGGGAUCAAAUAUUUAUAGCCAAAUCUCUAAGAAUCUUUUGAAAUAAGAGUCAAACUUUAAGGAUUAAAACUGUAGUUAACCCAAUAAAGAAUUUCUGAAAGGCAAAUGGAUUCUGUACAUACCUCUGCCAUCUCGGUUUCUGUGACAACUUCCAUAAGAAUCUAUUUUGAUAUUUAACUUUUCGAGCAUCUCAAGGGCUUGUAGACGAAAAUUGCGCGCACCACAAUUAGAAAUGAAAGCAGCAGCUAGGGCAUCUUCAGUCUUAGGAUGCAUGGGCGCCAUGAUAUCAUAUUCAGCCCAAGAAAAGUAGCCAACAGGAACAUCUGAAGAGAGGCUUGUCGUCAUUAUGAUAUUAUAACCUCUCCUGUCACAAAGCAAAAGAACAAAUAUUAGUGUCAAAUGAAAAGGUGAAAAAUGAAUAUAUGGUGUACAUUUAUACAGCAAAUUGUAGAAAGAGCAUUCAUCUAUCUCCAUGAAGGCCAAAUCAAGUGAGAGAGCAGGAACUCUCUUACAAAUCUUUCUUUAUCAGAGAUACUCAAUUAUCACAAUACGUAUCCAGAAGAGGACGUAAAUAACUAUUUAUUCAAGACUUUGCCCUCUCAACCAGCAAGGCAACAACAAAAAGUAAAGGAAAUUAAAAUACUCGAUACAAGGAAUUUGACUUCCAAAUUGAUGAUAAGGAAAUUAAGUUCAAUCAAAUAACUAUUUUCAGUAGGCAAUCUGUGAUGACAAGCCUAACUUCAAAACUUUCAUUAACAAAUAAAUGAAACAAGCUUUUCUUUCUUUAUUAGCAAGAGAACCAGAAUUGUCAGCUGCAGCAGAUUUGGGAUAAAUAAUCCUAUGUACUUAACACAAAGUGUUUGUUAUUUCAUUACAUUAAUUGAUUUAGCAACCCGCAUAUUUCCUAGACACAUAUAUCAAUUUAAAAGCCAGAGCAUUGCAAAGUUAAUGCAUCUCAAUUUUAAAAAGUUCAUUAGAAAUUCAGCGCAAUUCCGUCUAAAGUGCACAGAUAGGCUAUUACGUAAUGAAGUGUGCUUACCUACCGUCGUGCCACAUCGAUAUUGUUUUCCGCAUAGUAUUGUGAUGACUCCAUAGAGCGGAGGAUGCUAGCUGUUUCACGAUGUCGAGGAAGGUCGAAUGUUGCAUCAGGUAUCUUGUUUGGUGCAAAUACAAAUUUACAGCCAACAGAGCAUGCAUCCCAAUCCUGAAGAAUAAUUACAAAAAAUGUUUUAACUAAAAGAAAAUGAAUUUGAAUAUCAAAAAAAGAUCUUGUUUCUUGUCGAAUUAAAAAUGUGUGAGUAAAUAUUUUAAGGUUCAAAAUGCCAAGGCUUGCAAACAACCAAAUCAUAAUAGUAUGCACAACCAAAUCAUAAUACUCCACCGUACAAUGAGCCUAUCGGGCUAGGAUGGAGAUUCAGCAAAACCGUAGUUCGAGUAGAUUAUUUGAAGGAGCACAAACAGUUGUUCGAUCAGAAUCCUUCUAAGAAAUGUUUCUCACUGCAGCAGAAACAGUAACUUAAAAUUGGAGCUUCUUAUUUGGGGCAUAGAAGGUCAUUUCAGCUUCUCGGCGCAGCAUAGCUCUAGAGUUUUUGUUUGCCAAGUAGGCACUAUGUCCAUAGCACUAGACAGAUGAUGACCAACCAAACUAAAAGUAAGAAGCCAAUUAUCGACUGGAUUUGUAGAAUUAGUAAUUUCUUAACAAUAUAAAUAAUAAAACAUGAUCUACACUGCAGAUUCCUUGUUCAUAUCAGAUGAAAAAAUACCCCAAAAUAGCUAACUUUUUUUGGUGAAUAUAGCGUUAACCAAGUGAUCAUCGCAACAACUCACUAAAUACUCACUAAAUAUGCACCAGUUAUAUGCUAAUAGCCUAUCCAAAUGUCCCAAAUUGACUCAUCUCAUGUAACCCCAAAGAGGAAUCUUUCAAACACGAAAAGGAUUAUUGCAUACAAAAUAGCAAAAAAAGCAUCAGAUUAUUUGAUUCGAUGCAGAGAGAAGAAGGAACCUGCUGUUCGGCCCCGGAGACCAAAACCGGAUUGAUUCGGAAGUCACGGGAGUAAGGGACGUCGUCCUCCCUCUCCAACCGGUCGACGCAUUCACCUACGCCGUCGUCGUCGUCGAGGAGAGAGGCCCCCGCGAGGUGAUCGGAGGGGGACGACGAGGAGUUAGGGUUUGCGAUGGAUGGGAAGUAGAAGGAGGUGGUCCAAUGGCGGACCGCGGCGGCGUUCCCUGUUAGGUCGAGGCGAGAGAGGAAGGCGAUCUCGGCGACGACGACGACGGCGACGAGGAAGGGGAGGAGGAUCGUCGCCGCCGUCGUCGUCGGCGCCGGCGCCCACCGCCGGCGCCUAGGGUUUGGAGGAGACGGAGGAGGGCGCCCCAUCUCUCUCUCUCUCUCUCUCUCUCUCUUCUGAGCGUACAGAGAGAAAAGAGUAGUUUAAAUAGGCAACUACCUUCCUUCGCAUAAUACUAAAGUCGGCGACGUUAAUGUAUCGGUGCCGAAUUUAUGAACAUCUUGAGCACUAGUCGAAGCUGGAUCGCCGACUUCUAAAUCCUAAACCGGCUAUGUGAUGAGCAGUUUUGCCGACUUCAACGUAUUGUAAAUUGUCAUCGGCUAGCAAUUUCUCUUUCUUUUUUUUUUUUUUGGCCCAAGUUUUAUUUUGAUCGUCAAACUUUUUUAAGUUUGAUAUAUGAUCCUUUAAACUUUUGAAGUAGUUUAUUUAUACAUUAUAAAUCUAUUUGAUCCAACCUCACAUUUUAGUAUUACCAUUCAUAGACACGCAGUAUUUGAAAAUUAGACCAUUGUAUUAGAAAUAUGAGAUAGAUGAAAGGUGGAUUUUGAUGAGGAAUAAUUUGAAAAGAUACAUAGACAAAAGAAUGCAUGCACUAAAUAUUCCAUAAUACACAAAAUAUUAUUUACAGUUUUUAAUUAUACGCGAAUCAUAUGAUAUGACACCAAAAUUUUCCCUUCCAAACUAUGCAAAUGAGAUACUUCUCAUUAGUUCAUUAAUUUAACAAACAAAUUGAGCGAAAGAAUGUAAAAAAUACAUAAGAGGGGUUGGAGAUUAAGUUCUUAAUCCCCAGGAAAUCCAAUUUUACUGUUGGACAAUGAAAAGUUGACAAAAUUUCAUUUUGGUAUACUUAAUUUCCUCUCCUCCAAAGCCUUAUACUAUCUGCAGCUUGCUCGAGUACAAAGCGCUUUUGAAGCUGUUCAAAAGGAACAAAAUGUUAGCUUGUUUCACCAAUAAUCGCCACACGAGCAACGCCCUUCUUUGAAAUGAUGAAAUCGGUUCGAAUCUCUAACAAUGAUCUCUCUCUCGGUAAUAAUUGAUAUAUACUUGGUCGCAUUGUGGCAGUCCCCGCAAACCCUCAAGUUUUUGUAAAUUUGAAUGGGGGUUUCGGGCGAUGUACUUAUAAUGCCGAAUGCAAUAGCCAAUCUCUCGCUGUGGCUCGCCAAAAUGUGCUCCUUUUCGUCCUCUUCAACAUCUUGUAGCACAAAGCUGUAAUCUGGAACAUAACCUAGGGCUUUCAUCUUGGCUAACAAGUUUUCUAUCUCUCUUUGGAUCUCUUCCAGUUGAGGGUGAGGAUCGGUCUGAUUCCCAGUGAAAAAUACAUUGACCUUCUUAUUCACCUCAAUUGAACUCCAUCCAGGGGUUUUCUGCAAGUUCCUGUGUCGAACCAUAGAUCUCACUUUAUUAACCCCUUCCCAUUUUCCGACUUUCGCAUACAUAUUCGACAACAAAACGUAAUACCCAACAUUCUCGGGGUCUAUUUCGAAUAACUUUUCUGAAGACAAUAAGCCCAUCUCGACAUUUCCAUGAAUCCUGCAUGCACCCAAAAGAGCACCCCACACACCAGAAUCAGGCUUCACGCGCAUUGUUUUUAUGAAUUCGUAAGCAUCAUUUAGUCGACCAGCACGACCCAGCAAAUCUACGAUGCACGCAUAAUGCUUCAUUAUGGGUUGGAUACCGUAACUUGUCUGCAUUAGUUGGAAAUAUUUUUGGCCUUGAUCGACCAAACCUGCAUGGCUACAUGCCGAUAAUAACGAAAUAAAGGUGACAUGGUCUGGCUUAACUCCUUCUAUUUCCAUUAGUGAGAAAAUCUCAAGAGCUUCUUCGCCAUCUCCAUGAACUCCAUGACCAGCUAUUAUGGCAUUCCAUGGACCACUGCUCUUUCUAGGUAUUUUUUGGAAUAAAAGCGACGCAUCACCCAAUUUCCCACAUUUUGCAUACAUGUCAAUAAGACAAGUAGCCACAAAAACAUCCGACUCCAACCCAAUGCGAAUCGAACGGCCGUGAAUUCUCAUUCCCUGUCUCAAGGCUCCAAGAUGAGAGUAUGCAGGUAAAAUACCGGCCAAUGUUCCUUGGAUUGUCUUAAGCCCCUCAAACUUCUCCAUGUAGUCGAAAACCUCUAUCGCCUCACUCGCAAGCCCAUUUUGGGAGUAGCAUGUGAUCAAAGUAUUCCAAGAAAUUAUGUCCUUAACCGGCAUUCUAUCGAACGCGUUACGUGCGGCCUCAAUCUUCGCCAUCUUUGAGUACAUGUCCACGAUCGCAUUCCCGGCAAUGAUGUCAUCCAUUUCCCACCCUCUUCUCAUGAUAUAGCAAUGUACCGAUCUGCCACCCCUGUCGUCCCCACACUGAGCGGUUGCUGACGCCAGGCUCACCAGAGUCAGAACAUCAGGUUGGCAAUCGCCUUCUUUCAUUAGAUGAAAUAAUUCGAGAGCUAAACUUACAUUACCGAAUUGCUCGUAUCCCGAAAUCAAAGAAUUCCACGAGACCAGAUCUUUAUGAAGCAUUUCAUCGAACACCCGCCUCGCCUCGCCCAAACAGCCCAACUUGGCGUACAUGUCGAUCAAAGCAUUUGAGACGAAAAGAUACGAAUCCAAUCCGAGCUUAACAGCGCGAACGUGCAUCAACGCCCCCAGCAACUGAUCCUCCAAAAACGCAAUGAUCGGAACAAUGCUAGCAAAGGUAACCUUAUCCCCUCCCACUCGCUCGAUCACCAUCUCCUCAAAAAGCCCGACAGCAUCGGCCGCCCUCGAAUUCUGACAAAACCCAGAAAGAAGGGCAUUCCAGGCGCCCAAAUCCCUCUCGGGCAUUUCAUCGAACACCUUCCGGGCGCAGCCCAGGAGCCCGAACCGCGAGUACAUGUGGAGCAGGGACGCGCCGACGUAGACGUUGGAGCAAAAUCCCAUCUUUAGGGCCAAAGAGUGGAUCUUUUCACCGUGCUGCGGAUCGCCGCAGGCUUUGAGGACGACGGGGAAGGUGAAGGCGUCGGGGCGAAGGGCGGGGUGGGAGAGGAGGCGGUGAAAGGCGGAGAGGGCGGAGGAGGGGCGCCGGUGGCUGACGAAGGCGGAGAUGAGGGAGUUGAAGGAGACAAUGGUGGUGGUGGAGGAGGAAGGGCGGUGGUGGAGGAAGGAGAGGAGGGAGGAGGGGAGGUCGCCGAGGCGGGAGUAGAGGGUGAUGAGGGUGGCGGUGAGGGAGGGGUAGGCGACGAGGCGGCCGGAGAGGAGGAGGAGGGCGUGGAGGGCGCGGGCGCGGCGGAGGGUGGUCGCACACGAGGGGAAGAGGCGGCGGAGCUCAACGGCCAUGGCGGGGCCGAGCUUCGCAUGGUGGGGUUGGGGGAGAGAGGGAGAGAGCGAGAGAGGGAGGAAGAAGAAGACGAGAGCGCGGGAAGGGAGGAUGAUGAGCCUUUAUAGGGGGAAAAAGUUAAAAAAAUAAAUAAAUAAAUGUAAAAUUGUAACGAGACUCCUAUAUUACAGAUAUUUUAAAAUUGACUCCUAAGCCCUUUUUUCAAAAGAAAUAGUUAAUUUUAUACAUGUUCCUACAAAUAUAAUAAAUUAUAAAUAUAUCGUUACGAAGUUCAAAUUCAUAUAUUGUCCGUAUAAAAAUCCUGAUAUUUUCAAAUAUAUCUCUACCGUUAGGAUUUGUUAGAAAAAAAUUAGUUAGCCAUAGAUAAAAUACUUAAUCCUAACUAGUUAAUAAGAUGAAUCAAUCUUUUUAUCCAUCUUUUAUUAAUAGUUGAGAUUCUUGAAGGGACAUAUUUAUGAUGCCAACAAAAUUAUUUUACUUAUAAAAUAAAUAGUAUUUUAACGAUAACAAAUCAAAGGGAUAUAUUUGAAAAUAUUAGGACUUUUAUAAAGAUAAUAUAUAAAAAUUAAACUUUAUUAUAGAAAUAUAUUUAUAAUUUAUUAUGUUUGUAGAGAUCUAUAUAAAAUUAACCCAAAAAAAAAUAUUGAGGCCUUAUGUGGACUUAAGCAAAUUCUGAGACAGGUAGAUAGACUUUUAUAAAAUUUUUAAUUUUACUAUCUAAGUUUUUCAUGCUUUUAAUAUAGUUAUAUAAAUUUUAAAAUUUUUUAUUGUAUUAUUACCUGUGGUUAACAGUUUUUGUAAUCUGUUGAUAAAAUCGUUUAAAAUUUAGUAAAGUUUUAUAUUACUUUACAAAAUAUUUCGUUUAAAAACUUUUUUGUAAAUGCUUUAAGUUACACAAUAAAAUUGUAAAACACUAAAGUUAGAUAGAAAAAUUUUUAAACGUUUUAUAGUUCAUGGACCCGGUAAAUUUUAAUACAUACCCGCAGAUACCCAUAGAUUACUUAUAAAUGUAUGAGUAUAGAUAUUAAUUUUUUUAUCCAAAAAAUUAUUAAUGAAACAAAUAAAUACCUGUUAAGGUACGAGUAUUUUGGGCAACCUGCGGUACUUACGGAUAUUAGUAAAUAUGUUUUUAAUUAAAAGAUAUAUAAUUUUUAUAAUAUUGACUCUAUAAUUAUGAAAAAUUUAUUAAUUUUAUUAAAAUUUGGGAUGAUAAAAUACUUUUAUACUAUAUAAUUUAUAUGUUUUAAGAUUUUAUAUUAUUUAUUAUACAUUAUGAUAUUUCAAAUAAUAAAUUAUGUUAUACUUUUAAAAAUUUUAUAUAUGUAUUUUGUAUUUAAAAAAUAUAAGAGCAAAAAAGGAAAAGAAAAUCUUGUGCCCGCCCGUGGACUGAUAUGGAUAAAAUAUUGACUAUCUAAAAAUUUAGAAAAAAUUUUAAAUAUCAUCCAUAUGGUUUUACACUUUCUCACUUUUGCAUCAUAUAGUUUUUAAAGUGUAUCAAUUUAGUGUCCUAUGGGUUUUUUUUUUUUAUUAUCGAUUCCUCAAAAUUUUUUUGUUAAAUUAGUGACAAAGUUAAAACUAAAUAGUACUAAAAUGAAUAUUCGAUAAAUUUAGGUCAGGUAUCUGAAAUUUUGUAUAUAAUUUUAUGAAAUAUUAAUAAAAAAGUUGACAAAAAGAUAAAAAUAAAAUCACUAGACACUAAUUUGAUAUGCUUUAAAUCACAUAAUACUAAAGUGAAAAAGUCCGAAAUUACAGAGAUGGUAUUUAAAGUUUAUCCAAAAAUUUAUAAAUAAAUUUUACUCAUGUCUUUAUGAUCCGCGGGUCCGACGGCCCGCUCGUAGGUUCUCCAAUCCGCCUGUUUUGCAUGUGUAGACCCGGCCGGACCCAAUGUCCGCAUUGGACCGAACCACUAUAAACCGGUCCGGUCCGGUCUAGUCCGGUCCAAUCUCUGCAUAAAAAACCCAACCAUUCUUUGCCCUCUCCAAAACCCUAGAAUCGAAACCAAAGAGACGCCCACUUUCUCUCUCUUGCUGUCACCUCUCCAUUAAUGGCGGAAGAAGCCGUAGAAACCCUAACCGAGCCGUCGACGAGGAAGAAGAGGAAGAGGAAGGCAUUGGACGUGUCCAUGGAGGCCCUCGCCGAGUCCGGGGACCGCAUCGCCCCCGUCGUCGGCUACUUCCCCUCCGGCUACGACCCCCUCGGCGGCGGCGCCGCCGCCCCCGCUGCGGCGGCGGAUGAUCCCAGCGUCCGUGUGUUCAGGAACAAGCGCCGCGCGAACCGCCUCGAGCUCGUCGUGAGCCCCCGGGGCUCCGCCGUGGAGUUCGUCGGCAGGAGCUACGCCGGCGAGGCCGCCGCCCCCCAGCUGUGUACGUACGCGCUCGGGGUGCUCGAUAAGGCGACGCAGACGCUCAAGAUAGUCCCCAUUGCCGCCAAUAAGGUUUGGAUUUGAUUAAUUGUUUACGUUUUUAAUAGCUGUCAUUUUUUUUAUUUUGGGAAACAUAUUUAGUAAAAUUUUUAUCUUGAAUUAUAGAUUAAUGGGCGCAACGAAUAGCAAAUCGAAUAAAGUUUGAUCUUCUUUUUGCGAGAGAUCCACGAUAUAGAUAUUAGUAAUGUGUAGUAUUGUUUACUUGGUGCUUGGUUUAUGUGGUUUAAAUUUUAUACCUUGUGGUAUAAGUCACUUUCAUUUGUCACAUGUUCUUCGGAAACUUAGCGAUUGUGUAACUAUUCUAAUAAUUCGUGGAUUAGCUCUCAUUUACCAAUGAGCUAAGUAUAGUGGAGCAUUAUCUGUUGUAUUAUGAUUGAAUGCACAAAUGAGUGCAUAUAACCUCUUUGUUGAUGGAAAUCCUUAUAAUGUCUUGAUCUAUACAUAGGAGAAAGCUUCUCGAAGUUGAAGAUACUGAUCUAAGGUAUAGAAUUUAGGAUUUAGUGGUUUAAGGCUAAUAAUUAUGCUGGCUAGGUAUCAAUUUCAUGUGUUAAUCAAGUGGUCCUUUUGAUAGACACACGCAUCAUUUUUUUCAUUUUGUCUUCUUGUCGUAUUUAAUGGAUGUUUAUCCUGAACUUUUUAAUAGCAUCUCUACCUGAGAAGCAAAAGCCAUGCAUUUGGACACAAACUAGAGCUAGUUUGCAACUGGUAUGGGCUCUUUGAUCUGAUAAGAAGAAGCUACAUCUUGAAGCUUUUGUUUCUAGCUUCAGCAAGUUGGUGGUACAGAAUGAAAAAAAUCUGUUAUGACUCCUUCAAACAGCUCUUCUAAAUCAAAACAUUAAGUAGCUUCCAGUCAGGCUAAACUUUGCUCUUAGUGCUUGUUUCGCUUGGCUCCUGAGCAACUUCUUUACUCAAAAGCAGAUGCCAAGUGUUUGGUGAUGAAAACAUUUAGAGUUUCUUGUUGGAGUUGGAAUCCAAAAAGGUCUUUUAGAUGCUAGAAGGAAAAAGCUCUAUUGUGGAGUUUAUACUGGUUGCUUAGAUUGUUGUUGUUUAGAGGUUUCAUCAGUACAAAUCUGUUAGGGCUUCUCAAACAGCUUUACCUGGAAAAAUGCUGCUAGCUUCAGCCUGGCAAAAUAAGUCCUUAGUCAACUGCUUUUAGUUAGGCAUGCUGAUGAUAUUUUUCCUUUAUCAUGUCCUGUUGCUGGCACAGUCUUUGUUACAUUUUUCCAUAGCUUUUUAGUAUGGAUCAUUUACUUUCAAGUUUCUUACAGAUUUUCAGGUUGGAGCCCCGGCUAGCGGUGAGCCAACCUGCUCAUAUGGAAGCAUCCGAGGGAUUAACAGAGGAGAGUAUGGCUACAGGACAGGUUGGCCGGAAAAUACAAGAUCUUACAAGUUUGUAUGGAACAAAGAAAGAUAGGGACAAGGUAUACUGUGCUAUCUUGUUUAAAUUGUUUAAUUUUAUAUUACGGAUAUACGUACAGGUCGCAGACCCUCAUGAUCUAUUAGGCAUCUAGAUUUUUGAUAUGUCUUACUGUACAUUCGAAUUGAACCAAAAUAUUUACUUAAUAACUGGAAACUUAUAUGGACAGUGCAGUACUUUUCUUCAGAAUGCUCAAGUUUCUUUUAGAUGUACGUAAAAAGUAGAACGGUUUCUCCCUCUGAGGCUUUUGGAUAUAUACCCAGGGUUUUUGCAUAUAUACCCGUUGAAAAGGUGCUUAGUUGCAAUUUUAUAUCUCCCAUGUGAAAUUUGCUGAUGUUCCCUUCAUGUAGUGUACGUUAUGCUGGAAUUUACCAAAGUACUUAUAUUCCUUAUUGUUCAAAAAUUGCCCCAUGUGUGAGUAAACGGUCCAUAAGGUCUCAGCACCUCGACAAGCUGCCAGAUACAUCACUUUGUCAACAUUUAGAUCAUCAUGAUAUCAUACUGCAGAUCAUAAUCGAAAUAUUUAGUUUUGUAAUGCUGUAUAUAAUGAGAGGUUUUGUUCUGAACAGGAUAAGAAAUGGAUGUCAUUAAACCAACAAAGGAACGACCCCUCUGCCUAUGAACAUCUCGAAAAUGAAAAGACUGAUGCUGACGUGGAUAACAAUGCUGCGGAUCAGGAGACAGAAUCAACUCCUCGGAACAUCCCACCACACAAUCCUUCUGCGGAUACACCAGAGAGAGCAUAUCUAAUAGAUGAGAUUAUUCCUAAAGGUGAACGAGCCUAUCUUUUGGACAUAUUGGAAGCCUUGCAUUCUGGGGUGGAUUUGGAUUUGAAACCUUAUCCUAGUUUUGUUUCCAAUCGUCUAUACAAACUAAGGGAGCUUCAGGUAAUUUUUAUAUGAUGUAAUGCGAAGAAUUUUGUUUCUAUUUCUUUAUUGGCUUAUGUUGCCACUAUCUGGUUAUAUACUCAUAUAUUUAAUGUGUGGCUCAAUUUGAUUUUAGGGGGAUAGUGGUGCUAGUUAUUCUUUUCAUUCUAUCAAAUGACCACACCUUUAGUCAGACCGGCUUAUUAAAGCAUAAUGCAGGAAUUACUAUUCCAUUCAAACCAUGAAAUUGUGUUAUCCCUCAGUAUCUUCCUGGGUAUCCCAUAAUCGUAAAAAUAAUAUUUUAUCAUUAUAGUUAUCCAUUGUAUUCACAGGUAUCUGCAUAAUCUAAAAGGAAAUUAAAUGACCUUCUUCAUUAUUCUAGAUAACAAGAUAAGCUGAGGAUAAAAGAAGUAAAAACCCAACAAAAUUCAUGCUGAUACCAAAUCCUUAUAGUUAUCUACUACAUUGCAAAGCACAAUAGCUAAUAAACUAGACUGAUGAUUAUCUUCUGUGUAGUGUAAAAGCAAAUGAAAUGACCCUGUUGAUUAAUCUAGAUAACAAGAA